rnacentral:lncRNA from 1 species
AAGCUCUUGCCGUUUAUGAUACUAACACACCUGGCCGUUGGGCCAAAGUUGCAAGGGCUGUUGGAGGGAAACCCCCAGAAGAGGUGAAGAGGCAUUAUGAAAUUCUUGUGGAAGAUGUCACAUACAUUGAGAGUGGCCAAGUGCCCUAUCCCUACUGCAGAGACUCUCGAGCUGCCUGUAACAGGGGAGGUAUACAGCAUAUACCACCCCAGCCCACGCCAUCAAAACACCACGAACACUUUAAAAUCCAUCAUAUAAUCAUCAGUCAUCAUGGAUUGGUUUCUAUUUUAAGGCAUUUUCUUCCAUGCUUAAUUUGGCAAAGUACCAUCAAUCCUUCUACUUUCCCUAAUGCAUAUUAUGCAUCACUAUGAUGGUCGGCAUAUGAGCACGAGCAUCUACAUAUCUCUGAGCAUGGGCGAAUCAUAAGACACAUCUUUAACGUGUACUCAACUUGUAUAUUUUGCCACUCCUUAGAAAAAAUGAAAUGCACGGGGAGAAAAUAGCUUACUGAUCAUAAAACCAUCCUACCAUACACUCUAUUUCUCAAAAUAAAAUUCAAAUUCUAUGUGCAUAUUUGGUACAUAGUGUUAGAUGACAAUACUAAUAUGAAUAAGAUUUUAGCUUUUAUUUUUCUUCCUAACACUUCCUUAACAUUGUUCCAUGCAGGAUGAAGAAUCCAUAAGUUCCACUGAUGCGUCAUUAUACUCGUAAUGAUCAACUUUACUGCCGUCGUAUUAUAUUCCAGAAGCUUAGCUAGCAACAUGAAUAAAAAUGCAAUGUUCAUCCAAAACUUGGUGAUAAUAUGCAGUAGUAAUUUUAGAAUUGUAGCAACACUUGUCUCUUUUUGUAAGCAUAUGUAUGAUGAUCUUAAUGAUCAAUGGAGGAACCCAAUAAGUUCCUUCCCUUCUGUAAUAAAUCUUUUAAUUAAAUCAAGGAUUUGUAAAAAUUUUAAUUUCUAUACAAAUAUUCUAGUUCUUAAUAAAAUAUGAAAAUGGAAAAACAAAAAUCUCAUGGAUUAAGAGAAUUGGAUUAAUGAAAAAGUACUCAUUAUAAAGAAUUGGUCCAAACUAUGAGUCUGACUGCAAAUUGAGUGCUUGUUUGGGAAACUUAAAAAGUUGCUAGAAAGCAUUGUAUCUUCAAAUAUAAACGUCAAUUUGAUUAUGUUAGCACCAGUGCAAAGAACAAAAUAUGUCCUAACAAGAUUUGGAUCGCGUACCUUGCUUUAUUUCACUUGAUUCUAAUUUUUACAAUUUUUACAUUUUAGUGAGUCACAUUUUGUGCGUCUUUUCAUGCGUGUAUAUAGCUGGUUUUAGAAAAUUGAAAUUCUAUAUGAUAUUUUGCACUAGUAAGUUGUGAUUAUUUUGUAUUUCCAUGCAUGUGUGUUUACUUAACGGAAUAUAUUCGCUAAAAUACUACACCACAAGUGCACAAGUCGCGUUCAAAUAAUAACGCGUUCAAGUAAUAAAGUGGACCUUUUGAGUCCGGGUUGUCGGUUCAUCGAGGAAUGUAUACUUUCGAUUACACAAGUGUAAUUAAUUUAAUUCUAACAAUAAAAAGAAACACACACAAUAAAGAUUAUGAUUUUGGAAAAUAACUAAAAAUCUACAAAAAAAAAAUAUAUGAAAAUCUUGAGAAUUUUCCGAAGCAAACGUGGUUGAAAUUCAUUGUUUCAUUUAACAGUCGCUUAAUUAAUUUCUCCACAAGUCAAUUAAAAAGUUACUCAUCUACAAUGUUAGACCUGAGCAAAAUUAACCAUAAUUGAUUUGUUUAACCUACUAUGUCUCUAUAUUGAUUAAAACCAAAUAAUUGCAUUAAAUAUUUGUGAAAAUAGCUCAUUGAGUCACAUAGGGCUAAGGGUACAUCUCGAUUCCUUACACAAAUCUAGAGUUUAAUUUCUACUGUUUGGUCUAAAAUGCACAAUCUUUUAUCGAACGAUGUACAAGUCACUAAACACAAUCAUUCAUUGGCCACAUAAAUGAAAAUGCAUGAAAUACAAUAGAAGAAACACAUAAAAAUAAGCAAAUCAAUAUUAAAGGGUAAAUAUUAAAAUUAAUCAAGGCUAGAUUAAACUACAACAAUAAAUUCCAACACAAAUAACUUAGCCAAUUUUAUACAAAUGAUAAAAAGGAGAAUAUUUUGUACAAUAAAUUGCAAGUUUGAAAAAAUAAUUGAGAAAAUACAAGGUGUAGAUAAAACCUUUUUUUGAGCUUGCUCUUGAUUUUCCCAAAGCUUUGUCAAAUCCUUAAUUGAAUCUCCUUGUGCUCUAAAUUGUGCCCCAAAAAUUACCAAAGAAAAGAAAAGAAAAAGAGAAGAAGAAGAAGAAGAAAAGAAAAAGAAAGAAAAAAUGAAAAGGAAAGUGAAAGACAAAAAGAAGGAAGUUAGGGUUUUUUUCCAAGAUGAAGAAGAAUGGUUCCAAUGGGUGUAAAUGAUGUUAAAAAGUGUAAAAAUUGUCCUAGUCAAAUUGCAAGAAGAAGCCCUGAAGAAAUUAAAUGUACACAAAGGUCCUUCAUUUCAAACUGAGGCGCGCACCUAGUAAAAAAUAAGGUGUGCCUUAGUUUUUUGGUUGCUUUCAGUUGCUCAAAAUUGGAGCUAAGGCACAUGCCUUAGCUGCAGACGUCGGCGCACACCUUAGCCUUCUUUUUCCCUCCUUCAAUUUGGUUAACAAAGAAUUGCAUGGUUGGUCCUUCAACUUUUGUUUUGUAUAUUUUAGUCCUCAAAUUUUGAUUUUUAUUUCAAUCACAUCCUCUAAAAAUUGCAACCUUAUAGCCCCAACUUUCAGCACUUGUGCACUCUGAUCCCCAACUUCACAUUUUUGUGUGCUUUUCGUCCCUUUUCACUCUCUUUUGCUUUGUUCUCUUUCCGUGGGUGAAUUUUAGCUUACAAAAGCAAAUAUUAUCUAAUUGAAGUAGAAUUUCGUUCAUUAAUCAAUAAAUAACAUAUUUAGAUAUUAAAUAAGUGUGUAAAAACAUAGUUAUUAGAAUAUAAUUUAUAUAACAAUUUGUUUAACUAUUCUGAAGAAAUUGGAUUAUCAAACUGUCAACUUGAGGCCCCUUAUGUGACUUGUCAAUAUUGGAUUCGACAAUUAGGGUUGGAAUUGUAUCUACACUGACUUUGAUUCUGUGUUUCUUUGCAAUAUUGUUUGUGGCAUUCUAAUUUUCAACAGUUGGUCAUGAAGAGAGUCUCUAAAGUAGGAAGGAGGAUGUUUGUCACUGAUUGAACAUUGAGGAGGAAUGGAAAGAUGUGAAACAGCAUUUGUAGGUGAAGGGGAUGAGUUAGGUAAUGAGGAUGGAGAAUUGCAUGGGGAUGGUGGUGUGAUUGGAGGAGAUAAAUUGAGACACUACAAGGAGUUAGUAGUUGGGUUUCAAACAAUAUCAUUCGUAUCAUUGAUUGAGGAAGAGUUAACAGGUUGAGUGUUGGAAUAAAUGGUUACUAUUUAUAAUGAAUUGGAAUAAGUCUCCAAUGGGUGCAACUCUUAAAUUGCAAAUUGUGCAUACAAAGAGUCAUGUUGUUUUGAAUGAGUGUGACUAUUUUAAAAAUGUGUAUGAUGAAACAUGACCCUUUUAUGAAACAUGACCUUUUGAUAGGGUAAAAUAAAAUGUAGACCAUAAAUAUGAAAAGGUGUGAUUUAUGUUAAAAGAUGCAAUCAUUCGAAAAGUCACUUGAAAAUCUAUAAAAGGAUCUCUAGUUCCGUUUUUCUUAUACCAAAUCAAUACAAGUUAUAAUUGAUUUCUGAUUCUAUCAUCUCUUGAACUUCUGUUCUAUUUUAUUUUGCUAAAAUAAACUUCUGCUUGACUUAUUUUCAAAAAUGAAAUUUCAUUAGAAUAUUUUAAUUUGUGUCUAUUCCGUUCAAGAAAAAUAUUAUCAAUACUUUGGUUCGACUGGCAAGGUUGGUAUAACACACUACUUACUUUAGAAGAAGAGUUUUAUAUUAGGAGCUACACGUCCAAUUACGUUGUUGACACUAAUGUAGCAGGUGAAAUAUAUCUUAAGGAAAGUUGCUAUGGCAUACCUUGCUUCAUUUCCGUUCUAUUUUUCUUUCUUUUGAUUGUAAUAGUCAUUAAUUUGGGUAUAUUUUCAGAUUAAUUAAGAAAAGAGCCAACCUCCAUCACUUAGGAAGGUUUUGAUUUUCCCGUCAAAAUGAUUCUCAACAAAAACUUGAAAUUCAAGGAAACAAGAAUAAAAAUCAGAUUUGUUCUUUAAAGGAAAUAACCAUAUAUGACAAGUAAAGUCAUCAAUAAAAAUCACAUAAUACUGGAACUUUUAGAAGACAAUGUUGGGCAAGCCCCAUAAGUCACUCGCACUAUCAUCCAAAACCCAUUCCUGUUCCUUUCCUAUAUAUAUAUAAGUUUCAACAUAAGACUUCUUGCAGGGACAAAUAAGCUUUCUUUGAAGGCGUAGGUUGCCCGGAUUCUUGUUCUAUACCCAGGUUCACUUAUAGUGAGUGUCAACUCCUCGACUUUUAUCUAAGACAACCUAGGCAAGAUUCGAAGGGGAUUCAACGUGUUCGCUACCACACUGGCCGACUGGUGCAUUGGCCAUACUAUAAUAAGUCCAAAAGGUAUGCCUCUUCGAUUAGAAUGUUCCAUAUCUCGUGACAUGUGGAUUGAAGCAUUUUUUUUUUUAGAAAGUUCGUAUAACAUAACUUCAAAAGAUUCAUUCUUUAUGAAUAAAGCACCCAAAAAAAGGGUGCAUUGCCUCUUUGAGUGAAGAAGCUUUUCAAGAAAAAAGUUGAAAUAUUAUCUAAUUUAUUGAAUGAAAGUUUACAAUGAUUUCCUAGUUGACGACUAGUACAUAUAAUUUUUUUUUUGUCAAUCAUUUUGAAACAUUUAUAACUUUCUUAUUUUCAAUGUCUUUAAGAAAUUGCAAUUUGGAUGUCCUAAAUGAGCAAGCCAUAUUUUUUAAGAGGCUUCUUGACUUGUUGCCAAUGGUAUGAUAAAUAACGGCUCAACUUGCUGUUAAAGGAUUUCGUCAAAAAGAGCGACUUGACUUUUAGACACUUAUUCACUUGUAAUAAGGAUAACUGCUAUCCGGGUUUUAAUUCAUUUAACAGCUUUAUAUGACUUGCAAAGACAUUAGAUGAGUUUUAAGACUACAUUUUAAAAUGGUGAAUUAAACGAGAAAGUUUAAAUGGAACAACCAAGAAGCUUCAAAGUAAAGGACAAGAACACAAAGUUUAUAGACUUGUUAAAUCCUUAUACGGAUUAAAGCAAACAGGGGAGGACCCAACGGGGUCCCCUAGGGUCACUUGACCCUCUAGUUUUUUCAAGUUUUUAUUUUUUUUUUCAGGCUCAUUAUGGAAUAUCAAACAAAAUUGAAAUAUUAUAUUCUUAAUAUCAUUUUGAAGUACUCACGACCUAAUAUUUCACGUCGUUGAUGUUUUGAGAAAUGGCCAAUCAUAACAAAUGUUACGAUACGUCAAAAUAGGUUGUUCCAAACUAAUAUUUCGAGAAUUUCGAUAACAAACUAAUUUUAAAAAUUCUUCAACAAAUAUACGCUAGUCAUAUUCAUAAAUCUUCUAUUUCUUUUUGAAGCUCAUUUCGAGAACUAUAUCAUAAACACAUCGAAUGAUCUAAAUGAACAUCGAAAAUAGUUAAACAUACGUCAAAAGUAUAUGCUAAAAAGAGACGUAUAACUCUUCUUUUUUUGGAAUAAAAUCAAUUAUUUUAUUAAUGUUUAUUAUUUUUGAGCGACAAAUUUCUCAAUAUAAUUUACAUCAUUUUAUUAGAAAAUUUUAUAUGCGGUAUGACGUCAAAUUUUAUUUUAUUUUUACAUAAAAUUUCUUAAUAAAAUUUUUAUAACUUCAUGGGGGUUAUAAAUUGUUAUAUUAUUUUUUCAUCUUGAAAAAAAAAAUUCAAUCAUUUUUAGGUUUAUUAUUGUUAUCUCUUCCUUUCGAUCAAUUAAUUUUUUUUAAAUGAUGUCAAAAAUUUUAUUAAGAAAUUUAUUAGAUUAUUUUUUUAAAAAAAUUAAUUGAUUGAGAGGAAAAGUAACAAUAAUUAAAAAAAAAUCCUAAAAAUGAUUCAAUUUUUUUUUAUAUAAAAAAAUUUUUAUAUGAAAAAAUAAUCAAGACAGUUUAUAACCCAUAUAAAGUAAUAAAAAAAAUUUGUCGCUUUUUUUAAAAAAAAAUUGAUUGUGACCCCCUAAUGUAAAAUGUUUGCGUCCGCCCCUGGAAGCAAACUCCUAAACAGUUGUACGAAAAGUUUAAAAAUGUCAUGAUUAGAAAUGGAUUAACCAUAAACGAGUAUGAUAAAUGUGUUUACUCGAAAAACUUUGGUGAAGAAUUUGUUUUGGUUAGUCUAUAUAUUGAUGAAAUGCUCAUAUGAGGACUAAUAUAGAAGUCAUUAAUAACUAAAAGAUAAUGAUAACCAAUAACUUUGAUUUGAAAGAUAUGGGUGAAGCAAAUUUGAUUUUGGGAAUACAAAUUCUAGAAUACCUGAUGGGAUAAACAUAUCUCAAACACAUUAUGUACAUAAAGUGAUUGAGAGGUUUAAGAUCAAUCGUAUUAAUGAGUCAAAUAAUCCAUUUCCUUCUCAUGUAGUUUUUCACAAGAAUACUGAAAAUCGUUAAAAAAAAAUGAAAAGGAAAAAAGACCAGUUAGAGUAUUCCAGAUAAUUGGAAGCCUAAUGUACUUAUAAUGAAUCAUACAAGGCCAUAUAUAGCCUACUCAAUAAGCAGGCUAAGUCCCCAAUAACGAAUAUUGGAGUACUUAGAGAGUUGAGAAACUUAAAACGUACUUGAGAGUAUUCAUUACAUUAUGAAAAAAUAUCCUCGAGUAGUUGAAGGAUGUAGUGAUGCCAAGACAUUAGAUACGAAUGAAUCUAAAUCUACUAGUGGCUACAUAUUUACUCUUGGAAGUGGUGCAAUUUCUUGGAGAUCUUCUAAACAAACUUGUAUAGCUCAGUCCACUAUGGAGUCCAAGUUUAAUGCUUUAUACAAAGUAGGAGAGGAGGCUUAAUGGUUCAGAAAUUUCUUAGAAGAUAUUUCAAUACGGUCAAAACCUAUGCGGCUAUAUGUAUUCAUCGAGAUAAUCAAGCAACUAUAUAUACCUAGAGCAGAAAAUUUUGUGUACAAGAGUAAGUUGAGACAUAUACGUCACUGACAUAAUACCAUACGAUAGUUACUCUCAAAUGCAACAAUAUAUAUAGUGCGCAUAUAGGAAAAUGGGUAUAAAGCCCAUAUAAUGAGUCAAUUUAAUAAAAAUUGAACAUGACGACUCGAGAUCUCAGGGACUAGGUUCGACAAAAAAAAUAAUAAUAAAAAAUAAAACUAGUUAUGAAUGACUAGAUAAGAAGCACUUCAGAGUUUUAACUCCUUUUCAUUUAUAUAAUGUAAAUAAAUGUUGCCUGUCAAGUAUCGAUUAUGAUAAGAUAUUCUUUUAAUGAUGAGUAUAUCUUGUAAACAAUACAAGUAGAGUAUUGUAAGAUGCUCUUCAUAGAACAUCACCUAUGCCAGUGCAAAUUUGGCCAGUUCAAAUGAGGGUUUUUACUUAGGUGAAUUCUCUAACAUACUUGCAAAACCCAAUAGAAUUCAAUGCAAAAGGAAUGAACACAAUAGAGAACAAGUAUGAUAUGAAAAAUAAUAUGUUUGAUAUAUUGUCUAGGCUUACAAUAAUGGCCGACAGUUCAAAAUGUGGUGCUUACUAAUUAGCCAAGUGAGUUUGAUUGAUUCUUACUAAGGAAGAUUAGAAAUGAAAAGUACCUAUCUUGAUCCAUUAUUCUUCAGUAAUACUCUUCUUCAUCUUCCUUGGCUCUUGUUGGCUUAUUUCAUUCGUGUGGGGGAUUGUCGAUAUAAAUGGUUAUUAUUUAUAGUAAAUUGGAAUAAGUCUCAAGUAUGUGCAACUCUUAAAUUACAAAGGAUGCUUACAAAGAGUCAUUUUGUUUUGAAUGCGAGUGUCUAAAUGUACAUGAUGAAAAGUUAUAACCUUUUGAUAGGGUAUAGUCUACACCAUAAAUUUGAAAAGGUGUGAUGAACGUUAAAAAAAUCAACCAUUCAAAAAGUCACUUAAAAAUCUAUAAAUAGGAACUCUAGUUCCAUUUUUCCUAUAUCCAAAUCAAUUCAAGUUAUAAUUUAUUUCUAAUUCUCUCCUCUCUUCAAAAAUUAUGUUCUUUUUUAUUUUGCCGAAAUAAAAUUCUGUUUGAAUUAUUUUCAGAAAUAAAAUUUCAUUAGAGUAUUUUAAUUUUGUUUAUUCCAUUCAAGAAUAAUAUUAUCAAUACUUUGGUUUGAUGAACAAGGUUUGUAUAGUACAGUAUCUAUUUUGAAAGAAAUGUUGUAUCUUGGAAGACAAAUAUCCAAUUAUCCUAUUGGAACCAGUGCAAGGGACGAAAUUUGUCUUAAAAGAGAUUUGCUACGGUAUGCCUUGCUUCAUCUCCAUUCUAUUUUUGUUUCUUUUGAUUGUACUAGCCAUUAAUUUGACAAGAUUGAGUAGGUAUAUUUUCAGUUUAAUUAAGAAAAGAGUCUACAUUAUAAGGAUCAUCAUCGAAGGAAAUGUGAUGGAAGUUAUGGUGAGGUGAAUUUGUUGAAUUUGGAGAUGAAGUACCGUGUGAAUUUUGUGAAAACCAUUCAUCAAAUUUCGGGAAAAUAGUUUUUUGAUGUAUCUUAUGUGAGCAUCAAAAUAUUUUUAAAAGAAUAAGGAAAAUGAUUUUCUUAAAAAACUACGCGGCGAAAUAUAUAUAUAUGCAAUGACUAUGGAUCAAGACAACAAUAUCCUUUAUAUAGAGGACUAUAUCCUAAGAGCACAAGGGAUUACAAGAAAAUUUAUACGUACUACGGUUGUUAAAUAUGGAAAACAUAGGAGAUUUGUUGCUGAAAUUCCACAUUGAGUCAAAUGAUGUGUGAGUUCAUCUGAAGUGAAUUUGCCAACUCUGUCACUUUGGAAGGUUUUGAUUUUCCCGUCAAAAUGAUUCUCAAUAAAAACUUGAAAUAUAAGCAAACAAGAAUAAAAAUCAGAUUUGUUCUUUAAAGGAAAUAACCAUGUAUAACAAGUAAAGUCAUCAAUAAAAAUCACAUAAUACUGGAAUUUUUUAGAAGACAAUGUUGGGCAGCCCCAUAAGACAUUAUAUAUAUUUUCAAAAGAAAAAGUUGAAAUAGUAUGUGAUUUAUUGAAUGAAAGUUUACAACAAUUUCGAAGUUAACGACUAGCACGUCUAAUAUUUUUUGUCAACCAUUUUGAAACAUUUAUAGCUUUCUUAUUUUCUGGCUUUAAGAAAAUGAAAUUUGGAUGUCCUAAACGAGCAAACCAUAUUUUCAAAGGGGUUCCUUGAGAUUUGACUGCAACUCAGGCUUCGAGUUGUCCUACCUCAAGAGAAUAUAGCUUUCUCUAUCUACAAACCCUGUCAAUGAUUUGUUGUUUGUAAUCCUUAAUAACAAAACAAACUGGUCCAAAUUCAAAGUUGCAGGAGUUAUCAUCAACAAGUUGGCUCACAAAUAACAAAUUCUUUUUAAGCUUUUGUACUACUAUAACGUUAUUUAAAUCAAGUUAGUAUUUUGUAAUGAAUUAAAAGUAUGUGUAAUGGGUUAGGCUUUCACAUUACCAACAAAAAUUCAAUCAUGUCCAAACCAAGGUUUUAAAAGUUAUAGUUCACCUUCUUGCUUUGUCGUGUGAGCUGUCACACCCAAAUCAACAUAAAAGUUUGUCAUCCAGUUAUUUUUUUUUUCAAUUUUGUUCUGGUAAAUCUACAAGUCUAAGUAUCUUCAGAUUGUUCGAAUGAGAAAAUUAUACUCUAAAAACAACAAUAGUAAGAUUUCUAAAGUUGAGAAAUCAUAUCCUUAUGUAAAAACCUUCAAUGGAGACAGAUUGGGAUUCAACUUGAUUUGCUUAUGGAAUUGUCUUGUGCCAAUUCAUCAAUCUUGGCUUGUCCUUUUCCUUGACCUGUGAACUGAAUAUGGGGAAUCUUUUCAGCGAUCUCAAAAUAGCCCAACUGAUAUUAAGAAUAAGUUAAAUUUAUUUUGUAAACGACACAACUUUGUUUAUAAAAAACCUUUCUGAAGACAGGAUAAACAUAGAACAAAUUUAGGAGUUGAGACGCAUAAUAUCUAUGUUAAAAGAGGAGCGAAAAUUGCACUGUUUGAAGAUUUAUUAGAGAAGGCAUGGAAUUCAUAAGCUUCCUCCAUUGAUCAUCAUACAUAUGCUUACAAGUUGAAACUAGAAUGACAAGGGAAAGAAACAUUCUCUGAUUCUAAAAUUUCUAAUGCAUAUCAUCACCUAGUUUUAGGUAAACUAUGUCUUUUUAUUUCAUGCUGUUAUGAGCUUCCAGAAGGAAUACAAAAGGACGUUCAUAAGUUGAUUGUUACGAUGCUUCUGUGGAACUUUAGAAAUUUCAUCCCGCACAAAACCAUAAUCAAGAAGAAAAGUAAGCAUACCAAAUAUAUUGUGGCGUGUUUAGCAAGAAGAUUAUAUAAUACUCAGGACAAGGUUUGGUGGUGACGAAUGAAGCUAUCUUCUCGGGAAUGAUUCCAUUGUGUACUUUACAUUUAUACACAGUGAGUGGUAAAUGUACAAGCUGAUCGAUUGUGUUGAACAUAUGUCUCAUCACUCUUCCAUGCAGGAGAGAUGUAGACGUAGUGCCCUUGUGCCGACCAUGAUAGUGAUGAAUCAUGAUGUGUAAGUUCUUCGACAUGCAACCAAACUAGAAUGAAAGCAAUACAAAACAAGAAAGAGAAGCACAAAAUAGGAGGUGGCUCAUGAUGACUAUUUACUUUUCACUAAUUUGGUAUGUGGAAAGUCUUGUGGGAUGUAUUAACCUCUGUUCCUCAUCUCACCGGGGACCCUUAUCUUCCACAAGAAUCAUAAUGCCUUUUUGCCACUUCUGGAGUUUUCCCUCCAACUGCCCAUGCAACUUUGGCUCAACGUUCAGGCGGGUCAGUGUCAUACACGGCUAGGGGAUUCUCAAAGGCCUUGUUCUCCUGAGCAUUCCAAGUUCCAUGGGAUGAUAUCGAGCUAGAUGCCAUUAAUUUCUUGCUAGUUACAAAUAAAGUUAGGGAACAGAAGUCAUACACCAAGGGAAUUAAACAACCGAAUAUUACUAUAGAAAAUGUGAGGACAUGGAAGAAUGUAUAUAUGUGAGGAACAAGUAAUUCUAAGUGGGAUUAUUUGUCUUAGACUGGAGAGAGAAGACUGAAUUCAAGGCUGAUGAGAAACUGAUCGGGAGUUGAUAUGUCCAAAAGAGGUGGCGAGUUGAUAUGUCCAGAACAGGUGGCAACUGAGUGAUCUCUAUAAGCUCCAGGAACCGAGGGUGGGGUGGUGUGGGAUCAAGCGAAUUGGCCUAUUAAAAAGUUGCAAAACUUGAAGAACUUUUGUGAUUUGUCUCGUUAAGAACCAAAACUAAAGCAGGUCAAGGAACAACAGUACAACAUCGAAAAAUCUUCAUCUUCAUGAAAAGGUUGAUUCAAUUUGCAUUUUUUUUGAAUAAAAUUCACUUGUUUUCUUUCAGUUUAGUUUCAUAAUCAUAUGAUUCUUCUUGAUUUAUAUAAACAUUAAAAAGCAACAAUUGUGCUUAAAAGUCACUUUUAAGCUACUUUCUCCAACAUAUAACUCGUGAAUAAAAAUGAGAAAAUUAAUCACAUAUAUAUGGGGCAUCAGAAUUAUAAGUAGAUACUACGAUCAAUACAAUAUCAAUCAUCUUUUAAUUUCUGGACGACCUUAAAAAUCCUUCAUUAGAAUAUAAUUUCAACUUGGGGGGGGGGGGGGAAUGAACUCCUCAGAUAGAGCAAUACUAUAGUUCAAUGCACAAUAAUCACAAGUGAAGUUGAUAGGACAAUGCACAAUCCAGACAGAGGGUCAAGAUCAGUCGUGGAAAAAGUGGAAAACCGGGCUUACAAGGCCAGUUCAAAUCCCAGGCCAUGAAUGGGUCAUCUCGGUCUCGACAAGCAGACGUGCAAAGUCAUUUUACAUGCCUAAUCACGAGUGAAAUAAUCAUGACAUGAUAGUAUUUAGUUACAAAUAUCGCAAAAAUAUUGCUCUUCAGAUUAUUCAAAGAAGCUCUAAGCUUGGACCCAAUUCAUGAGAAGGACCACCCUACAUAUAUACAGAUGCAAGAUUUUUUCAAUGAUAAGGAUUCCAUUAAUCUAGCAAGAACAAGGCAUAUAUAAAUUCUCAAUGCUUCUUUUUUCCAUGCACAGAUUCCUCUACAUGCUAUGCUUAUUGUCAGUUAUACCCUUGUAAAUUGAAGAAUUCUCAACGAGCCUAUAUCUUGGGAAGUAGUUUUAUUGAUUCUAGAAAUGAUCCAUACAUGUAAAUCAAUGAAGGUAACUUGUAUAAAGUGUUGGGACUCUUGACUUAUUUGCACAAUCAUUAUCAAGGUUCACUUUGAGAAAUAUCGAAAUAGGCCCAGAUUCUCAACAUUCAAUGUUCACAACCUAUUUCCAUCUUUUCAUAUUUUCUAUGAAUCAAGCGUGAAAAGAGUAGCCAGUUUUAUUGUAAAAAUCUUCAUAUCUAAGUAGUAAUUACAAUGUUUUGAGUUCAAAUGUAAGUCUUUUCCUCGAUGUAACAAAAGAUUUUAAAUUUUUUCUUAAAUCAUAUCAAAUCAAACAGACCAACAUAACAAACACACCAUUAAAGUGUUUAAUCUUAGUUAUUCAUUGAGGAGGCUUCUUGAUGAAAAAUUAUCAUUUUGGGAGGUAGUUUUGGGAUUCUAGAAAAGAUCAAUAGAUGUAAAUCAGCUUGUGUAAUGGUGGAAAUCACUCACAUCUAGUAUUCUCUUUUAGAAAAAUGAAGAAGAACUGAGAACGGGGAAACUGAAAGGGUUCAUGAGUCAUGAUCCCUUUCAUGAACCCUUUCGGUGUCAUCACUGUAUGCAUCAAGCACGAAAAAGAGUAUUGCAAAUUCAUCUCUAACAGUUAUUUAAUAGCAAUGUUUUGAGUCAAAAUAUGUCUUUUCCUAAUUGUUUGUAAUAUUCUGAGUGGGAAAUAUACAGAUCUUCAUGUUAUCUUGCAAGAUUUUCGACCGACAUUGGGUCAGGACCAUAUAUAGGUUGGGGCUACUCUAUUCCACUUGCUGCAAUAAUCUCAUUUGGCAUUUUCAACUUCAGCCUUUGAACAAUGUUGCUUCCUAAACUUAGCUUUUUACUAUGCAGAUAUUUAAGUUGGACCAAUAAAAUGUGCUCUCUUUUGGACAUUCAAAUAUUCUUGGAGGGAUUAAGCCUUAAUCCUGAUUAUGGGAUCAAUGUUAGGCAAAACAAAAUCAGAAAAUAAACACACACAAGAAUCUAUAAACUAAUAGUAGUUCAUCCUCAAUCUUAGAGCUAUUCCAGUCAAUAUGGUACUUUUUAAAUAUAAAGAAGAUCUCAGUCUUUGUUAGAGGGGAAAAAAUUAAAAAAAUAAAAGCUCCCCCUAAUUCUUGAAUUAACUUAACCACGUCAUGUUACCGUAAAGGUUCUACUUCUAGAGAAGGACACUGAAAAGGCUAGCGAUAUAUAGCACAACACGCUUCCUCUCCCAAAUCGUUUAUAGUGUAGAAGCACUAGGGCAAACACACACAUGAAUAAAAUAUUCAAUAAAUUGAUAAACCUAAAAUGCACCUAAACUCAUACAAUCCUGAUGUUUAGUCGAAAGAAUAAGUUUAUAGUAUGAUUAGACUCCAUGAUGUCCAACACCAAUGUAUCAUAGACAUGAGCAACCUCGGGCCUCCAAAAAAAAUAAGACCCUUUUUUCUGAAGGUAGGUCAAAAUAUUUUAUAAUAUAAUUUUGGAUGAAGUCACUGAGAAGCCCGUAAAAUAAAUGAUCGGCGCAACCUUAGAAAUCAUGAAUCAUACAUGCAAUUAUUAGUAAUGAAACUUUGAAUGUUUUUAUUUAUUAUAAAAAAUUAUUUUUCUUCAUUGCAAGUAAUUUUUUUUCAAAGAAUAUCCAUAUAAAAUUUGGCUUAAGACUCCAAAAAUCUCAGGAUCGACGACCCUGAUCAUAGAUAAUAAUAUUGUAUAUAUUAUUUAUAUUUUUCCUUUUAUUUAUCGAAACACUUUAUCUUUUUCAUGAUCUCUACAGAAGAUUAUAUGCCAAGCAUCACAUGUAGGAAAAAAUGAAUCAACCAAACUAGACAAAUGUAAUUUCAUACUGGAUCCCAGCCCACAAAUUUAAAAAAAAAUAUAAUUAUAAUAAGAUUCUACAAUUGCAUUUCAGUUGCCCAUGACCGAUUCUUUAAAAUUGUUUUAGCAAGAUUCAGGGUUGAUCAUUUUGAAGACAGCAAUUUAAACAGAAUUUGAUAGGGUAAAUACAAUUCUUGAUAGGAAUAGAAUAGAUAUUUUCUAUACUAGGAAGGUAAUAGGCUUGAUAUUAGGGACUUAUGGGUGUCAAAUGGCUCGGCCGUGUUUGGGAGAGGUCCGAUGGUCAUACAAGGUCCGGGGACUGAGGCAGGCCAGGCUAAGUCCAGUCUGCCAGAUAUUUUCUUUGCUCUGGACCCAUUGGCCAUGCCCGUUCCAUCUUAAUAAGGUCUCUCUUCUUGAUUACCUUUACAUGUUGCAAUUAUACGAGGAUAAAUCAACCAUGUGAACAACUAUGGAUAAGCUGACUUUACAUUCAAAACAAGGCAAUCCACAACUUAAAAUAUGAUUGAUUUUGUGUUAAUGAUCAUAGAAUAUACUUGUCAUCUUACUGGUGUACAUAAACGCAGUCAAGAAAAGGCAAAAAUGUCACUUUUAGGUAUGCCUAACAUCUUCUAAUGUUUAUAUGAAUGAAAAAACAUCAUAUGAUUUUGACACUAAACUGUAAGAGAAAGUAAAAUUUAUGCAAAAAAUGGAAAUAUAAACAACCUUAUCAUGAAGAUGGAGAUUCUUCAAAGUUGUAAUAUUUUUCUUUUGUCCUGCUUCGGCUGUGAUUCUUGAUGAGACGAAUCACUAAAAUUCUUCAAUUUUUGCGAGUUUAUAGGCCAACUGGCAUGACCCCACCCCCUUAACUCCUACGGCCUAUUAAAGCUCAAGCAGUUGCCACCACUUCUACGCAUAUCAGCUCUUCAGUUUCUCAUCACUCUUCACUUGGGUGUCUUCUCAGUUGAGUCGAAGACGAAUAAUCCAUCCUAGAAUUAUUUGGUCCCACAUUUAUACGUUCUUCCAUUUUCAUCCCAUUUUCUAGAGUAAGCAUUCAACAGUAGUGCUCCAUCCAGUUACUCUAUAACUUCCUAGACUUAAUCUGUACAAGAAGUUAAUGGCGUCUAGCUCGAUGUCUUCCCGUGCCUCAGGCACUUGGACUGUCCAGGAGAACAAGGAGUUCGAGAAAGCUCUGGCCGUUUAUGAUACUGACACACCCGACCGUUGGGCCAAAGUUGCAAGGGCUGUCGGAGGGAAAACCCCAGAAGAGGUGAAGAGGCGUUAUGAAAUUCUUGUGGAAGAUGUCACAUACAUUGAGAGUGGCCAAGUGCCCUUCCCCUACCGCAGAACUUCUCUGGCCGCCUGUAACAGGGGAGGUAUACAGCAUACACCACCCCCAACCCACCCCUUCGAAACACCACAGACACUUCAAAAUCCAUCAUACAAUCGUCAGUCAUCAUGGAUUUGUUUCUAUUUUAAGGCAUUUUCUUCGAUGAUCAGUUUGGCUAAGUACCACCAAUCCUCUCACUUUUCCUAAUGCAUGUUGGAUAACAUAAACCUGCAUCACCAUCAUGGUCGGUGUAUGAGAACAUGCAUCUACAUCUCACCGAGCAAGGGCGAAUCAUAGGACACAUGUUUAACACAAUCUCAACUUGAAUAUUUUUCCACUCAUUAGAAAAUAUAAGGUGUAUGAGGAGAAAAUAGCUUACUAAUCCUUACAAAACUUUCCUACCGUAUGCUCUAUUUCUCAAAAUAAAAAUCAAUUUGUAUGUGCAUCUUUCGUACAUAGUGUUAGAUGAUAUUGAAGACUAAAAUGAAUAAGUUUUAGCUUUUAUUUUUCUUCUCUAACUCUUCUUUAUAAUUGUUCCAUGCAGGAUGAAGAGUCUAACGUUCCACUGAUGUGCCAUUACACUUGUAAUGAUCAACUUUACUACUGUCGUCGUAUUAUAUUCUGGAAGCUCUUAGCUAGCAACAUGAAUAAAAAUGCAAUGUUUACUCAAAACUAGGUGAUAAUAUGUAGUAGAAAUUUUCAAAUCAUAGCAAAUCUUGUCUCUAUUUUUAAGCAUUUGUAUGACGAUCAUAAUGAUCAAUGGAGGAAGCCAAUAAGUUCCUUUCCUUCUGUUAUAAAUAUUUUAAUUAAAUUAAGGUAUUGUAAGAAUUUGAAUUUCUAUGCAAAUAUUCUAAUUCUUCAUAAAAUAUGAAAAAAUAAAUAAAUAAAUAAAAUUCUCAUGUAAUAAGAGAAUUGGAAUGAUCAGAAAGUAAUUAAAAAGAUUUGGUCCUAAUUAUGAAUUGAAUUCUUUUUUCAGAAACUUAGAAAGUCACUAAAAAGCAUUGUAUCUUCAGAUAAAAGAUUUUUGCUCGUUCGACCGAUUGCACUCAAAUAUGACCUAAAAUUCUCCGAAAACAGAUAAGGCGGUCUUGAGCUUAAUUAGAUAUAGAUUCAGGACGCUUGAAGAUCAUUCGGGUUGCAAUCAAUCAAUUGAAAGAAAUAUUGGAGAAAUAUGAUGAGAUCAUGAGUUUAGGGAGGCAAAGUUGACAAUUGAAAAUUUUGGGGACUAAUCAUAAACUUUCGAAACUUGCAUCAGAACAAGACAUUAUGAAUUGAGAAUGAUGAGGGGCAAACUAAAAAGAAAUCAAGGAAAAUGACGUAUUUUACAAUACUAGAAGGACGUGGAAGGAAUGAAAUAAGAGUUCGGAGAACGAAUUGAAAGAUUUGAAAGUUGAGGACAAAAAAAUAUUUGCAGCCGCAGCUUUGCAAACCACAUCAUACCCACGGCCACAUUUGUUCCCCGUUUGCCGUGGGUAGACACUCGCGGUCAGUCUGGUUGGGCAGAUUUUACCCUUUUUUUUUUGUUUUUAAUAUAUUAUAUUACUCGUGAAAACUCUUAUUUGACAUUCUAUAUUCAAUACAUGAUCUAAAUUCAUUAAAAUUUCAUGGACCGACUCUUGAAUACCCGCUAUGAUAGAAUAUUCAUGUGGGACGUUCUCAGAUUUUACACGUGUGAUACAUGUUCCUUCUAUUUCUCCAAAUAACGCUCUUCGUAUCGCAAUGCCUAUUGUGUCGGCUUGACCUUUCAUAAGUGGAGGGAAUACAUAGAGUUCAGAGAUGAAAUUCCGAAUGUCUUUGAUGCUGAAUAAAUGAUCGACAUUUAUCGAAUUUGAAAAAGAGUCAGUUCGAUCCUCUUAUAAUGAUUUCUCGAUUAGAGGUCUACUUCCUCUCUUCAUGGAAUAAAUACAGGCCAUUUAUAUGAGAACAUCGAAUCAGAAACUACUUAAUUUUAAUAAGAAAAAAAGUAUCCUCUGCUUAAGAAAUCUUUUUACUAUUAGUUUUCGCGGAAACUUCAUUGAAGGAAUUGAUGGUUUAACAUUAAUGAAAUCUAAGCAACAGGGCAAGAAGUGUGUAUAGUAAGGGUUGGCAUACUUAGAUUUAUCAAUGAGCAGCUACAGUCAUGUAGUACUGAAUAAAAUAGAAUUGAAUUACAGCAAUGAAAUGUAAGAAUAAGAUAUUAAAUCAGUCAAAUUCUGGAUGAUUGGAAAAUGAAAAUUUAAAUCUAAUCACUUUUAUCUCAAUUUUGGUGAUGAAUUCCAUAAAUACCUAUCAUAGAACAAAAUUACAGCUCUAAACCUGUUCUAUAUUGAACAUAAUGAAUUCCAAAUAAUGUUUUAUAUAAUAUCUAAGGUAAGGGCACAAAAAAAAUUUCAAACUCAGAAAUUUUAAUGUUAUCAUCCUUCACCUUCAACCGAAUUUCUAAGAAAUAACAUGAAAGAGGAAUAUAAUAUUUGAUUCAACUGAAGUUCACAUAAGUACAAAACCAGUAGCAGAGAAAUAAAACUAAAUUAUGUCCAACAUGAGUUCAGGACAACACUCAGCACUUUCAGAUUGCAAACAUGGCUUUAGUUGUUGUAAUAUCUCUAGAUCCAAGUUCUGUAGUUUCCUCAUCCAGUCUGGAAGCUAUUCCCUUUUCCAUAUACGGGUCAAUUGUUUUCUUACAUUUAGCGCUUGAAAAUAUGAACAACGAGAAGAAUAAUAAACUAAAAAUGACUAGAAUAAUAAUAGAACAUUUUUCUCCUUCAUUAGCACCUGUUGUGAAACCAUCACUACUGUCAACGUCAUCUGGUUCUGUAUUUUCUUCUACAUCAGGCCUUUUAGAAUCUAUUUUGAACAUCCUAGAUUCAGUCCCAUCUACUUCUUCAUCCCCAACAUCAGUACAAACUAAAUUUUGGCGAUUAAACUUUGAAGUUAUUCAAAUAUGUUAUUGGGUAGAUGGUGGUUGAUUCUCUUGGAAUGCAAGUUCCACCCGCACAUUACACACUUCAUUUUCUGAUAUGAUUCAUUGUAUGUUAGGAACAUUUCUUGCUUUUGGUUAGAGAGUUGCCAGCCAAUCAAGUCUAUCUCUAGCUUCGUUGGAAAACAUGAGUAAUAUACUUGUUGAGCUUGUUGAGCAAGUAUAAACAUAUCAUUUGUUUAUAGUUUCUUCUUAUGAUUAAGCUCGACAAGACCGAAUUGUCAAUGGACUCCAGCUCCACCAUUGAUGUCAAACCAAUCACACUUGAAUAAUGUUACCUUUUUUCCAACAUCUCCUAAAUAAUCCAAUUCCAGUAUGUCGUUAACAUACCAUAAUAGUCACACUCAUAGUUAUUAUAAAAACUUCCUAGUACCGACACGCCACUAUUCAUUGUUUUUUUGUGGGAACCAUAAUCUACAAGUGUGUAACUUAAAAUCAUUAACAAAAUAUCCAUUAUAACAAUUCUUCAUACGAGAGGGGCCCAUAGCCAAAGCCUUUUAUGCGAUUGUCAACUUUAUUAUGAUCGUUCAAAAUGUGAACAGAAGAAAUGAUAUGCAUUAGAACUCAUUUUACAAAAUACUUUGUGGGGGUAACUGAGAUAUUAUUUGUAAUACCUUAAUAAAAAAAAUACAAAAAAGAAAAGUCAAAGAUGUCAUAAAUAAAAAUAAAAAAAUAAAAAUAAAAAAAAAAAAGGAAUGAGGCAGUGGAGCAAAUAAAAAUCCAUUAUCCACAUUAAAACACAUACAGUGAAAAAAAAAAACGUGCAGGGAGAGAAGAAGAAGAAGAAAAAAAAUAGAAAUUUUUUGCCAACGUGUUAGGAAUUAAGUGGUCUACAUUAUUAUGUUUGAAUUCCUCAAUUUUGAAAGGUAAGUAAAAAGUUACUUAUUAUCAAGUUAUCUUUGAUUUUAUAAUUGUUAAAUUGUUAGAUUAAAUUCAAUUUUAUUGAAGGGGUUAAGUGUAAUAAACUAUGAAAUUGAGUAAGAUGAAAGAAAAGCUAGUUUUAGUUAUUAAAGAGACUGUAGAAAUUGUCCAAACGUGAAAUGAUUAAGUUUGGACAUUGCCUAUUUAAUUAUUGAAAUUUCUUAAAAUAAUUAAUUGUUGAUUUAAAAAUUAUAUCAUAUUUCAAGCGGCGAUAUUGACAUCGAAACAGCUUACCAACGAGUUAAUUUUUUGAACAUAGUACUGUGAAUGGAAAAAUAUAAAUAUUUUUAAAGUAUUUAUAAAUUAAGUAUAUUGUUAAAGUAUGUGCAAUUAUAUGCAAUUAUGUAUUUGAAUUACGUGGUUAUUAUGGAAAUCUCUUUUAUUAGGAUACAUGUGAAAUAUCAAAGAUUAUUUAUGGCAUAGUUGUGACUUGGUAUGUAAGACAUGUGAUAUUGAGAUUUGUUUGGUAUGUGAGAUAUGCAAUAUUGAGAUCGGCCAGAAAAAUACCCAUGAUUAUAUACUUCCUCUAGUUCACAGAGAGGUUUUGGCCGUGUUCUAUCCUACAUGGAGGGUCUUGACCUAACAUUGGUCUUGAUCAUAUACAUAUAGUCCACAAAGAGGCCUUGGUCGUGUUUUAGAAUUGAUUAUGAGAGGUUUUUGAGAUCGACUUUCGUUCACGGAGGGGCCAAAGGUCUGUGGCGAAAGUUUUUAGCCCGAGGGGCAGAUUAUAUAUUUUAGUCAGAGAGUAUAUUUUUAGUGGAUUGUUUAGCAUGUUUGAUGUUAUGAGAUUAUAACAUGGUUAUCAACUGAUAUUCAUAUUAUAAUUUUGAGAUGAUAUUUUAUGACCUUAUGUGAAUAUUUCACUUUUGGUUAUAAUUACAAGAUGUUAUCUUGUGAAUUAUUAAAUGAUAUGAACUCCAUUUUCGAUAGAAAUGUAAAAUUGAAAAAGUAUAAUUAUUUUCGAACUACUCCACUCACUGAGUUAUCAACUCAUAUAUUUUUCCACGAUUUUUUCUACAAGUAGAAAUUGAUCCUUCUUAGCUGGAAGAGCCUAAUGAUUUCGGAAUAAGAGCCACACGACAUGUUGAGUGUUAUAAUUUAUAUUGAUGAAGCACGAAGUAAAUAAUUUGGGGCCACGCAUUAUGUUUUAUAUAAAUAUUUGGUUUUGGCGCAUUUUUUUAAAUAACUCAUAGUUAGCCUUGGUGAUAGAUUUGACAUCUAGUCAGCAUUUAUCAUCGGCGCACGUCACGUUUCGGGUCCACUAGGGUAAUUCGGGACGGGUCGUGUCAUUAUUUACAAAAAUCAUUUACAUAUUCCAUCAACCAACACACAAAUUUCUUCCCUUAAACCAUCAAAUUGUGCAUCACACAUUUGGGAAUACAAUAUUCUCAUAACUCCCUACAUGUGAGAAACUGUAAAUGCAGAUAACAAACCAUAAAAUUCAAUAUAUAUUAGAAUUGUAAUUAUAACAACUUAUGCCACAAAAGGAUUUACUUCCUCGCAAUUCUAGAACACAUACAUUGAACUUAUUCGUCAUUAAUAUGAUAUUAUGACAGUGAAUGCCAAAGGGUCAUCUAUGGUGGUAAAAAUUGAUAGUCUCCCUAGGGCAUUAAUAAGACCUCCAUCAUCAUUCCUCACACACGAUUCAAUCUUGUUUGAAAAUUUUAAUCAAAGUACAAAGAGCAAAAAGUUGAUGUUUCCUCUACCAAGUAUGCCUCCACGAUAGAUGCCUCAACAUGAGCCCAAUUUUUCACCUUCUUUUUUAAGUGGUGUAGGAACUGUGAUACAUGAAAUCAAUAUCAUUUAGUCUUUAGAAUAUAAAUUAGAAGCGUGUGGUACCUCUCAAAAAUGAUAUAUCCAACGAUAAUGCACAGGACCUCCAACCAUAGUUGUUAAACCCACCCGGACAUCAACCCGGUCGAGGUACCUAGUCACGGGUUAGUGGUUGAAGUGGUAUGUUAGUGGUUAGACCGGUGGGUCAUUAUUUAAAAAUUCUAAAAAGUUUUUUUUUUUAAAUAUGAAAUUUUCUUUGAGAUAAAAUAAAAAUUUUCAAAUUAUUUAUCAUUAAUUAUUUAUAUAUUUUUAGAUUAUUUUGUUGAAUCAAUUCAUUUUAAUUAAAAUUAGGACUAUAAUUUUUUAAAAUAUUUUUAAUAAAGAUACACACACACACGGCAAAUAGGUAACAAUAAUCUAUUGAGCUCUAGUGGUUAGGUAUUGCCCAUCUUACCAUGAGGUCAAAGGUUCAAGUCUUAAAUCUUUUAAAAACCAAAUAUUUAAGGAAAAACUUUUGAAAUUCGGUCAAAGCAGUCAACAGUCCGGUUUGGAAUAAAAAUCAACCCGAUUUGGUAAGAAAAAAGCUGAUUAAAUCGGUCAACCAAUGAGUUAACUCGGUCAAACUCGAAGAAGUUUGACCGAGUCAUUUGCAUUUGUGUAAAAUUAUUCAACCCGGCCCGAUUAAGAGCCAGAGUGAUCGGUUUCCCGGUCGAUCGACCGGUCUGGGCCGGGUUUGAUAACUAUGCCUCCAACAUUUGCUUCAUAUGCUAAAUGAAUAGAUAAAUGCUACAUUGAAUCGAAAAAUCGUAGUGGAAAUAUCUUUUCAAGCUUGCAUAAUGUCACAACAAUGUUUUGUUCCAAUUGUUCCAUAUCUUUUCCCUCAAAACAGUAGAGAAUAUUCUUAAAAAUGGCUAAAUUUAGUUAAAGCUUCUCAAAUUGGUUCGGGCAAGUCGUUAAAUGCAAUCAAUAGAAAUAUUUGCAUAAAAAUAUGACAAUCAUGGCUCUUCAUUCUAUGGAACUCACUACCACCCUUAACACAAUUUCAAAUGUUUGAUUCAUAACCGUCAGGCAUUCUUAGAUUCCUAAUCCAAUUGCACAUUUUUACAUUAGUUAAGCUAUAGGAGGUCUUUGACAAGAGUAGUUUUCCUCUUUCAUCUUCAUAUGUAUGAAGCUCCGAAUGGUUGUAAUAAAGUUCAAAAUCCUUUCUAGCCUAGAAGUUAUCUUUAUUUUUUCCUUUUAUAUCCAUAAUUGUAUUCAAUACAUUUUCGGAUACAUUAUUUUCAAUGUACAUCACAUCUGAAUUAUGCCUUAUGAGAUUUGUAUUCCAGUAAGUCAACUCCUAGAAAAUGCCCCUCUUUACCCAAUUAUGGCUAUGACCGAAACCUUCGAUUUCUUUUCUUUUAUCGUCUCUGCCACUUGCAAUGGGUGGGAGGUUCUCCACUAUACUUUGCAAGUCUUCACUAGUUAGCCUAUGUUGUGCCAUAUCCUUCUCAACUCUACCUUUAUAAAAUUUGUCUCUUCAUUUUCAAAUACAUGGUCGGGUGGUAGGGAUUGAUAGUAACAAUCAUAAGAAGAUUUUUUUUCCCUCUAUUUUUAAGCCUGAAAGAUUUAGUUUGACCCAUACUGUAUGGACAAAACUUUAGGUCUUGCAUACUUCAUCCACAUAACAUGCCUAAUAGUCCACAUCAAUGUAGCUUUCAACUAAAAAUUCUACUUCAUUUGUAUGUCAAUGUUUCAAUAACUUCACCCUAAAGCAUUUUUAGUUCAUUAAUGAAAAAAUGCAAAUAAAUAUCAAGGUUUUUCCCUAGGCUCUUUGGUCCUGGGAUAACCAUACUCAAAAAGAAGUUAUCUUGUUGUUUACACAUAAAUAGCGGACAAUUUACAAAUUAAUUAUUACUAGCCAACAUGAGUAUUGCACAUUUGACAUGCUAAAAGUGUUCAACCCAUCCGCACAUAAACCAAGGCAUACAAUACAUAGCUUAAGAGAAAAUUAAAGAAAAGUUCUAUCAAAGUACUUUCAUGCCUCACUGUGUAUGGGAUUGAUAUUUCAAUAUAAGUUAAUUUAAUUAUUUGAGAGCCAUAACAUGUGCUCUGCAAUAUACCUAGACAUAUACAAUCGUUCAAGCUUAGAUGUUAGAGGUAGAUAUCACUGUACCUUCUAAAGUACCCUACGACUAGAUCGAGACAUCUUCUCUUUGUAUCGUCGAUUAAAAUACAUAGGACGUUGUGUCACUCUCAGUUUCUUUAUAGUACAAUAUGCACUCAUUCAUACAAGCAUGGAUCUUCAUAAAACCAAGGCCAAGACUGGAUAACAAAUGUAGCUUCUAACCGGUGAUCCUCUAGUAUAAUUUCCUUAAUGACAGACAACAUACAAUCAUAACAUGCUGUAGCCAUAUAAAAUUUAGACUUUAGAUUCAAAAGUUGUUCCAUAGUAGAAAGGCUAGUGUGUUUACUAUAAUCAAGCCACAUAGGUUUGUCAGCUUCUUCCAAUAGUCUAAAGAAAUUUAUUGCAUGUUGAUUUGGAGCUUGUUCCUCAUAAGCACAAACAUUUAGAUUGAUGUAAUUAAUGUACAUUUUAGGGCCAAUCACAUCAAUCACCAUUGCUUCAUGACUAUCACAUCAAUCACCAUUGCUUCAUGACUAUCAUUUGUUGUAGCUUGUGUAGUUGAGGAUUCAACCAAAUCUACACCAUUGAAACUGAAUGUUUCUCAAUGUGUGUUUCAUUGUGCAUCGUCCCUUGUAAAUCCAUUUUUUGUAAAGAUGAAAUUUCACAUCAUCUCCUUUCGAAAACCUUGUGCUAUAACAUAUAAAAUAUGGACAUUUGAUCAUAUCUCCAACUCUUGUUCGAGACUUGGCAAAAUUCAAUGAACUCUUCAGCACCUUCAAUGAAUCUGCCAAAAGAAAUCCAUCAUCUUACUGAUUCGACAUUCAACUAUGGUCCGAUGCCACAACGUUCAAGAAGUCAUAGAUUUUACCUUCAUGAAUUUUUACAUGGUUAGAAUUUUAAACCUGCAAAAUGAAUCCAAUUAACUCCUUUUAUAGAAAAAAACAAAUUUCAUAAUAUGGAUCAGUUUUAAAAUAAACAAACAGUUCAGGAAGAACCAAUUUUAAUUCAGAUUAAAAGCCAAACUACUUCAAUUCAUAAUUUCCAUUAAUAAGCAACGCUCAAUCCUAGUUACAUUCUUAAUUAAGAUUAAAUAUUUAACAAAUUUUCAAAAAAUCAAGUAACACUUUUCAAUCAAGAAUCUCAAUUAUUGAUUACUUAAUACUUCAAGAGAGGAAUGGGUUGUGUUCAAAGUUAGACCCAAUUGCAAUACACUAACAUGAUAAAUAGUAAAAUCGAUCAGAUUACCUUGAGGUUUCAUAUUUAUUUUCAUGUAAUACCUUUUUCUUAUCUUCAAAGGGUGAUCUCGUCUAUAAUAAGAAGAGAGUCCAGAAGCUAAUGUUGAUGACAAGUUCAGAAAACAAAGGUCUCUAGAUCGAAUUUAUGGGAUAGAUUGGCUGAAUGUAAAAAGAGGAGAUUGAAAAAUACAUUGAUGAAUUAUGGGAUAGAAUGAUAGAAACCAUUGUUUCAUAUUUGAUUUUGAUUUAUUUUUAAUUCUAAACAAUUUACUAACAAAACAAACUGUAGGAACAGUUUACAAUUAAAUAAAUUAAUUUGAAUAUAUUACAAACAGAUAUUUAGUGUACUAACAACGAAUAAAUUUUUAGGUAAAUUUUAAUUAAUUUUUUAUUUUCUUAAAUUUCACAAUCGACAAUUAUUACCUUGCAAUCUUCAUUGGUAAUUUUUUAUAAUUUUUUUAGGAAAAUAUACCCAUGAAUUAACAACAAAAUCUCAACGACGUCUAUAUGUUAUCGAUAAUUCCAUUGCGACGGCAUUUAUUUUUUAGUUAUAGAUUUUUUAUAAUAUUUCGUUGGUAUCCGUUAGUAAUAGCAUGGGAUGGCUUCCAUUAGUAAAAACAGUCUUUAAAGCCUCCCUUUCUAGUAAUGUAGGUGUAGGAGAUGAUGUAGGUAAUGGGGAUGAUAGAAUGGUUAAAAUAGAUAAAUUGAGAGACUAUGAGGAGGAGGAGUUAAUAGCGUUUAAGACAAUAUCAUUGGCAAGGGCGGAUUUAGGUGGUGGGGAGCCCUAGAUUCACCAGGGAGAUUUUUUUUUAUUUUUUUUUCUGAUAUUAGAUAGAAUUUUUAGAUUAUAUAUUUAAUAAUUCAUUGACAACAAACAUAUUUGGUAGAUCAGUUGGUUAGUCCUUUUCUUAUUGAAUUUGAGGUCUUGUGUUCGAAAUUCUUCAAGAGCAAUACUUUUUUAUAAUUUUUGUAUUUCAACAAUUUUUACCAAAGCAAAAGCAAGGAAGUUGAUUCGAACCUACUACCUUCCUUAAAUAUAUUGAUCACUUUACCAUUAUAAUACUUAUUGAUUUUUAGCACAUAAUGUAACAAAAUAAUAUAUGUUCAAUUUUAUUGGUUUGAUGCAGGUAGAGACAUCUUAAUCCGUGCUUUGUCCCUCCUCUUGAUUUUCUUUUUUUUUUCCCCUCUAAUCAGUUGAUUUGAGAGUUUGGUCAAUUAAUGGUGAAUGAAUUUGUAGAAAAAUUGACAUUAGUGUCAUAAGAAAUCUUUCAACAAAACUUAUUUAAUUAAUAAAAGGUUCCACUUUUCGUUCACAAAAAAUCGAUUGCGAAAAAGUGAAAUCAUACAAGCGCAUAAAAUUGAUAUAAGCACAUAAAUAAUUUUAAUUUUGUUAAUAUAAUAAUGCUUGUUUAAUUAACUUUAAUUGUAAACUAUUGGUACUUUGUUAAUAUAUAUUACCUAUUUAAUUGAAAAUAAAUUAGGGCAUUUUGCAUAUUUUGGAACGAUUUUUUAUCCAAAAUGAAAGUUCGUACCUAGUUCUAAUUUUAGUGGUGUAUCUAGUUCUAAUUCCAUACGAUUUUUUGAAAAUUAUUUAAUUAAAUAUUAAUAAACAACCCCGCUAUUACGGACAUUGGCCGUCGAUAGUAAGCUUUCAACGCUCACGGUCUACCCUAACUGAACUCGACCCUUGGAUUUGCCCCUGAUCAUUGGUUGAGGAGGAGCUAAAAGGUUGAGUAGGUAUAUUUUCAGAUUAAUUAAGGAAAAAGUCUACAUUAUAAGCAUCAUCAUCGACUGGAAUGUGACAAAAGUUAUCAUGAGGUGAAUUUGUUGAAUUUGGAGAAGAAGUAGGCUGUGAAUUUUGUGAAAACCAUUCAUCACAGUUAGGGAAAGUAGUAAUUGAUAAAUUUAUGUGGGCAUCAACAUAUUUUUAGAUGAAUAAAGAAAAUGAUUUUCAUUAAAUUCUAUGCGGCAAAAUAUAUAUGCAACGACUAUGUUAAUUAAGACAAUGAUUUUUUUCAUAUAACGGAUUAUAUAAUAAGACCACAUAAGGGUUUGUUUUACGAUAAAAUUUAUACUUUUCUAUAAUUUUUAAAUAUGGAAAACAUAGGUGAUUUGUUUUUGAAAUCCCACAUUGAGUCAAAUGAUGUGUGAAAUCAUUCAAAUGAAUUCGCCACCUCCGUCAUUUUGGAAGAUUUUGGUUUUCCUGUCAAAAUGAUUCUCAACAAAAACUUGAAAUUCAAGGAAACAAGAUCAGAAUUGUUUUUUAAAGGAAAUAACCAGUAUAGCGAGUAAAUUCAUCAAUAAAAAUCACAUAAUACUGGAAUUUUGGAGAAGACAAUGUUGGGGUAGGCCCCCAUAAGCCAGUGUGGUUUUUUUCAAGAGGAAAAUUUGAAAUAGUAUAUCGGAUCUAUUGAAUGAAACAUCUUCUAGGUUGACAAUUUGUAGAUGUAACAUUUUUGGUCAAUCUUUUUAGCAAAUUAUAUUGUUUUCUGAUGUCCUUUAGAAAAUGAGAUUUGGAUGUUCUAAAUGAGCAUGCCAUAUUGCUGAAGAGCCUCCUUAAGUAGUGGUGAAUCCAACAUCAACGUUCAGCUAGGGCGGAGGUUAACUUUGAUCGUUGACCGUCGACAAUCAAUGAUCGUAAAAGCCAUGUCCUGUCGAUAGUCGAUCGUUUAUUAAAAUUAGAUUAAAUAAUAUUAAAAAUUAUUCAAUAUAUAUAUAAAUGCACUAAAAUCUAGAAACUAUAUAGAUAUGAAAAUAUAGUUCAAUACAACCCAAAAUGCUAAAAAAAUAUAUAAUACUACCUUACCCUGUAAUUGUAAAUUUAGACAACUGAAUUCUACGAGGUCGCAUAUUUUGAAAACAUUGUAAUAUUGUCUCAUUCUCAAGUUUUAUAAAAUGAUCUUUUUCCAUGUAAACCACCAACUUGUCAUUCAACAAUUCGUCUCCCAUUUUGUUGCACAGAUCAUUCUUGACUAGAUUCAUAGCAGAGAAUACUCUUUCAACACUUGCAAUUGCCACAGGUAAUAUCAAAACCAAUGUGAUCAACCUAUAAACCAAUGAAAAAUAACAAGAACUUCCAGUUUCAACCAACUUCUGAGCUACACAAGAUAUGCUUUUGAGGUUGAAGAAAGCUUCAUCCAUUUUCACGAGCAUAAAAAAUUUGUCAAGUUGAGGUAUAAGUAAUAAAAGCUCUUCACUAUUGAAAUCCAAAGGAUAUAACUGAGCAAGUCAUACAAAUUUAUAUACAUCAAAAGCUGCAAAUAAAUCUCUUGGACUUAAACACGAAAUGCUAGUAAAAAGCUCAGUAGUAGUUUCUAGAAAACGAUCAUUCAACUCUUGCGAGAUUGAAUCUAUCACAUAACAAUAAAAAUCAACAUAAAAGCGAUGAUAAUAAGUCACUUGCUAAGUUGCACGCCUAGGUCAACCUUUCAAUACUACAAUAUCAUUCAUAUUGGGCAUUGAAAUAUGUCUAUCAGCACAAAACUCAAUUACCUUACUCAACAAAGUAUCCCAACCAUUGUCUCAAAUGUUCUGCAAUGCGUACUUACACAACUUCAAUAACCUCAUAACAUUCUGAAUAUCCUGAUUCUUUUUUCUGUAAGGCUUGUGAAAGGUAGUCUGUAAUUGCAAGAAUUUCAAAUAUGAAAUGGAGACUGAACACAAAUUGAAAUUCUUGCAUAGUGUCUAUCUGUCUUACUGCCAUUGAUUUUUGCUCUAAAUUUAUGCCAUCUUCUGAUAUAUUCUCAAGAACAUCUAUGAUCACAUUAAACAUAGUAAUGAAGCGAGUAAUUGUCUUUAGAUGUGAGCCCCAUCUAGUUUCACCUGGGCAUGCCAAACUCAUUUCUUGAAAUUGACCAAUUCCACCAGAAAGUUCCUUAAUAUUAAGCCUCUUCAGAAUUUCAGAAUAAUAACUUGUUCGAAGAGCAUCUAUACGUUUACAUGAUACACCAACCAAAUUCACAAUAAUAGCAAGUAUGUUAAAUAAAUCACUAAGCAUAACAUUCCUAUGUGCCAAGAAACAACUGUCAACUGAAGCUGAUGAGCAAAGCAAUGAACAUACAGAGCACAUGGGUUCUCUCUUAAAAUUAAAGCUUUUAAGCCAUUUAACUCGCCUGACAUAUUGCUUGCUCCAUCAUAACCUUGACUUCUCAGGCUAGAUAUGCUCAACCCAUGGGUAGAAAAUAUUGCAUCAAUGACAUCCUUGAGUGAUUGGGCACAAGUAUCAGCGAUGUGGGAAAUGCCUAACAAACGCUCCUUCACUUGCCCACUUUUUUCAACAAACCUCAAAACAACUGCCAUUUGUUCUUUUAUAGAAUUAUCAUGAGACUCAUCAACCAAAAUUGAAAAUAAAGAAUCACCCAUCUCAUUGAUCAUAGACCUUGUCAUCUCUACAGCACAACAAUUAACCAAAUCCUUAUGGAUGCUUGGUGAAGUCAUUUGGUUAUUUUCAGAAGCAUUACUAAAUAGUACUUCAUUAAUUUUCUUAUGACGAGCUGCAUACCAAUUUAAUAGCUCAAUUAGAUUUCUUUUAUUAAGAGACUCUUUCGAUUCAUCGUGACCACGAGAUGGCAAUCCUUGCAUCAAGAGGGAUCUAGUACAGCUAGCACCGCAGUCAACCUUGUCCUAUAAAUUUUUUGUUGACCACUAUUUUGGCUAGAAAUAAUAUAGGAGAUACUUUGCUUUUGAUUCAUCAAAUUGGUACACUUUGCGAAAGCUUGAUUAUGAGCACCAUCAACGAUCCCGACAUGAUCUUUCAAUGUAUUAUUGUGCUUCGAAUCCCUAAAGUCGGUCUUAGUGAAUAUAUGUCCACCCCCUUGGCCCCCUCUAUCAGGUUUGAACAAGUAGCAAUGCAAACAAUAAGCCGCAUCAUUUUCUAUACUGUACUCCAACCAAUAAAAUUCAAAAAACCUUUCUUUUUGAAAACACCUAUUAUCAUUUCCUAUCCGUCUUUUUGGAAAGUCAUGUCCAUGGGGUUGACAAUGACCUUUUUCCAAAUAUGGCAUCCUAACAUCAUCUCUGAUAUUAGGAUCAUAUGACUCGAUAAGGGGGCAUUUUCUUGGAUCAGAUACAGGAUCAUCCACAUUGAAUUGAGCCUGAGACUUCUUUGUACUAUUUAACAACUCAAGUGCUCGGCUAGAAGCAGCAGCGAAGCUAGAAGCACAACUAGAACUAGGUAUAGACUUUCGUUUCUGUUGAAAAAAUCGUUCCAUAAUCUGCAAAAUGCCCCAAUUUAAUUUUCAAUUACAAUUGAUUAAAAAAUCAACAAUUUAACAAAAAAAUUCCCAAGAGUUAGAGAGCAGUGUAUUAGAAAAAAAUCAACAAUUCAACAAAAAAAUCCCCAAAAGUUAGAGAGCAGUGUAUUAGAAAAAUCGAACACUAAAAAAUUAGUCAAAGUUGCUACGUCUCUAGUUGGUAGGUUGGCCAUUUAUGUCAAUUUGAAUACUCAAACAUGUCAAAAGCAAAUAAAUGCUUGAAGUAUUAGAAACAACAAAAUUAUUAUUUAUUAGAUACGACACAAAUGAAAUACUACCAAUUUUUUGCCCAUCUUAAUACUAGUUAGUGAAAUUCUGUAAAAUAGUCCAAAUUCGAUUUGUAAAAGCAAACCAAAACCACUGCUAUUCAACUGAGGUCUGAGAAUAUAUAUUAUAGAAUAUAGACUACGAAAAUUCAAUAAUUAACAAAAGAUUUUUCAACCAAACUCGGUCUCAAUUAGAAACCUAACAAAGAGAUGAUUUCACAUUUUCACUAAUUCUUAACAAAAUAUAAGCAAUUGCAAGUUCAUCCACUUUUUUAUCAAAAGAUUUUCUCAAUUCAAUGGCGGAUCAAAAAAUGCAAGAGCACCAGACUUCAGUUACACGAGAAGUCGAGAAGAACUUAGGGAAGAAGUACUCACAAAGGGUUUGCUAAUUUGAUGCGAACCUCGUAGCAGCGUUGACUACGAAACUCACGACUAGAUUGUUCCAAAACCUCAGAAAAGCUAAAUAAAAGGUUUGGAGAUUGAACCUUAAAUUAAUGAAACAACAAACCCAGCAAGAAUGUUGCUUGAAGGACCUCUUGAUUACACAAUCCAAUACCCGCACUCGAUUUGUAGAACACCAAAAGAAUAAUUCUUGAUAAGUUGAAAGAGUUCAAUUAAGAACAAGGAAUGAAAGCAAUCAGUCUUUCAAUUAAUUCGCAAAAUAAUGUCUGGCCCCUUACAUGGAAGAAAUAAGAAUAGAACUCUAAAAUCCUAGAAAAUAUGGAAAAGAUUCGUUAAAUAUCAUAAGAAUUUGACUAAUAAUAAAAUUCUAACAACUAUGGGAAAAAAAAAGCGAAAAAGGAAAAUUCGCCUAUCGCCUAAGCCUAUGCGACAGCAUGGUUCUAGGACUUGCGGUCGCAUGGUUCAUUCAACCUCGCCUCUGGAGUCCCCUGUCGAGGUGUAUAUGAUCGCAUGCUUCACAAUGCUAUUCGAAGCAUCGCAUUGCGAUUCGGCCUGAACUUCGUCCACUAAUAUCUUAUUGAUCCAAUUCACUUCGGCUCUCGACCCAAACAUGAAAGUUGCCUCAUUUUGCAUCUCGAACAUCAUCCCAUUAAGGGUUUCUUGAACGAGCAAUCUCAUCGCUUGUUUCACUUACUUUGCCCUUGUUUGCGUCAUCGGUCCGCCUUCGAUUUUCAACGGGUCUCGUCUCGAACUUGCCGUCUUCAAGUUUGAUUGUUGGAUCACAUCAUCACCUUUCUCUUCAAAAGGAUUCAUCCUCAAAUCUGCACCUACAUCAAAGAGAGAGAGAGAGAGAGAGAGAGAUAUCAGACAUGUUAAAAGUUGUUGAAACAUUAUACUCACUUGGUAGGUCCAACUUAUAUGCAUUAUCGUUGAUCCUUUCAAUGACUUGAAAUGGACCAUCCUCCCAUGGUUGCAACUUUGACUUCCUUUGUUCUGGGAAGCGUUCUUUUCUAAAAUGCACCCAAACCUAAUCUCUUGGUUUGAAUGUCAUACGCUUUCUACCCUUGUUUGUCUACGAUGCAAUGAGCCUGUUUUUGUUUUCAAUUUGCAAUUUUACCUUUUCAUGUAGUGAUUUUACCAAUUUUGCUUUUCUUUUUCCAACUAAACUUCUACUUUGUAGGUAACGAAAUUAAAUCCAAAGGGGUUAGUGGAUUAAAACCAUAAACAACUUCAAAAGGUGAAAAUGAAGUAGUAGAAUGAACAGCACGAUUAUAAGCAAACUCGACGAACGGUAAACACUCUUCCCAAUUUUUCAAGUUCUUAUUAAUCACUAUGUGCAAGAGUUGAGUCAUAGUCCCAUUGAAUACCUCGGUUUGUCCAUCGGUUUGUGGGUGACAAGUUGUAGAAAAUAGCAAUUUUGUUCCUAACCCCACAAAACUCGUCAAAAAUGACUCAAAAACUUCACAUCCCUAUCUGGCACUAUACUCUUUGGAACCCCAUGCAAAUGCACAACCUCUUUAAAGAACAAAUCAACUAUAUGCGUGGCAUCAUUGGUUUUGUGACAUGGUAUAAAGUGCUCCGUUUUACUAAACCUAUCUACCACCACAAAAAUUGAAUCCCGUCCUUUCUUAGUUCUAGGUAAAUCUAAAACAAAAUCCAUUGAAAUAUCAACACAUGGUUCAUUAGGUGUAGGUAAUGGUGUGUAUAAUCAUUGAGGUAAAUACAUAGACUACAAAUUCUCCCAACAUCAACUUCCAUCUUAGACCAAUAGAAAUGCUCCCUUAACAUCUCCAAAGUCUUCUAUAUCUCAAAAUGUCCCAUCAGUCCACCACUAUUUUCCCAAAAGAAAUAACCCUCAUGCCUAAAGAACUUAUCAAUAGCCCCCUUUUCACAAGAUUUAUAAAUAUCCGAAAAAUCUAAGUCAAUUUCAUACACACUCUUAAUAUGUUCAAAACCAAGCAUCUAGCACUUAAAAAAGUUAUCAAGGCAUACCUUCGAGAUAACGCAUCUGCCACUACGUUUUCUUUACCUUGCUUGUACUUGAUGACGUAGGGAAAUGUCUCAAUGAACUCCAUCCAUCUAGCGUGCCUUUUGUUCAACUUUCCUUGACCCCGCAAGUGCUUCAAUGAUUUAUGAUCGGUGUGAACAACCAACUCCUUUAGCCACAAGUAGUGCUAUCAUAUCUCCAAUGCCCGGACAAGUGAGUACAACUCUUUGUCAUAUGUUGGGUAAUUCAAUGCAGCUCCACUAAGCUUUUCACUGAAAUAGGCUAUCAGUCUCAUUUCCUCAUUAAAACUACUCCAAUACCUAUUCUUAAAACAUCACACUCAAUCUCGAAAGUUUUGUUAAAGUCAAGUAAUGCUAAAAUAGGUGUUUUACACAACCUAUCCUUAAUGGUACUAAAUGCAUGCUCAUGUUCACCACCCCAAUGAAAAUCCAUACUCUUCUUAGCAACUUCAGUGAGAGGUGCAGUGAUUGUGCUAAAAUCCUUUACAAACCGCCUAUAAAUAUUAGUCAAACCAUGGAAACUCCUAACCUCAGUUAUAGUUUUAGGUGUAGGCCAAUCUUUAAUAGCUUUUAUCUUUUCUUCCUCUACUUCUACCCCGUUAGCACUGGCCACAAAACCUAGAAAGACAACUUUUUCCAUACAAAACGUGCAUUUUUUGAAAUUAGCAUACAGUUGUACUUUCCUUAACACUACAAGCACACAUCUCAAAUGUUCCACAUGCUCAUUGAGAUUUUUGCUAUAGAUUAAAAUGUCAUCAAAGUAUACUACAACAAAUUUUCCAAUGAAAGCACGUAAAACAUGAUUCAUUAAACGCAUAAAAGUACUCGGUGCAUUAGUGAGUCCAAAUGGCAUAACCAACCAUUCAUACAAGUCAUAUUUAGUUUUAAAUGCAAUUUUCCACUCAUCACCCUCCCUCAUGCGAAUUUGAUAGUACCUACUCUUAAGAUCAAUUUUGCUAAAAAUACAUGCACCAUGCACCAUGCAAUUCAUCCAACAUAUCAUCUAACAUAGGAAUUAGGUGACGAUACUUUACCGUUACAUUAUUGAUGACUCUGCAAUCUAUGCACAUUAUCCAAGAUCCAUGCUUCUUGGGCACAAGCAAUACUAGUACUGUACAUGGACUCAUGCUCUCCUUUACAUAGCCCUUGCUCAUCAACUCCUCUUCCUGCCUCUGAAGUUCCUUUGUCUCCUCGGGAUUGUUUCGGCAAGCUGGUCGAUUUGGAAUGACAGCUCCAGGUAUAAAGUCAAUCUGGUGUUCAAUGCCUCGAAUGGGUGGUGGCCCACUAGGCAUGUCCUCCGAAAAUGAAUCUUUGAAUUCCUGAAAUAAAGAUUUAGCCAAACUAGGGAGGGGUGUGUUAGUUUCCUCAAAAUUAAGGAGUGUUUCUUUAUACAACAACAAAAUCAUUUCAUUUCUUGCAACCACGGCUCUCUUCAAAUAACUCCCUUUUACAAAGAAAUUCGCUCGUAACUUCUCUUUUCUCUCGGAAGACUCUCUUUAUUUUUUCUCUUGUGGCUCCUCUCUCUUUUUCUCUCUAGUAGCCACCUCACUAUUUUCGCUCUUACUCACUAUCUCACUGUUUUCUCUCUUACUCACAACCUCACUGUUGUCUCUCCUUUUCUCUAACUCUUUUACUCUUCUCUCUUCCUCAUUCCUCAACUUGACUUGAUCCUCAUAUACUUGUGUUUGUGUUAAUGGCACAAGAGUAAUGAUCCUUCCAUCCUUAAUGAAACUGUAACGAUUCUUGUACUCAUCAUGCAUAGCUUUCCUAUCAUAUUGCCAAGGUCUUCCCAACAAAAUAUGUUCCGCUUGCAUUGGUACUACAUCACACACUACCUUAUCCGAUAACUUCCAAUUGAGAGAUUAAUUCACACUCUUCUAUUAACCUAACUUCUCCACUUUCAUUUAACCAUUGCAAUUUAUAUGGCCUAAGGUGUCUCAACAGUGUUAAAUUUAAUUUCUCUACAAGUGCUACGCUAGCAACAUUUGUACAACUACCACCAUCAAUGAUUACACUACAUACCGUAUUGUUGAUGUGGCAUCUGUUCUAAGUCAUCCGUCUUGAUGUGAGCAGUAAGAGCUCCCUUGCAAGUAGAAUAUCACCAAUAGCAUCUUCAAUCUUUUCUUCUUCACUAACCUCUUCCAAUGCUGGCAUGUCAUCAUAUUCACCUUCACUUUCACUCACCAUCUCUCGUUGUCUAUCAACACCAUUGCCCUUUUGUUUGGGCAUUGAGAUGCGAUGUGCCCCGACCCCAAGCAACUAAAACAUUUGAUGUCUUGACUCCUUGAUGGUUGUGACUCCGAUUUUGGUAUUAUUUUGCUAGCACCUUCAUCUUUUCCCUUCUGCCAAUCAUUCCUACCUUUAGGUACAGCUCCAUUUCGUUUGUUGUUGUUAUCCCACCUCGGUUUCCAAGAUGAAUUAGAGCCCAAAGUACCCAUUUGUGGUCUAGUUGUUCCCUUCCUCUUCAAUUGCCUCUUCACCUUCAUGGCUACAUGCAAUAUAUCUUCUAACUCCACAUAAUGUUGCAACGCCACUACAUUAGCAAUUUCUCAAUUUAACCCGUUUAAGAACCGUGUUAUGGUAGCUUUCCGAUCCUCAACCACAUUUGCCCUAAUCAUGAGUAUCUCCAUCUCCUUGUGAUAAUCCUCCACACUCUUCGACCCUUGAUGCAAACUUUGCAAUUUCUAAUGAUCUCCCUAUAAUAGUGGCUAGGGACAAACCAUUUUCUCAUCAAAGUCUUCAAUUCCUUCCAAGUACUAAUCAGUCUUUUCUCACACCUACGUUGUGAAGUAACCACCUGAUCCCACCAAGUUAUUGCAUAAUCAAUGAAUUCUAAUACUGCCAACUUCACCUUCUUCUCCUCCGAGUAGCAAAAAUCAACUCAACCUUUCUCUUCCACUCCAAAUAUGCCUCCGGAUCAUUUCUCCCUUUGAAUUGUGGAAUGGACAUCUUGAUAUUACCCAUGUUUCCAUCCAUCCCAUCCCCAUGAUUAUUCCUACGCCGUCUUUCUAACCUAUCACCUUUAUUCCUCAUUCGCCCCAAAUCAACAUCAUUAGUCUCAUACUCAUCCAUAUCACUAUCAUACUCGUCACGCCUUACCCUCCUAGGUUCUCGCCUACCCAAUCCCCCUAACAUUUGACACCUCCACUGGCUGUCCCCUGCUAAGAUUAGCCACCGAUGUAUCCAACCUAGUCAUCCAAGCCUCCUGCUUUAUUCUCCAAACUUCCUAUUGAUCCAACCAAUCCCUCACAACUACAAAUGCACUCUCAAAUCAUUGCAUCAAAUCAUCUGUUGCACUGUUAUGAUUGUCGUGUCGGCUUGAAUUGGAAUCUUCUCAUUCAGACAUCCUAAACUAAAUUUUUUUUAUCUGCCUCGCCAGUAAUCACUCAAAAAUCACACAAUAUGGCUUUUACCCUCUAAUAAGCUCACCACUCUGUCUUUUACCGCUCGAUGCUUUCUUCCAAGCUCUUCAAAGAACACAAUGAACUCAAAAAAAUUUUAAACCCGUGGAAUUCUUACCCGAAUGUGAACCAAGAAUUGUGAAACAAAAAGGGACUCAAAGAAAAAUUGAUGGAAUUGACUCAAACUUGACUGACUAAGGAAAAACUAAUGUGACUCGAAAGGAAUUUUAAAAGGAAAAAUUUGUUGGUAGUAAAGUGCCAAUGAAAAGAACAAUAACGAAAAAAAAUCUUUUUUUUACUAUAUGGAAUGAACAGUAACCGUGAGCAGUAAUUUUUUUUGUCGACCCUUUUUUUUGGACGUGAACAGUAACUGGCUCCCUUUUUUUAAUUAGAACAAUGAAUUAAACUACCAACAAUUUAACAAUGACUCAAACGAAGAAAAAAGAUAAGAUGAACAAAAAAAAUGAGAACUAGGACUCAAAUUAACAAGAAUCAAAGAACGAAGAAAGAAAAUUAAAAAAAAAACACGGAAAACUAGAAAACUAGACUCAACGAAAAAAACAAAAAGAUAUAACCUAUUAAUUGGAGUAUGGGCUCUGAUACCAACUGAUGCGAACCCCGUAGCAGCGUUGACUACGAAACCCACAACUAGAUUAUUCCAAAGCCCAGAAAAGCCAAAUAAAAGGUUUAGAGAUUGAACCUUAAAUUAAUAAACCAACAAACCCAGCACGAACGUUGCUUGAAGAACCCCUUGAUUACACAAUCCAAGACCCGCACUCGAUUUGUAGAACACCACAAGAAUAAUUCUUGAUAAGUUCAGAGAGUUCAAUUAAGAACAAGAAAUGAAAGCAAUCAGCCUUUCAAUUAAUUCGCAAAAUAAAGUCUGGUCCUUUACAUGGAAUAAAUAAACUUAUAUUUAUACUAAUCCUAGAAUAUAAGUUAUAAAAGGAAUAGAAAUCUAAAAUCCUAGAAAAUAUGGAAAAGAUUAGUCACAUAUCAUAAGAAUUUGACUAAGAACUAAAUUCUAACAAUUAUGGCAAAAAAAACACGAAAAAGGAAAAUUUGCGUGUCGCCUAAGCCUGUGCGACCACAUGGUUCUAGGACUUGCGGUCGCAUGGUUCAUUCAGCCACGCCUCUGGAGUCCCCUGUCAAGGUGCAUGCGACCACAUGCUUCACAAUGCUAAGCGGUCGCAUGGCAUUGUGAUUCGACCUGAACUUCGUCCACUAAUAUCUUAUUGAUCUAAUUCACUUCGGCUCUCAACCCCAACAUGAAUGUUGCCUCGUUUUGCAUUCCGAACAUCGUCCCAUCAAUGAUUUCUUGAAUGAGCAAUUCUGUUGCUUGUUUCACUUACUUUGCUCUUGAUCGUGUCAUCGGUCUACCUUCAAUUUUCAACGGGUCUCGUCUGGAACUUGCCGUCUUCAAGCUUGAUUCUUGGAUCACAUCAAAUUGCUCUUGCCUCUUCUCUAAUCUCUCUGGGCUCUGGGCCUACUGAUUUUGAGGGAAGGAAAUCGAAAGUGGGACUGAUUCGAGAAACGAAAGCUUGCUACUAGCUGCCUGUUGGAGUGCUGAUCGCUGGUCCUCUCACCUCUGCCGUCUGCGAUCUGCGAUCUGCCCUUUGCUGGCGGUAGUGGACUAAUUUUUAGGGAAUAAUCUAGUUACGUGUUAUAUAGAGAAUGCUCAUUUGGGCUUUUUUUAAUUUGGGCCUGAUUUUAUAAAUAAAAAAAUAGAGGCCCAACACAAAAUCUAAAAUUUGAAACUGCUGACCCAACAACCAAGUAGCCAACAACCAACUAAAUCUGAAAACAAACCACUCUUGACGGUCGGCGAUUCCGGCAAAGCCAGCUAGGGUGGCCGCCCUAGCAGGCCAAUAGCUACAUCCACUAUUGUCCUUAAUAUUGGACUGUAACUAAGGUUUCGUGUUGUCCUACCUCAGCAUAUAGCUUUCCCUGUCUAUGACUCCUGGCCAUGAUUUGUUGUGACCCUUAAUAACGAAACCAACAAAGUUAAAUUCAAAGGUACAAGAGUUAUCAUCAAUAAGUUGGCACAUAGAUAUCAAAAUCUUUUUAAGCUUUGGCAUUAUUAGAACAUUAUUUAAAGAAAGUUUACCUUGAGAUGUAUUGAUUGAGGAAUUACACAAAGGGGAAAUGGGUAAGGCUUGCCCAUUAUUGACAAAAAUAGAAUCAUGUUCAAGAUAAGGUGUUUAAAGUUUUAGUUUACCUCCUUGUUUUGUAGUGUGAGCUGUCGCACCAGAAUCAACAUAAAAAGUUCGAGUCUUACGUCAUUUUUUUCAAAUUCUUCGCAAUCAAGGCCUUUUGAUUGUUCUUGUUGUAGAUUGACCUAAAUUCUAGUGGAUAUUGGAGUUUUGGUUGAAUUGGACUUGAAGAGAACAAAGUUAUGGAUUUGGAAAAAAAAUGAUGCCGCAUUAUCACUAAAGGGCUCGAGCAACGGCUACAUAUUUUCUCUCAAAACUUGUCGCUCGAGCAGUGGAGCUUCCGCUUGCCUAUCACUAGCUUGUUGCUCGAGCGACAAGGUGCCAAGCUCAUUUCAUAUUUUACACAUUUUUUUUGAAUUUCUGUUCAUCUACAACUUGAUUUUAUAUAUAUAAAUCUUGUGUAUAAUGAAAUUCUCUUCCAUUUGCUUGUGGUUUUUCCCCAACUUAGGUUUCCACAUAAAUCUUGGUGUUCUUACUGUAUCCCUAUUUAUUUCAUUAUUAUCAUAAUCUUGCGCUCAGUUCAUAACAGUUCUCAUUGUAAGUGUAGUUAUUCGUGUGAAACCCCGCAAGCGUACGGGUUCGUUGACAAGUAAUAAUUGUGAUGAGUAAAGUAUCGUCCCACAGGGAAUAAUGAUUAAUUCUAGGAUAUUUGAUAAAUUUGAAUUCGUGUUUGUGACUAAAACUAUCGAAUGAAUAGUUAACGGAUUUUUAAAACUAAAAUUUAUAAAAGUAAUGGAGGUUGAUUUAAAACUCGAAUAUGCGAAUGUAUUGGAUUUCAGACGCCAUUGAGUAACGCUUAGUUCUAAUUCUCAACUAGUGUCAAUUAUCUCAAUUUAUGCAAUUGCGACGAUCGAUAAUUCCACAAUUAUUUAUUAUUCUUUUCCAAGAUAUAAUAAACCUAUGUUUACCACGAGACGAUCCUAUUCCUAGUUCGAAUUCAUAUGGCAAACAUGCAUUGACAUUUAGGAUUAUCAUAUAAGAUCGCACACGCCACAAAUAUUAUUCCUAAUAUUUAUUGCCCAUGUGUCCCAAUAAUAGUGUUCUACUUAUCGUGAGUUUUCCAACACUACGAAUAAGCAACUUAUUAUCCUAAUGGUGCGCAAACAUUAGAACAAUCUAAUUNNNNNNNNNNNNNNNNNNNNNNNNNNNNNNNNNNNNNNNNNNNNNNNNNNNNNNNNNNNNNNNNNNNNNNNNNNNNNNNNNNNNNNNNNNNNGAAAGGGUGCAUGGUUUGGCCUCAACCAUUUCGUCCACACCCUUUCAUGGUCUAUAAAUAGGACCUUUUGGGUGUCCUAUUCCACACAGUUUGAUAUGCAAAAAGGUCUCUCAUCCUCUCUUCUAUCCAAAAUCAAAAUCAUUUCAUUUAUUUUGAUUUUCUUUCAUUUCAUCCUUGGAGUACAUAAGCGUCAUACCAAUAAUAGAAUUUUUAGGAAAGGUGAUUUGUUCCACCACAUGUUUGGCAAUUUUUUGCAUUUGAAUGUGGCUUGACUGACUGCUGGAUCCAAUUGUUGUUGAUAUUGAACAUUGGUUGAGGAGGAAAAGUUUUGGAUUGAUUAUAAUCACUAUUACUAUUCUAACGUAAAAAUUCCUGCCUCAUCCUCUAUAAUUUUUUCCUCUUCCUUUUUGACUGAAGCAGACAUGAUAAUGAUCUUGCAUUUCUUCAGCAAUGUAAACCUGCUCAAAAUUUUUGACAUAAUAAAUCGAGUAAAUGAAGGAUAUGGUGGUUUUGACAAAUAAGCGAUUCAAAACUUCUUGUAUUUGUUUCCAAGGCCUUUUGAGACUUGAAAAACAUUGUCUACGUCCCAAAGUGGCUCAAUGGCAGCGAGAUUGUCACAGAUUUCUUUGAACCUCCUGAGAUAAUCAUAAAGCGAGAGAUUUUCUUUGAACUAAACGUUGAUUGAACUUGUGUUUAGCAUGUCUCAUCGUUCGUCCGUCCAUGUACGAGAGAUGUAGAAGUAGUUCCCUUAUGCCGACCAUGAUAGUGAUGCAUGUGUAAGUUCUUCAACGUGCAUUGCAGAACUAAGAGGAAUGAUGUCAUUGAUGAGACUCAGCCAAACUUAAGAUGUAAGCAAUACAAAACAAGAAAGCGAAGCGUAAAAUAGAGGGCGACUCAUGAUGACUAUUUACUCUUCACUAUUAAGAGUGCCAUGAUCGUUAUGUGAAGAGUUUUUAAGUGCAAUAUGUUUUGAUCGUCAUAGAAUAUUUAAUAUCUUCCACAAGAAUUUCAUAAUGCCUCUUUGCUUCUUCUGGAGUUUUUCCCCGACAGCCCUAGCAACUUUGGCCCAACGGUCAGGCGUGUCAGUGUCAUACGCGGCUAGGGCUUUCUCAAAGGCCUUGUUCUGCUGAGCAGUCCAAGUUCCACAAGAUGAUAUCAAGCUAGAUGCCAUUAAUUUCUUGCGAGAUUAAGAUUUUAUUAACAAAUCAAGUUAGGAAAGGAAAGUUUUACACUAGGGGAAUUAAACAAUAGAUUGUUCUACAGAAAAUGUGAGGAAAUGGAACGAUGUAUAUAUAUAUGAGAAAGAAGUAAUUUUAAGAGGGAUUAUUUGUCUUAGACUCGAGAAAGAAGACUGAAUUCAAGACUUACGAGAAACUAAUCAAGAGUUGAUAUGUCCAGAAGAGGUGACAACUGCUUGAUCUUUAUAAGCUCCAGGAACUGAGAGUGGUGUGGGGUGGUCAUGCCAAAAGUGGCAAAAAUUGAAGAAUUUUAGUGAUUAGAAUGUUGAAGAAUCUCCAUCUUCAUGAAAAGGUUGUCUCACUUUCCAUUUUUAUGAAUAAAAAUCACUUGUUUUCUUACAGUUUAGUGUCAUAAUCAUAUGAUUCUACUUGAUUUAUAUAAACAUUAGAAAGCAACAAUUUCUCCAAAAUAUAUCUCAUGCGAGUAAAAAUGAGAAAAAUAAUUACAAGUAUACAGGACACUAGAAUUAUAAUUAGAUACUAUGAUAAAUACAAAAUCAAUCCUCUUUCAAGUUCUGGACUACCUUAAAUCCUUUGUUAGAAUAUAAUUUCAACUAGAGGGAAAAAACUCCUCAGGUAGAGCAAUACUAUAGUUCAAUGCACAAUAAUCACAAGCCACGAUUGUAGGACAAUGUACAAUCCAGCCACAGGAUCGAGAUAAGUCACAAGAAAAGGUGGAAAACUGGGCUUAGCCAGGCCAGUUCAAAUCCCUGGCCAUGCAAGGGUCAUCUCAGGUUCUAUGUAAGCAACGUGCCAAGUCAUUUUCAAGGCUAAUCACGUUUGAGAUAAUCAUGAUGUGAUAGUAUUUAGUUACGAAUAACAUAAAAUAAUUGAUAUCCUUAGGUCAUUCAAAAGAAGCUCUAAGCUUGGACCACCCUACAUAUAUGCAGGAUUUUACUCAGUGAUAAUUAUUCCAAAAAUCUAGCAAGAACGAGGCAUAUAUAAAUUCUCAGUGCUUUUUAUUUUUCUACGUACAGAUUCCUCAACAUGCUGCAAUGUAACUUUCAACUAAUCAUUGGAUUGGAACCCCAUUAGCCUGUGGCCCUCCGAAUACAUAUCAUUUCACAACUUGUAUUAAACGGUCCACACUGCCUUUCCAUUUCCUCAGAUUUUUAUGCAACAAGUACCAAAAAAAUUAGCAACUUCUCUAGCCCAUAAUAGAAAUGUUUUGAUCCGAAUUACAAGCCAUUUCCUCAAAAUAUGAUUGGUGUGCAGUGGUUGACUGCAUGGCGCCAAGAUUUUAACUUCUACAAUAGGUCAUUGCUAUGAUUAUUAUAAGUUAUGCCCUUGUGAUGAAGACUUCUCAAUGAGCCAAUUAUAUCUUGGGAAGUAGUUUUAUUGAUUCUAGAAAUUACCCGUGCAUGUAAAUCAAUGAAGGCAACUUGUAUAAAGUGCUGGGAAUCUGGACUUAUUUGUACACUUGUUAUCAAGGUUCACUUUGAGAAAUAUCAAAAUAGGCCCAGAUUCUCAACAUCCAAGACUCACAAUCUAUUUCCAUAUUUACCAUUUUCUAUGAAUCAAGUGUGAAAAGAGUAGCAACUUUUAUUGCAAGAAUCUUCAUAUCUAAGUAGUAUUAACAAUGUUUUGAGUUCAAAUAUAAGUCUGUUCCUUGAGGUAACUUUCGUACGCAAUACUGAAGGAUACUACGAAAGAUCCUAACUUUCUUUUCUUCAGUGAUGUCAAAUCAAACUGACUAACAUAAUGAACACACCAUUACAGUGUUUGAUCUUAGUUAUUCAUUGAGGAGGCUUCUUGAUGAAAAUUAUCAUUUUGGGAAGUAGUUUUGGGAUUCUAGGAAAGAUCAAUAGAUGUAAAUCAGCACAACUUGUAUAAUGUUGGAAAUCACUCACAUCUAGUAUCUUCUUUUAGAAAAAUCAAGAAGAACUGAGAACAGAAGAUGAGAACCGGAAAGGGUUCAUGAUCCCUUUCGGUGUCAUCAUUCUAUGCAUCAAGCCCAAAAAAGAGUAUUGCAAGUAUCUUCAUCUUUAACAGUUAUUAAUAGCAAUGUUUUGAGUCAAAUAUGUCUUUUCCUAAUUGUUUGUAUUAUUCUGGCUGGGAAAUUACAGAUCUUCAUGUUAUCUUGCAAGAUUUUCGACCGACAUUGAGUUAGGACCAUAUGUAGGUUGGGGCUACUUUAUUCCACUUGCUGCAAUAAUCUCUUUUGGCAUUUACAACUUCAACCUUUGAACAAUGUUGCUUCCUAAACUUAGCUUUUUACUAUGCAGAUAUUUAUAUUGGACCAAUAAAAUGCUCUCUUUUGGACAUUCAAAUAGUCCUUUCUUGGAGGGAUUACGACUUAAUCCUGAUUACAGGAUCAUUCUUAAGUAAAACGUAAUAAGAAAAUAAACACACACAAGAAUCUAUAAAUUUAUUUUAGUUCAUUCCCAAUCUUAGAGUUAUUUCGCUCAGUAUUGUACUUUUUAAAUAUAAAGCAGAUCUCAGUCUGUCACAAUAGAAAAAGGAAAAAAACUCCCCUAAAUCUUGAAUUAACUUAACCAUGUCAUGUUACCUUAGAGGUCCUACUUCUAGGGAAGGACAAUGAAAAGGCUAGAGCCUUCCAUAUAGCACUAAAUGUGCCCUCUCCUUGUACAAAUGUAAAAAUAUUAGAGCAAACAUACACAUGAAUAAAAUACUCGAUAUAUUUAUAAACCCAAAAUGCACCUAAACUCAUACUACGUCGAUGUGUAGUCAAGGGGAAUAAGUUUAUAGUAUGAUUAGACUCCAGGCGCAGUCCAACACCUCUGUAUCAUAGACAUGGGAGGUCUUGCGCUCAUGAGGGCCCCAAAAAAUAAGGCCUAAUUUUUUGCUAGAAGGUAUUAGGCCCAAAUAUUUUAUAAUUUUGGAUGAAGUCAUUAAUUAGCCCAAAAAAGAAGAAAUAAUGUUAUUCAUCAUCAUGAUAUUGAACACCUAGGUAACAAUUACAUGACAUUAAAUGAUAAACUCAUUUAAAUACAAAGUCACAUAACUCAUUUAAUUGAAACUAUAAAGUGUUGACACUUAAAUUGGUGCUAUAACACCACUAGUGUUAGAUAGCAUUAUUCUAAAUUAAGUUAUCGGCUCAGCCUUAAAAAAUCACAAAUCAUACAUGCAACUAUCAUUAAUGAAACUUCGAAUGUUUUUAUUUAUUAUAAAAAAAUUAUUUUUAAUCAUUGCAAGUAAUUUUUUUCAACUAUUUAUAGAAAACCCAUACAAAGUUUGGCAUAGACUCCAAAAAUCGCAAGAUCUCACCCCAGAUCAUAUAUAAUAUUGUAAAUACAAUUUAUAUUUUCCUUUUGUUUGUCAAAUUUUCCGGGGAUUAAAAGUAGGGGUGUGUGGGGUGGAUUGGCAUAGUUUGGAGAAACACUUUAAUUCCAAGAUCUUUAUAGAAGAUUAUAUGCCAAGCAUCGAAUGUAGGAAAGAAUGAAUCAACCAAACUAGACAAAUGUAAUUUCAUAUUGGUUACUAGCCCACAACCACAACAACAACAACAAUAGCAAUAACAACAACAAUAAUAAUUGUAAGAUUCUGCAAUUGAAUUUCAGUUGCCCAUGACUCAUUCUUUAAAAUUGUUUUAGCAGGAACUUCAUGGUGGAUCAUGUUGAAGACAGCAAUUUAAACAGAAUUUGAUAGGGCAAAUACAAUUCUUGAUAGGAAUGGUAUAGAUAUUUUCUAUACUAGGAUGGUAAUAGCCUUGAUACUAGGGACUUAUGGAUGUUGAAUGGCGGCCUGGCAGUGUUUGGGGAGAGAUCUGAUGGCCAUACACGGUCGGGGGAUUAAGGCAGGCCAGGCUAGCCCAGUCGGCCCCAUAUUUCGUUGCCCUGGACCCACAGGCCUGGCCCGUGCUUGGCCAUGCCCAUUCCAUCUGUAUAAGAUCUCUCUUCUUGAUUAUCUUUAUAUACUCCAAUUAUACGAGCAUCAAUAUAUCUUGUGAUUGUAGUCUAUAGUACUAUAGUUUUGCUCUAUUUGAGGAGACUUUUUCUUUGAAGCAGUACGCGUGUACCUGGAGGAACUAAAUCACUGGUUUUAACUAAUUAAGAAAGGAUUAAGCAGUCCCAAUAAAUCAACCAUGUGAACAACUAUGAAUAUGCUGACUUCUCGUUCUAAAUACGAUAAUUCACAACUUAAAAUAAGAUUGAUUUUGUGUUAAUGAUUAUAGAAUAUACUUGCAUCUCUGGAUGACAUAUACUUGGUAUACAUACAUGCAGUCGAGAAAAGCAGUAAAAAAGUCAUUUUUAAGCAUGCCUUACAUCUUCUGAUGUUUAUACAAAUGAAAAAACAUCAUAUGAUUUUACGCUAAACUAUAAGAGAAAGUGAAAUUUAUACAAAAAAAAUGGACAUAUAAACAACCUUUUCAUGAAGAUGGAGAUUCUUCAAAGUUAUAUUGUUCUUUUGUCCUGCUCAGUAGUGGUUCUUGAUGAGACAAAUUACUAAAAUUCUUCAAUUUUUGCAAGUUUAUAGGCCAACUGGCAUGACCCCACCCCCUCAAUUCCUAAAGCCUAUAAAAGCUCAAGCAGUUACCACCACUUCUACGCAUAUCAGCUCUUCAUUUUCUCAUCACUCUUCGCUAAGCUGUCUUCUCUGUUGAGUUGAAGAAGAAUAAUCCAUCCUAGAAUAUUUGUUCCCUCAUUUAUACGUUCUUCCAUUUCAUCCCAUUUUCUAGAGUAGAUAUUCAAUAGUAGUGUUCCAUCCAGUUACUCUAUAACUUCCUAGACCUAAUCUGUACAAGAAAUUAAUGGCUUCUAGCUCUAUGUCCUCCCAUGGCUCAGGCACUUGGACUGCCGAGGAGAACAAGGAGUUUGAGAAAGCUCUGGCCGUUUAUGAUACUGACACACCUGACCGUUGGGCCAAAGUUGCAAGGGCUGUCGGAGGGAAAACCCCAGAAGAGGUGAAGAGGCAUUAUGAAAUUCUUAUGGAAGAUGUCAAAUACAUUGAGAGUGGCCAAGUGCCAUAUCCCUACAGCAGAACCUCUCGGGCCGCCUGUAACAAAGGAGGUAUACAGUGUACACUGCCCCAACCCACCCGAUCAAAACACCACGAACACUUAAGAAUCCAUUGUAUAAUCAUUAUUCAUCACGAACUGGUUUCUAUUUGAAGUCAUUUUCUACCAUGCUAAAUUUGGCCAAUUGCCGUCAGUCCUCUUAUUUUUCCUAAUGCAUGUUGAAUAACAUAAACACGCAUCUACAUCUUUCCAAGGGCGAGUCAUAGGACACAUAUUUAACAAGUGCUCGACUUGUAUAUUUUACCACUCAUUAGAAAAUAUAAAGUGCACGAGGACUGAUCCCUACAAAACUGUCCUACCAUAUGCUCUAGUUCUCAAAAUAAAAAUCGAACUCUAAGUGCAUGUUUGAUACAUAGUGUUAGACGAUAUUGAACUCCAAAAUGAAUAAGAUUUUAGUUUUUGUUUUUCUUCCCUAACGCAUCUUGGUUAUUUUUCCAUGCAGGAUGAAGAAUCUAAAGUUUCAGUUAAGUGUCAUUACGCUCGUAAUGAUCAACUUUUCAGCAGUCCUAUUAUAUUCCAGAAGCUCUUAGCAAUAUGAAUAAAAAUAUGCAGUAAUAAUUUAAGGAUCAUAGCUACUCUAGUCUUUUUUUAAGCAUAUGUAUGAUGAUCAUAAUGAUCAAUGGAGGAAGCCUAUAAGUGCUUCUCUUCUGUAAUAAAUAUUUUAAUUAAAUCGAGGUAUUGUAAGAAUUUUAAUUUCUCUAUAUACAAAUAUUCCACUGCUGUUAAAUAAAAGUUUGCACAAAGAGAAAUAGAGAAGAAACAAAUUAGAAAUGACAAGAAGAUGAAAAUGAAGAUGAAGGACCGAACACAUUUUCGUUGUCCUCAAACGAUUUUUGUCCCCUCGAAUUGAAUUAGCUUGAAGGGAUCGAAGGGAUCUUGGCAAACAAUUUGCAAGAUUUAUCAAGCCUUGGCUAGGAUUUAACACUCAAACAUUAGUGAAAUGCUCCAAAACUUGAUAAUGCAAAAGUAGGGUUUGAAUAUGAGAAGAAAAUGGAUUUUCAACAUUUUGAAAUGAAAAAUUGAUCUCAAAUGGAGCUUUAUGAUUCUCUGUGUUUUUCAAUGUUUUUCCUUGGUCAUCAACCACACACACACACACAUAUAUAGCCAUCAAACAUUAUCAUACGAAGUGGUUCCAAAAACCCUCGUAAAGCCACCAAGAAUUUAAACAAAAUGGUCACUAAUGGCUAGAAGAGUCUUCUAUGAAGUCAUAUAAAACAAAUCUAUGCGACGGCAUAGUUCAUCACAAUUGAAUAUGCCUAUGCGACUGCAGCCUAUUUUGGCCUAUGUGGUCGCUUAGGCCAAAUUUUGGCCUCCAGAUUGUUUUUUUCAUUCCACAUGCUCCUUAUUGAUUUUGAACAAUAUACAACAUCUAGCUCAUAGAAUAUAAAAAAAUAAAAAAUAAUAAUAAUCUCAUGAACUGAGGGAAUUGGAUUAAUGAGAAAGUUCUUAUUAUAAAGACUUGGUCCAAAUUAUGAGCCUGACUGCAAAUUGAUUGGCCGGAAGGUAACCAAAAAUUUCAAUCCGCAGUUCAGCACCCAAACACCCCAAUAGUCAUAAUAAAAUAGAUUUAUUUAUCGUAUAAGAACGAAAAAAUUGUCAACAAAAUUUACUUAAAAGUGAAUAUAAUUACUUUUAAGCAUAGCCUAAUAUUCAAGAUUUUCGAGAUUCUAGCAACUUAGUGCAUUUUUGAAACUUGUGCUCAUUUUAUAAUCACGUUUUUGAAAAUCCAUUUUUUACAUUACCACGUAACUUUGUCUUACUUCUUAAUAACAUUCUCAAAUAAAUAAAUAAAUAAAUUGUUAGUUCUCAAAAACCCACUUUCCAGAAAAUCACUCCAAACAAGGGCUUAGAAUCAACUCUUUUUAAAAUGCACUUAAAGAGAGAUUAAAUAACAUGAUUUCACUUUUUUCAGAUUACGAAUUAACUAACUUUCCGAACUUACACUCUUAAACAUUGAUUUGAAGAUGACUUUCUAACUGUAAUAGGUGAUCUCGACUAUCACCUAGCAACACAAUUUUCUUCCUAGUUAUAUCCAAGCUAAUUGGCUAGACCAAAAAAAGUUUUAAGUUCUUAAGUUUUUGAAAUCAUUUCAAGUUUCCUCGUUAUACUAAUGAAUAUAUACCAUUUGUGGUACAGAGUGGACGCAACUAUACAAAUAGUUGCUAAUCUGCUAUAUUUUGUCAAACUUGCAUGUCUCUGUCUCUAGAGCCCAUCUACUAUACUAUAGUAAAGAUGUUGAAUGCGGAAAAUUAACCAUAUUGCUCAAAUUAAGCUCGCGUUUCAUUUAUCAAGAACUCAUUUCACCUACCUAAAUCGCCAAAUUGCACAUCCAUCCAUGUUACUAUUCAAUUUCUUGAUUAGUUUAAGUUUUCCAACCCUUCUAAACAGUUCUUUUCCUUUCCUAAGAACAUCUUCAAGAAACUCUAUUUUUAAAUAAUAUAUUCUAUUAUUUGGAGAGCAUCUAGAAAUUUAGAAUUAAAUUUUUGAAGUACUCUAACAAGCUCUUUAUAUUCGACACUUAAUUUUAUUACUUCCAAAAAAAUAUUUAUUAUUUUACUCUAUCUUUUAUUUUAACUAGCUUUCCACUAAAUUAUUUUAUUAUUUUCCUGCAUUGAAAUUUGAAACGCUUUGGUUUGGCUCUCCAAAUGUGGAAGGGCCAAACUCAUUCUCUAAAUUAAAAUAUUAAUUUAAAGAGUCUCUUGAAACAUGAUUUUAAGAAUUGACUCUUUAAAAUAGAAAACGUCUCAUAUUUAAAGAGUCUUUUGGAGAUACUCUAAAAAAAACCCUAAAUUAGCGCUUUAUAAUUGACACCUUAAACCACAUACUUCAAUAAAUGUGUGGAGAGCCAAACUAACUCUCUAAAUUAAAAUAUUAAUUUAAAAAGUCUCUUGAAACAUGAUUUUAAGAGUUGAUUCUUUAAAAUAGAAAGCACGUCAUAUUUAAAGAGUAUUUUGGAGAUGCUUUAAAAAACUCUUGAUUAGCGCUUUAUCAAUUGACACCUUAAACCACAUACUCCAAUAAACGUGGUGCUUAGUUUAGUUUAAUGCUUUUAAUUGCAAGGAUAAGGACACCAAUAAUUGCAAAACUAUUAUUAGGAGGUAAAUGCUCAGGAAUCAUUAAUCAAGGCCGAGUUGUUAAUUUUUGUAGAUAAAAUUUGCCAAUGUCAAACAUCUCCCUCGAUCGUUGUUCAUUAAUAACACAUUUAGGAAAAAUCGACAGACCUUGUUUAAGCUUUAUCCUCAACAUCUUUUCCUCAAUCGCAAUGUCUAUAGUAUUUUAAUUUUGUAGCAUUAUUUGUUCUGAUAUGUAUGGAUUCAGGUCCAUUGUCAACCUUUUUUUAGCUACACAGGCUGGUAGAGCAUCAUCAAUGUAGCUCUAUAUUUAUAAAGAACAACUUAUGUACAAUAAAGAAUAUUUCUAAUUUAGAGAGCAAAUAAAAUGAAAAAGAAAAGCAAAACCCCGCCCACGUGAGGGAAGGGCAGAGUCAACAUUAGGGUCAUAAGGUGAGAAUGGGGCUGAAGUAGAGGCAAGUUGGGGUGUAAUUUGCUACUUUUUCCCAGUUUUUCACUUUCUUUCUCUUUUUCUUUAUUGACCUUUUUCCAUUAAAAUUGAGGGUUGACCCAUUUUAUCUCCCAACGGUGCAUUGUUGACAGCCAAAUAGAUAGAAUCGUUCAAUGCGACUCACGAGAAGAAACUGAGUUGCAACAAGAUUUAUAAAUUGGAGAUUAAUUGUCCUGGAAAUUCCAUGAGAAAUCUUUAUCCGGGCUCAGUUUCAUCAACCAAAUAGACACCAACCGAGCUUUACUUGACCCACAACUCCCGAUUGGUUGCCACAAGUCUUCACCCCACAAAGAAGACACUUGGUGAUUGGUUUGCAAACCACAAAGAAAGAGGAAAUAGAGUAGCAAUUAGAACCUCAAGGAAUAAUAUCCAAAGCUAGCCAGGAAACUCACGUUUUUCUCUCUAUCACAAAACCAACACGCAACAAAAUGGCUAGGGAUUAAUGUAUAUAUAAUGGGUUAGUUUAGGGUAACCAAUGGGCCAAAGGAUAAUUGGGCCAACAAUCCAAAUAACCAAUAUAUCAGCCCAAUGCAAAGUCACAACUUGGACCAUCCAAAAGUGUUGGGCCACGAGCAACAUUAACUCAAUUUAGUUGCUUCAAAUAGUCCCAAGUUGUUUCUGGGUCGAGCGAUCACUAAGGUGUCGAUAUAACUUAUCCAACAUCUGUUUAACAUCCUCAUCCUGAUUUAUUGAGUAUCAAAACCCAACAUUAAUGGUGCAAUUUUCUCUUAUAUUUAUCGUUGAUACAAGCCACUAAAUAUGGAGGGAUAUAGUAGUAUCAAAGCAUAGAAAGUGUGGUCCGAGUGAAAAGUAAUACCUGUGUUGUAAAACUCUAUAUGUUCCAAAUUUUUACAUAGUUUAAGCCUUAAGGUUAGGCAUGAAACAUUAGAUUCGCAAAAUUCCAACUCCAUAUAAUGACCUAUAGAACUUCACUAGGCAUGCUGCCAAGACUAGACGGCAAGAUAGAAGGUACAUACACUUGCACUUAAUUAGUAGUUCUGUUGUACGAACACUUACACUAUGGUAGUGUGUUCGUGUCCAACACAUAUAUUUAUCUUUCUUUAUUAAAAUAUUAUAUAUUUUAACUUAAAGUUAUUAUUAAAUAACAAAGAAUGCUCAUAUUUUUAAAGGACUUCAACAAGAAAAUUAAUAACAAGUAUAAAAUUAAAUUUAUACUAUAUAAUGAAGAAUUAUAAAGAACUUAAUCAUUGUGUCGACGACUUAUCAUGUCAGCACUUUUUUUUAAAAAUCACGUGUCAAAGUCGACACAUGUCUUAUCUAACAUGUGUUUAUAUCCGUGCAUCAUAGAUUAGCAUACAUUUUCAUUGAAGAAAGAGCCGAGAAAAGAGAAGGGGCCCAUACACACUAAUACACAAAUUACCAAACAACGUUGUAUGAUAAAGUCCCUGCCAUAUCCAUAUGUAUUGAGAACGAAACUUAGUUUGCAGUUCUAUAAUAUCCAUGAUCAAAGCAUUAAGGGAUCAUGAUUCCAAAAAGGAUUUUGCUACUUGUACAUAAAAAUGGUAUAUAAGCAGUUACCAAAAAUAAUGUAGAGGAGAAAUAUUGGAUAAAAAAGUUGAACGUAUUUCAUAUUGACAAAUGGUAGAGUGUCAUGUCGAUAUUAUGUAAUCUCUGAUGUAAACCUUGAUGUAUAUAUAGUAAGGUCCUUCCAAAAAUCCCCAAUUCGUCAUCGUUAUUUUAACAUAAUAGGACUUUGUUAGAACUUAGAAAACAAUUAAACUAAAAUCAGUUUCAUACAGGAACUCAAUUUCGAGCACAUGGAAACAUAAAGGUAGAAAUUCGACUAACGAAUAAAAUUAAAAAAUUAUACAUUCACAUAACGCCCUAGCCAACAUUAACCAUAAUCUAGAUUUUCAGUACAUCACAAUAAAAAUACCACACGUUUUACUCAGCUAAUGUUGUCUGAAGAGGCAGAGAACUUUCUACUUCCUUAGUCUCUGAAGUCCUUUCUGCAACAACUUUCGAUAUGCCAAACAUCUAAAAAUGCAUCAAAGCCAAUUAAUAAGCACUGAGUUCAACUUAUAUUACAGCCAAAAGAGUGACCAUAUUCGUUUCCAAUUUUAACAGCCAACCUUCUUGAUUGUCUUCUGAAAGCAAGUUUUGUGUUCUUCCAUAGAAGCAUUGACGAAUUCAUCAAUGUGAUCCCUCACAUCCUGCAGAAAAGUUGCUUCUUCAUUCUUCUUCUUUCGACAUGAAGCCAUUGCUUGGGUUUGAACUGCAGAAGAUGGCAGUUUCUCAAUUGGGCUAUUCUCAGUUGUCAUUAGUAAUUACUACCUGAUAAAAAGCUUAGUGUCGUCAUGAAGUUACUUGAGCAUGAAGUAAAAAAAAACAACAAAUAAAAAAAUAUUACAACAUAAGGUUAAAAGGAAACAGAGGAAUUGCAUUAAGCAAAAUGAGAUUGAAUCCACAAAUAUGCUUCAGGUUAAACAUGGCACACAAAACUAGCAAUUAAACAGGUUUAAUCAAUUCAUAGCCAGGAACUAAUCGCAAAAGAUAAGCACAAAAAAAAAAAAAAAAGGAAGAAGAAGAAGAAGAAGGAUUUAAGAGUGAUCCCCGCCGUAUGACACAAAAGAUUAUAAUACUAAUGCAUGAAACUGAUGAACUUUUCCACCCACUGCAGGUGAUCUUAAGCUAUCUCAUUAUUGGGGUUUGUAACAUAUGGCAUUAGAAUUGGUUCCACGCCAUAAGGGUGACCAAAAGAUCUAACUAGAAAAGGACUGUUGAGAGGAGGAAAGAGUUACUUAGGACUAGCACUUAAAAUAGACCAAGCCUAUUGGUGUUCAACAGGGAGGCUUGGCUGCCUAGCAUAAUCAUUCGGUAAGGGCCUAAGGAUCGUUCAGGCUCAAAACGAGCUGAAGAAUGUGUUCAUUUUCAGCUCAGACCAUUUUGGUUCAUCUCAUUAACUAGUUAAAAUAAAGCUAAACUAAAAAUUCAUCUUCGCAAAGAAGCAUCUUUGAUCUUGAUCAAAUUAGGAUCAUUCAAGCCUAAUAUAACUCGCGAAUAAGAAAAAAAUUCCUAAAUGGCCAACAUCAAUCUCAUUACUUUUCACUGGUAGUACUUGAAAAUGCAAUCAAAGAUAAACCUUGCUCGUGCAUUUCCAGAGAGAAUUGUGAGUGAACCUAUGGCUCAAAUCCAAACGAAAUCUCCCACUUCAAAUUUUGCACUUAGAAGUAAAAAAGAACACUGCACAUCAGUUGCUCGAUGAUAUGUCCCAAAAAAGACCAAAACAAUCAAAGACUAUGCAAUAGAUGCCUUUUUUCCUCUUUCUUUCCUAUUUCCUAAUAAAUGCAUAAAAUUGAUAAAAUCACAAAUUUCUUGCAUACCAAAAAACUAAAAAAAAAAUCAGCAUUCUGAUUGAUCAGGAACUCCACUAAACUAUGAACUGGAUAGCAUUCGAUGUCAGAAAUUGACAUACCUUAAAUGAAUUAUUCAGAGAGAGCACGAAGCAAACGGAGAAUUUCCUAUCUAAAAAUGAGAUCGAGAGAAAUAAAAAUAAAACGUCAACGGAGUCCGUUUCUAAAGAAUACGAUGCCGUUUUAUUUAAUAGGUUUGAAUGCAACGACUUUCCUCCCAAUUUUGCUUGCGGAACAAGUUGUGACUUAAGAAAUGGAAUUGUUGAGUACUUGUUUGUGAAUAAUUAUUAGCCCCUGUUUGAUUCCCAUUUUUGGGAUAAAAUGAAUUAUGAAAUAGUAGUUUUUCAAAAAAUAUGUGGUUAAAAUGUAAGAAAAAUUCGUGUAUAAUUAUUUUAUAGAAGAAUGUGUGAUUGAAAAUGAAUUUUAAAAAAAUACAUUCUUGAAAAAAUGGGAAUCAAAUAAGGGCUUAAUUGAUAAAGAUGAGCGGUGAAUCAUAAUUAUGAAUUCUACUAAAUAUACAUAGUGGCUUUAACAAAGCAAGCACCAGUAAUUUCUACUGAUUUUUAAUUAUAUUUUUAUCAAAAAAUUAACUUGAAUUCAUAAGUUUAAUACUAAACCUUACAAGAAAAAAUCAAAAAUUAAAUACUAAAUUUAAAUGACGAUUCAAAAACUUGUUUACGAAAAAGUUUCGGACCUCGUACCUUGUUAAAUUGUGACGUUCUUCUCUAGUAAAAACAAGCAUGGCUAAAAACUUUCUGUUACUUCAAGAAGAGAUCAUGCAUUCUAACUCAAUUAUAGGAUUUGCAAUCCUCUGCCUUACCACUCAACUAUGCCGCCAAAAUGAUACAAAAUGGAUAUGAUAAUUUUCUAUAUAUAUAUUGUUGUAAAUGGAAAGUCCAUUAAAGUUUAUUGGUGAAUGACAUUUGUACCCUUGUAGCUCUAGAAAUUAUUACCAUUGUAUCCGUAAUUCUUACCUAUAAAUAUAGGGUUUUGGUUUUCAAUAAUACACACAAAAGUUUAUUGAGUUUUCUCUAUUCUCUUUUCCUCUCAUUUUAUAACACGUUAUAAGUAUGAAACUCUUAAAAGGUAGUAAUUCUUUUUCAUAAUCAUUUAUCACGUAUAUCAAAAUUAAUUUGAUAAUACGUGAAUUUUACAUAUACAUAUGUUGAAUCUGCAAUACGUGAUCUCAUCUUUCUCGAUCAUUAUGUUUUCUUUGUACCUCUUUAUGAAUUAAUUAAUAUUUUUUUCCUUUACAUCAAUCCACGUGCAUUUUUAUGGAAUGUUAAAUCAAUUGAUAUGCAUUAAUUCAUGUUCCUAUACCCUCCUUAUAUUUAAAUUAGCCCUUUAGAUUCUACACAUGCUUAUAAUUUUAUUUUUUUUGUUUAAUUGGUCAAUGUUCUUUGUAAGCAAGUUUCAAUUCCAGAUCUUUAUUUUAGCUGAUUCCAUAUAUAUAUAAUAUACAAUUAAUAAAUAGCUGUACCCAACUCAUCUUUUUCUCAAAUCUAUUGGUUUCUGCAAAUUUCAUGCCUUAAUUGGUUAAUACUUAUUCAAUUCUUUUAAUUGUAUAUAAUUAGAAUUUCGUGCCAUAAUAUAUGAAUAGAUUUCUACAUGUCACCAAUUUUUAUUUUUUAUUUUUGUGUUUCACUCGACUCAUGUUAUUAAUUCAAAAUAAUAUUUUACAUGUAUUUGUAUAUUAAUUAAUGGUGAGCAAUUGGACGUAUUAUCAUUUUUUUAUGUUUAGUUAUGAAACAUUACAUUAAAUUUAUUUUUAAUUGUUGUUGCUCCUGAAGUAGCACAACAUUAUAAUUAAUAUUCCAGAAGAAUAUUAAUCAUAGAUCUAUUCGUUGUUGCUCCAAAAAUAGCACAACAUUAUAAGAAUAUUAUUUGCUCCUAAAGAGCAUAAAUUAUAACUCUCAAUAUUCCAAAAGAAUAUUGACAUAUUGCACUUGAAAAAAUAAUAACAAAAUAUAAUGUGUUCUAGAAGUAGCAUAUGUUUCGAAGAACAUAUUAUUUCAAAUUAGUGUUUAUCUCUAGAGGAAAACACGUAACUUAAAGUCAUGUUGAUAUUGACUAUUUGAUUAACAUGUGAUGAUUAAUCAUAUUUUUCGAAACUAAUUAUAUUUUUUUAUUGUGUAGUUAAACAAAUGGCAAAUAUUACGAAACUUGAGUUUGCUGCACUUGACAUAUCUGGUAAAAAUUAUCUGUCAUGGAUACUGGAUGUUAAUAUCCAUCUCGUCUCAAAGGGUCUGGGAGAGACAAUAAAAGAAGGAAACAAUGAAUCCCUGCAAGAUCGUGCAAAAGCACUCAUUUUCCUCCGUCACCAUAUUCACGAUGGAUUAAAAAUUGAAUAUCUCGCUGAGAAAGAUUCAUAAGUUCUUUCGAAAAAGUUAACUGAAAGAUUUGAUCAUUAGAGGAUUAUAGUCGUCCCCAAAGCCCGUUAUGAGUGGAUGCACCUUCGUUUGCAAGACUUUAAAACAGUUAGUGAGUACAAUUCUGAAUUGUUCAGAAUAUGUUCAAAGUUGACUUUGUGUGAAGAAAAAAUCACCGAUGAAGAUAUGCUGGAAAAAACCUUCUUCACCUUUCAUGCCUCGAAUGUGCUCCUGCAGCAGCAAUAUCGUGAGCGUGGCUUCAAAAAGUACUGAGAACUUAUAUCUUGCCUACUAGUUGCUGAACAAAAUAAUGAAUUGUUGAUGAAAAAUCAUGGAUUACGUCCAAAUGGUUCUGUACCAUUGCCUGAAGCAAAUGGUACUACAUUGUCUGAAGCAAAUACAAUAUCAAGACAAGGAUGUGGACGCGGACGUGGACGUGGACGUGGAAUAAAUCAUGGAAGAAAUAAUCAACAAAGUUAUCAACAAUAAGGCAAUAAAUUCAAAAGGCACAAAGCAAACGAGAGUGGCAAAUCUAAAGAAGAGCAUGAAGAAAGUUGCUUCAGAUAUGGAAUGAAAGGGCAUUAGGCACAUACGUGUCGUAUCUCAAAACAUCUUGUGGAUCUCUACUAGAGAUCAAUCAAGGGAAAAGAAAAAUUGGAGACUAAUUUUGCUGAUUAUGAUGGUCCAAUUGAUGUGACUCAUUUGGAUGUCUCCGAUUCCUUUACUGAUCCAAAUGAAAAUAUUGACCAUUUGAUUGGGGGUGGUGUGAUAGAAGACAUAGAUUAAUUUACUAGUAUUUCUUUCGUUUUAAAAAUUCAGUCUGAAAUAUGUUUUUACUUUUCCGUACAAAAAUAAAAAAAAUAAAACUCUAUUAUGCACCGUUUAUUUCAUGAUAUUAAGUAAUGUUUACUUCUUUGAAUCUAAAUUCAACUUUUUUUUUUAAAUUUUGUUUAUUUUGUUAUAUAUAUAGAUUCAUGAUGGAUAGUCAAGACAGCUGCUUAAUUGAUUGUGCAACUACACAUAUUAUUCUUCAAGAUAAAAAAUACUUUUUGGACUUAAUAUUAGUUGAAAAUAAUGUUAACACGAUACCGGGUGCGUCGAAUAUCGUUGAAGGCUCCGGAAGAGCUUGUAUUAUUUUACAAAAUAAUACAAAAUUAUAUAUUGGCGAGACACUUUAUUCUAGGAAAUCUAGAAGAAAUUUGCUUAGUUUUAAAGAUAUUUGCUGCAAUGAAUAUCACAUUGAGACGAUGCAAAAAAAUAAUGUUGAAUAUCUUUGCAUCACUUCUUUUGUAUCUAGCAAAAAGCAGAUAAAAAAAAUUUCAUGAACUCCCGUCUGGCAUGUAUUUUAUAUUUAUAAAAAUGGUUGAAUCAAAUAAUGUUACGAACCAGAAGUUCGUUGAUUCAAAAAAUUUUAUACUUUGGCAUGAUCGACUUGGACAUCCAGGAGCCAUAAUGAUGCAUCGAAUAAUAAACAACUCACAUAGACAUCUUUUAAAGAACCAGAAGAUUCUUUUAUCUAAUGAUUAUCCAUGUGUAGCUUGUUCGCAAGGCAAGUUUGUCAUUAGACCUUCAACUACAAAGGUCAAUAUUGAAUCUCCAACUUUCUUGAAAAGAAUACAUGGCGAUAUAUGUGGGCCAAUACACCCACCAUGUGGACUAUUUCGUUACUUUAUGGUAUUAAUUAAUUCUUCUACAAGAUGGUCACAUGUUUGCCUACUUUCAACUAGGAAUGUACUAUUUGCUAGACUACUUGCUCAAAUCAUAAAAUUGCGAGCACAAUUCCCCGAUUACUCAAUCAAGACUAUUCGUCUUAAUAAUGCUGGUGAAUUUAGAUCACAAGCAUUUGAUGAUUAUUGUAUGUCAAUUGGGAUUGAAAUUGAACAUUCAGUUGCACAUGUUCAUACACAAAAUGGUUUAGCGGAAUCGUUUAUUAAACGUCUACAAUUUAUUGCUAGAUCAUUACUUAUGAAAACAAAACUCCCAACUUCUGUUUGGGGUCAUACCAUAUUACAUGCUGCAUCAUUGGUUCAUAUAAGACCAACUGCCUAUCAUGAAUAUUCCCAUUUGCAACUUGCAUUUGGUCAUAAACCUGAUAUUUCUCACCUACAGGUUUUUGGUUGUGUUGUCCAAGUUCUUAUUUCACCCCCCCCACAACGUACUAAAAUGGGUCCCCAAUGAAGACGUGGGAUUUAUGUGGGUUUUGAUUCACCAUCUAUUAUUAGAUAUCUUGAACCUUUAACGGGUGACUUAUUUACUGCACGUUUUGCAGAUUGUCAUUUUGAUGAAAUGACUUUCCCAACUUUGGGAGGAGAAAAACUACAUCCUAAAAAACAAGAUAGAAUUUUUUGGAAUGAGACAACUCUAUCUCACUUUGAUCCCCGCAGCAAUCAAUGUGAACAAGAGGUUGAAAAAAUCAUUCAUUUACAAAGAGUUGCAAUUCAACUACCUAAUGUAUUUGUUGACACGAGAAAAGUGACAAAGUCAUAUACUCCAACAGAAAAUAUUCCAGCAAAAAUUAAUGUCCCUACAGGACAAUCUGCUGUUCAAAUGAAUCUCAAAUACGCCAGAAGCGUGGUCGACCAGUUGGUUCAAAAGACUCUGUACCUCGAAAAAGAAGAGUACAGGAGAAAAAUCAACCAAAAACUUCAAAAGAAAUCACAUUAGAAAAGAUUGAUCAAUCAAAUAUUGAAUGUACGAUUCCUGAAGAACCAGAGAUGUCCGAAAAUAAUGAGAUCUCAAUAAAUUAUAUAAUAUCUCAUAAAUUAUGGGAACAGAAUAAUAUUGUUAUAGACAAUAUUUUCGCCUUUAACAUGGCUCUUGAUAUUAUGCAAAAUUAGGAUACUGAACCAUAGUCUGUUAAUGACUGUCGAAAUAGAAAUGAUUGGCCAAAAUGGAAAGAAGACAUACAGGCAGAAUUGAAUUCUUUGGAGAAACGAAAAGUGUUUGGACUAGUAGUUCGAACACCUGAAAAUGUAAUUCCUGUUGGAUACAAAUGGAUUUUUGUAUGAAAGAGAAAUGAGAAUAAUGAAAUUACAAGAUACAAAGCCUGACUAGUGGCUCAAAGUUUCUCCCAAAGACCGGGAAUUGAUUAUGAGGAAACAUAUUCUCCCGUAAUGGAUACCAUCACUUUUAGGUUCUUAAUUAGUUUGACCAUGUCACAAGAGCUCGAUAUGCGCCUUAUGGAUGUAGUAACUGCCUACCUAUAUGGUUCACUUGAUAGUAACAUAUAUAUGAAAGUCCCUGAAGGAUUUAAGGUGUCAGGAAUAAAGGAUACAUGUCCGAAAACUAUGUUCUCAAUUAAAUUGCAAAAAUCAUUAUAUGGAUUGAAACAAUCCGGACGCAUGUGGUAUAAUCGCCUUAGCGAAUAUUUGUUGAAAUAGGGUUAUAAAAAUGAUAAUAUCUGCACAUGUGUUUUCAUAAAGAAAACAAAUAUUAGAUUUGCAAUUGUGGCAGUUUAUGUUGAUGAUUUGAAUUUAAUUGGAACUCCUGAAGAGCUCAACAAAACUGCAGAUUAUUUGAUAAAUGAAUUUGAGAUGAAAGAUUUGGGGAAAAUCAAAUUUUGUCUUGGAUUAUAAAUUGAACAUUUUUCAGAUGGAUUAUUUGUUCAUCAAUCUACUUAUACAGAAAAAGUCUCGAAACGUUUUUAUAUGGAUAAUGCACAUCCAUUGCCAUCACCUAUGGUUGUUCGAUCACUUGAUGUGAAAAAAGAUCCAUUUCGUCCACUUGAAGAUGGAGAAAAGAUUCUUGGUCUUGAAGUACCAUACCUUAGUGCAAUUGGAGCAUUAACUUAUCUUGCAAAUUGCACUCGACCUGACAUAGCUUUUUCUGGAAAUCUCCUUGUAAGAUAUAGCUCUACACCAACUCAAAGGCAUUGGAAUGGUGUUAAACAUAUUUUUCGUUACCUAAAAGGUACUAUUGAUAUGGGACUGUUUUAUUCUCAAAAGUCAGGAUCUGCUUUAGUGGGAUAUGCAGAUGCAGGUUAUCUCUCCGAUCCACAUAAAGCUAAAUCACAAAUAGGAUAUGUGUUUACACGUAGAGGAACAGCUAUAUCAUGAAGAUCUAUAAAGCAAUCCUUGACAGUAACAUCCUCAAAUCAUUAUGAGAUUAUUGCAAUCCAUGAAGUAGGGCGAGAAUGUGUAUGGUUGAGGAAUAUGACCCAUCAUAUCCAAUCAUCAUGUGGAUUGACUUCAACAAAAGAUAGUCCAACAAUUUUGUUUGAAAAUAAUACAGCUUGUAUCACACAACUCAAGGGAGGCUAUAUCAAAGGCGACAGGACGAAGCAUAUUUCUCCAAAAUUCUUUCAUACACAUGAACUUCUAGAAGAAUGGUGACAUUGAUAUUCAACAAAUUCGCUCAAGUGACAAUGUGGCUAAUCUAUUCACAAAAGUGCUGCCAACAUCUACAUUCAAGAAAUUAGUUCAUGAGAUUGGAAUGCGUCGACUCAAAGAUUUUCAGUGAUCUACAUCAGGGAGAGUAAUUGUACUCUUUUUUCUUUGCUUAGGUUUUGUCCCAUUGGAUUUUCCUAGCAAGGUUUUAAUGAGGUAACAUUUAAUUUUAAUACUCCAAAAUAACUGUACUCUUUUUCUUUCGUUUGAUUUUUUUUUUCCAUUGGGUUUUUAUCAAACAAGGUUUUAACGAAGCAGAUAUUUUGUAAUAUGUCAUUUGAGGGGGAGUGUUGUAAAUGGAAAGUCCAUUAAAGUUUAUUGGUAAAUGACAUUUGUACUCCUAUAGCCCUAGAAAUUAUUACCAUUAUAUCCCUGAUUCUUACUUAUAAAUAUAGGGCUUUGGUUUUCAAUAAUACACACAAAAGUUUAUUGAGUUUUCUCUAUUCUCUUUUCCUCUCAUUUUAUAACACACACACACACACACACACACACAUAUAUAUAUAUGUUAAGCACCGAUAACAUAUCACAUCAUUAAUUGGUGAAUAAAUUAAUGGUGGAUCCCAUGAAUUUAAUAGUUCACCAAUAUUAAUUAGUGUGUUAUAUCAUCAUUAAGCAUCAGUACUCAUUAGAUCUAUUAAAUUCUCCCUAGCAUAGAACUAGAGAGCGGUAAAAAAGGAAAAAGGAUAAAUUCAAUACGAAAUCAUAUUGAAGAUUGAAAAAUAUCCAAUGAACUAAAAGCUAUACAAAGUCUUGUACUUAUAGAGAAGAAGACUAACUAACUAACCUAACUACCAUAACUAACUAACUAAUUUGACAGCUGGAAGAAUCUGGAAUCUUAGCUAAGCUGGAGAUAGCUGGAAGUUGGAUCCUGAUUAACUGAGUUGGAAGAAAUCUGGUGUAUAUUCUAACACACCCGAAGAUUAAGAAGUGAAAUAUGGAUGCAAACACUGCUCUUUUGUCUGCCUUAACUUUCUGCACUUUUCUACAUGUUCUUGAAUGUCUUGUAGAUGGAUUGUAUGUCACUCAAUGCACUUCUGUUAGUGUAUAUAAGCAAGUUAAUUUUAUUUUUCUUGCUCAAAAUUUGUGACAACAAAAUUUGGAAAAAUUUGUAGACGGAGGUUGGAUUGGAUAAGUGCAGGAUCUUGAUCACCUGGAAUGACUUGUGAAGGGUCCUUUGGUUUGAUGUAAGCAAUAAUGGACAACUUGGUGCAAUUGGAAGUGUUGUGUGAAAGGCUUUACAAUUCACAAGACUCUGCUGAACGAACUCAUGCAGAAAACAUGAGAACAAAUUUUUGAAAAAGCAUUCUUGAACAAAUGAAGAAUAGUCAUGACUGUUGACCCGAUGUCUUCACGUCCACAAUCCUCAUAAAGUCUUGCCUACAGGUUUAUGACCUUGACAGAGUGCGUGAUUUGCUUUAAUGGUCAAUAAUUGAGAAAUCACCAUAUCAUGGCAAAUUAGUGGCCCAAUAGGAAAAUAUCAGCAGUAUGUCUUUUUGAUUUAACAGGGACCUAUUUUUACUCAACUGGAAAGAAAUGAUGAGAUCAAGAUCCAUUACUCUUCGAAUGUAUGUGUACGUAUUUUCUCCAGCAACAACAACCGGUCUUCACCUAGUUUCUAAGGAUUCAAGUCCAUGACCACCCUAAAAUCCUGCGAAAAAAUGGUGCAGUGGGCUCUCUGUUCUUGAAAAUCCAAAGGCCGACCACUAAUCUGCAUUUGCUGUUGAUGACCGGACCACCUUAUCUGAUAUGCCACUUAACAGAAAACUGCCCACUCCAUCUAUCUUGGUGCCAUUACUUGGCAUCAUUGUCAAAGCUGUCUACUAGCAUUAACUGAGAAAAGGAGAAAGAUUGGAAAAGGAAAUUGCUGAUGUCCAAGAGCUGAACUUAAGAAACUAAGUACAAUGAUCGAACUGAAGAAGCGGUCUUUAAGAUUGAAAUGCCAUAGAGAUUUAUUAAAUUUCAAAGAACCAAAAAACUGAUGAUGAAGAAGGAGAGAAAUUUUUAUUAAUCAAACUCUCUUCACAGCUCUUGAUAGUUGCUAAAUUUGGAGAUAUCAAGUGACCUUCCGAAGGACCAUGAUUUGUGAACCUUCACAAAUGGUCAAUUGGGAGGACUACUUUGAUCCACAUUUUUCGAGGACUGCAAGAAACCUGAUUCUUCUACACAACUUGAAGUAGUGACAUCUUGUUUCGGAUGCACCAGAAGAUUGAAAAACAAAGAACCAAAAUCUUUGAACUUGGAAGGUUCUGCCAUUAUCAACAACCUUCAGAAAACCAAGAAUAAUUCUAGCAGAAUUAUGGAAAAUGAAAAAUAGUAGCAUGAAGCAAUCUUUGCUCUGAUACAAUUCUAAAUUCUCCCUAGAAUAGAACUAGAGAGCAGUAAAAGAAGAAAAGAUUGAAAUCAUCUCCCUAGCAUAGAAUUAGAGAGCAGUAAAAAAUGAGAAAGGAUAAAUUCAAUAUGAAAUCAUAUUGAAGAUUGGAAAAUAUCCAAUGAACUAAAAGCUAUACAAAGUCUUGUAUUUACAGAGAAGAAGACUAACAAACUAACCUAACUACCAUAACUAACUAACCAAUUUGACAGUUGGAAGAAUUUGGAAUUUUAGCUGAGCUGGAGAAAACUGGAAGUUGGACUCUGGUUAACUGAGUUGGAAGGAAUCUAGUGUAUAUUCUAACAAGAUCAUUCCUCUAUAUAUAUUCAUUUCAACCUAAAUAUACUUUUUAUUGUCGAAAUACUCUUCGUGUAGAUAUAAAAUCAUGUAACAAAAUAAAAAAAGCUACUAUUGAAGUUCUAAAAACUUUUGAUAUUAUUAUAUCGUCUAUCUCUGAUUUAUAAAGCGAUGAUAACAAAAAAGUUAAAUUGCUAUUACAGUUCAUUACAUUGAUAAUAUUUGAAAUCUACAUAAAAUGAUUAUUGCAUUUGAAUUUGUAGAAUAUCCUCGUACUGUCAAUAACAUAUACAUAGUUUUGAAAGGGAUUAUAAAAGAAAUUAGUUUGUAAAAAAUGGUUCGAAGUUUUACUUUAACAAUUUUAGUACGAAUAAACUUUUUAUUGAAAAUAUUGUUAAUGAUCUUAACCAUGCAUUUGCAAGUUUAUUUUUUCAUCAGUAUUGCGUAUGUCAUGUUUGUUAUUUUUAUUUUUAUUUUUUUGAACUUCAUAUUUGUCAAUUUGAUUGUUAAAGUUGGUUUAGCAUAUAUGAAAGGACAAUUAGAUAAACAAUAAAUUUUUAUUAUCGUGUUACCAUCGAGAAAAUAAGCAUUUAAUAAUUUGUGUGUAGAUCAUAACUUACAAGAGAGAUAAUUUGCCGAUGACAUAAUACAUAGAUGGAACUCUAAAUACCUUAUAUUACAAUCAUGUGAAUAAUAUGAUAAUAUUAUUUUAUUGUAUUAUAAUGGUAAUUAUGCUUACAAACCUAGUCAUAAUUUGAAAGAUUGGGAAUGAUCUAUUGCAUUUUGUGUGAAGAGAUUCUUAAAAUCCAUUUUUAUACCACAAAUACUUGCAGUGGUGUUUAUUACCAUACAUUUUCACUUGUUGUACAACAUUUUUCUACAUUGCACAAACAUUUAAUAAAUAUGGAAGUUUGUCAAUUUUCGUUGAUAUAGUCUUGUCUGUGGAGUUAAAAUUUCUCAAAUAUUAGGAAGAGUUGCCCUCCUUAUUUUCUUUUACUCUCAGUGAUGAAUUUUCGAGUUAAUUUAACAGGCAUUAAAGCUAUUAUAAAUGGGAUUUCAAAUUACUUGAAUGUGGAAUUAUCACGUGUAAAUAUAAAAUCUUCAUUAUGUGAAAUGUAUAAAUAUUAUGCUGAAAAAAGGAGGUCAUAGCAAUUCUAGUUCUCAAAGUACCCGUUCAAGAAAUACUACAAGGAAUUCAAAUGAUUUAUGAAAUUUUUAAAAAUCCAAUACAAGGGCUCCUUCAUUUAGUUCUAAUUCAUCUAUAUCUAGAAUGAUAGAUGCCAUUGGUAUAGAUCUAAAGAUACCUUUUGAAUUAUCUAUGUAUAUGUGUGUAGACAUUUGCAAUGUGUUACAAUCAUAAGUAACAGAGAAUUUUGUUCUUCUAUCCUGAUGGAAGUAUAAGAAAAUGCAAUAUCCAAUGUAUCAAAAGUUUUGUCAGACGAACGAUCAAGAAUAAAAGAAUGCAUAUUGAAGGUUCUAAUAUGCUUAAAGGAUCGAGAAUGUGCAGAAUUACUUCUUUAAGAAAAAGUUGAAAGUCUAAUCGUCGAGGAGUUGCAACAGAUCUAAGAGUAAGAUGUUGUAAGUUUUUAAAUUUAUUUGUUAACUUAAUUAUCUAAUUUUAAAAUAUUUGUAUACAAAAUAUUUUAUUCGUGUACUAUUUUAACUCCAUCAACAUUGAUUGUACCCGAUCCCAAACUCGAAAAAAUGAGGAAUAUUGUAACUUUUAUUUAAUCUACCGUAAGUAUAAAUCACACAAAAUUUACAUUGUUAAAAAGAAUUUAAAAUUUCACUAAUUUUAAAAAAAAAAUUUUAAUUGUGAGCCAACUAUCUCAAUGAAGCCUUAACCAAGCCUCAAAAUUUCAAUCGAGCUUUGGCUCAGGUCAAGCUAAAAAUAGCGAUAUCAAGCAGCGAACUUCAGCCCCCUAGUUGAUACCCAAAAAGUUUUGAGAACUCCCAAAAAAUAGAAAUUUAAUAAUAUGUCACUUUGAGAAAAAACUUUGAUUAUUUAGAACUCCAGAUAUACAUGCCAAUAAAGUGUCUUGUGCCAUUUUUGGACCAAAGGGGGCAGCUCGAGUUUGGUCACACUAUAAUUUUGGCAUCUAAAGAAGAUUAUGUCUUGGAAAAUCGAUUCAAAUUUUGUCUAUUAAUAAGAGAAUUAUUGUGUUUUAAUAUUGAAAGUUCUAGGAACGCGCUACUGCACUUAGAAAGUUCACGGGAACGCUUUACAACGUCAAAUUCAAAUUUUAAGCAUUUACCAAGUGUACGUUCUAAUUACCAAUUCGAUCUUACGUGCGAAAUUAAUCUAACUAAAGCAACAAGUCACUUUUGUUAGUUAUCUAGAUGAUUAGACAUACAAUCCAAUUUAAUCCUAUGUUGAAUUACCACAUAUUAUUCUAAAUAACUGAAAGUAGUAAAAACAAAAUCAACACAAGAAUUGUUGACGGAGAAACCCAACACGGGAAAAACUCCGGGCACAAGCCAGUUACCUCCACUAACAAUACUUCAAAGAUUACAAUGAUUCGCCAAUCAAAGAACCCAUCAAGAUCCACUGUCACAGCCUGACGAUCUACUGCGUAGACUCUCUAGACUCCUGCUAGACUCCUAAGUCCACCUCCUGUAGUCCAAUCUGAUGUCUCCUACAGUCUUCUGAUCUUGUACUGAAUAUCCUCACAAGUGGAACGCCAAGAACCUCCUGUUCUUGUGCUUGUAACUGCACCUUGCACCACUCUCUCAAUCCACCAAAGAGAGAGUUCCUUCCUUCAAUCAGUUGAGGAAGCCAGGUGUUUGUCUUCAAGAAUGUUUGAUGUUUUCCCAAGAAAUGGUUGCCGGAUCACAAGAAUUGCAUAGAUAAAAUCUUCAAUCAAUAUUGUCUUGGAUCUCUUGAAGAAGAUGUAGAAGAAGAAUAUUAUCUUGGAUCUUCAAUUGAUUUGCCUUGGAUCUCUUCACGAAUGGAGUAGAAGAUGUUUUUCAAGAGAGGCACAAUGAGCAACCAACCACAAUUCGUGUUAGGGCUUAGGUAUUUCUAUCUAAAGGUGUUUUGGUAGUAUGGGCCGAGUAAAACACUUAAAAAUGCGUACUAGGGUUUUUUUCGCGUAGAACGGUCGCUCGAGCGAGGGUGGGGCGAAACUCUAGCGAGACCCAUUCUGUUAUUAUCGCUCGAGCGAGGGUCGAGCGAAAGUCGAGCGACUGCUGAGUAGUUGUUAGUAUUUUUAUCAUAACUUUCUCUCCUAAUGUCCGAUCGAGGUGAUUCAAGUUUUUUUGAACAGCGAACUCAAAGGGCUACAAUUCUUCUAGAAAUAGCCUUGUCCAAAUUCCAACUGUUUCUUUGUGUAAAAUGUGUUCCAAGUGAAAACUGAAAAUCCGAAACAUAAUUUGUGCGGCUCUUUGAUAUCUUUUUGACUUCCAAUUGCAUUCCGAUGAUCUUAUGUGAUCUUCUUGGAUAUCUUGGACUCCUUUAACGACUCAAAAACUAAUUUACCUCAUCUAUACAAAAUUGUACCUCAAGACCUUGACUUUUACAAGAAUGUUCAAUUGAGUCCCUGACUUUUACAAACAUACGAUUAAACCCAUUUUGUUCACAGAAUUGCCAAUAACACAUUUAGACCUAACAAACUCCCCCUUUGGCAUUCUGUGACAAAACCAUACAACUGAAGUCAGGACUAUAAAAUGAAGUCAGGACUAGACAACAUAAUCUACUCUACCCAGUAAAUUCACACCGAGUCUUGCAUUCUUCUUAUACCUGUUUCCUGAAAUCAAAAACACUUAUACCCAGUGUAAAAGCACGUGAUACUGAAAAUUUAAAAUUUAAGCAUAAACACAUAUACAUUCUAGUUUGAGACGUGAUAUUGAUGCGAAUCAAAACACCAACCAAACAUCAAAACUCAAACAGAUAAAUGUGAAAUGAAAUGCAAUGUAAUGCUCCCCCUUACUGCAAACUCUCAUAAACGUGAUGCAGUAGAUAAUGUAUCUAUGUCUCUCCCCAACGGCCCCUUGACAUAGGCAAUAUGCAACAUAUCGAAUCAAACAAUGAAACACAGUGCACAUUGGCUAAAUUUUGCUCUAACAAUUUUCUCCCCCUCAGAUAUACAUCUCCCCCUCAGUUAUACGUUCUCUCAUUCUCUCUCCCCCUUUUUGUCACAAAUGCUGAAGGGAAUAUAUCCAAAGUCAAAUAGAGCAAUAACAUAUAAAACUCAAAAAUGCAGUUGAUAGCAUGCAUAAGUAAUAUCAAUAAGUCAUAAGUCUUCCCACAUACUUAGUUAGACCAGAGUGGAGUAAAAAGUUUAAGUGACUCAUGUGUGUAAAGUGUCACUAAUCCAAUGUAAGCAGGUCUCCAAACCUUAAUUUUGUGAGAAGUGACAUGCUAAUCACUGCCAAUAAGUAUAUUCUCCUACUAAUGAAAGUCAAACCAUGUAGCGUGAAGUAGUAGGACCUAUACUUAUUCUUUUUCUUACCUCCCCCUUACUAUGAGCUUUUAUCUUUUUCAAUCUUUCCAUAUCUUUUUAGCUCAAAACAUUUUCAUAUUUUUCAAACUUUUUCUCAGCUCAUUUAUUUUUCAUCUUAAGUGCAGGUUCCUUUCCAUUAGGCGACUAAAAUGACCCCUGUAGCAAGCUUUAGGCCGGUUAACCCAAGUCAGUUGACCAUAGGCACCAGGUUUUAAGAAACCCCACAGGCUUAAUUGCCCGAGUCAAAUAGGCCCCGAAAAAGAACAUUAAGAUAAUGAGCAUAAAUUAAAGGGGAAAGAUUUUUGGGUUAAGGUCUAAAAAAUAUGGUCAAUUCAUGUUCAAAGUCACCCCAUCAACAUGUGGCAGCCAUCCCAAAUCUCACACAUGCGGUAGAGUCCUACUUAACAAAUUCAUAGUGUGUGCAGUGCAGAUGGUACAUGAAGACACUUAUACUAAUUAAACCAAACAGACCUAACCAAGCAAUGGAAACUACUCUACAGCUUAUCAACUUAAGCUUAAGCAUGAUCACAACCACAAAUUUCAGAUAUGCGUUAAGCUGUAGAGAUUUCCAAAACAACUAUUUUUGUGUUUUUCAAUUUUUUAAUGUUUUUGUGUUUUUCAUUUUUCGAAAAGUGAAUGCACACACAAAAAGAAAAUAGAAACAAGCACACAAAUCAAAACACAAAAUAUGCAUGUACCAAAGCAAUCUAAUAUAAAUGCACGUGCACAAAACAAAACAAAAAAAGCAAAUACAAAUGAUGCACGCAAUCAAAUAUGACAAAAAAAUGCAUCAAGAACACUACCUAAUCACGUAGGUAUAUAAGCAUCAUGAUCUACGUUCAGAUUAUGCAGAUCACUCUUCUUCACCCAAACCUGCUUAGUGGGAGAACGGUUCCCAAACAAGUGUGUCACCAACUUGGUCAAAUGAUUCACUUGUUCAGUAAGGAAUCCAAUCUGACCAAUAGACACCUGACUUUUAUUUCCAGUUAUGCGUAUCUUCCUAUUAUUAUUCAGGUACUGAUGACAUCUAGGGCGGAUGUGUCCUAACUUACCACAAUGAAAACAAGUAGGGACAAACCUCGGACCUGUAUUAUGAGACUGCUGACGUCUAUUCCUCGGUCGACGUGUCCUAUGCUGUCUGGUAGACCUUUGUCCUAAAAAUCCCUCAACAUUAGGUAUGGAGUUGGACGCAUAUUUGGGCUGGUCAGAAGCAGGGACAAAUGUGGUCUUAGAUGUACUAACAGUAUCAAUUCUCUUACCCUUGUAUCCUAGACCUCCCUUAUUUCCAGCCGGCUUACCUAUUCCUAGCAUAUUAUCUAGCUUUGAUGAACUACUAGAAAAGGCAAGAAGUUGAGACUUUGAUUGUUCUAAAUCGCUCAUAAGGUUCACUACCUGAAUUUGCAAAGUCUCAUUCAUGGCAUUCAACUCACUGGUUUUCCUAGAGGACCUCUCAAGCUCACUAGUGAGGUUCUUAACCUGAGACUCUAAGGUUUCAUUCUUAGACUUAAGCUCACUCAGGACUGUGGAAGACUCACUCACAUACGACUCUAGCUUAGCUUUUUCAGACUGCAGAUUAUGAAUGGUAGCAUUUAAGGUUUUAUUCUUACUAAGAAUCUUAAGGCUCUCCCGGUACAUCUUAUCAUAGGCCUCUUGAAUAUCCUUAUCACUCACUGACUCAUCUUCAGAAUCCUCACCACUAUCUAUGUCAUCAUCUCUCUCACCCUCUUGAUCGGAUCCAUUCCUCAACCAAACCCUCUCAUCCAUAGCUUUCAAGAACGCCCUCAUUCUCACUUUCCAAUAGGCAAAGUUACUACCAUCAAAGUAAGGCGGUAUAUUCAAAGACAUACUCAUCUAGACUAAGUAAGAUCAGGAUUCGAAUUUAGGCUCUGAUACCACUUGAAAGUUCUAGGAACGCGCUACUACACUUAGAAAGUUCACGGGAACGCUUUACAGCGUCAAAUUCAAAUUUUAAGCAUUUACCAAGUGUACGUUCUAAUUACCAAUUCGAUCUUACGUGCGGAAUUAAUCUAACUAAAGCAACAAGUCACUUUUGUUAGUUAUCUAGAUGAUUAGACAUACAAUCCAAUUUGAUCCUAUGUUGAAUUACCGCAUAUUAUUCUAAAUAACUGAAAGUAGUAAAAACAAAAUCAACACAAGAAUUGUUGACGGAGAAACCUAACACGGGAAAAACUCCGGGCACAAGCCAGUUACCUCCACUAACGAUACUUCAAAGAUUACAAUGAUUCGCCAAUCAAAGAACCCAUCAAGAUCCACUGUCACAGCCUGACAAUCUACUGCGUAGACUCUCUAGACUCCUGCUAGACUCCUAAGUCCACCUCCUGUAGUCCAAUCUGAUGUCUCCUACAGUCUUCUGAUCUUGUACUGAAUAUCCUCACAAGUGGAACGCCAAGAACCUCCUGUUCUUGUGCUUGUAACUGCACCUUGCACCACUCUCUCAAUCCACCAAAGAGAGAGUUCCUUCCUUCAAUCAGUUGAGGAAGCCAGGUGUUUGUCUUCAAGAAUGUUUGAUGUUUUCCCAAGAAAUGGUUGCCGGAUCACAAGAAUUGCAUAGAUAAAAUCUUCAAUCAAUAUUGUCUUGGAUCUCUUGAAGAAGAUGUAGAAGAAGAAUAUUAUCUUGGAUCUUCAAUUGAUUUGCCUUGGAUCUCUUCAAGAAUGGAGUAGAAGAUGUUUUUCAAGAGAGGCACAAUGAGCAACCAACCACAAUUCGUGUUAGGGCUUAGGUAUUUAUAUCUAAAGGUGUUUUGGUAGUAUGGGCCGAGUAAAACACUUAAAAACGCGUACUAGGGUUUUUUUCGCGUAGAACGGUCGCUCGAGCGAGGGUGGGGCGAAACUCUAGCGAGACCCAUUCUGUUAUUAUCGCUCGAGCGAGGGUCGAGCGAAAGUCGAGCGACUGCUUAGUAGUCGUUAGUAUUUUCAUCAUAACUUUCUCUCCUGAUGUCUGAUCGAGGUGAUUCAAGUUUUUUUGAACAGAGAACUCAAAGGGCUACAAUUCUUCUAGAAAUAGCCUUGUCCAAAUUCCAACUGUUUCUAUGUGUAAAAUGUGUUCCAAGUGAAGACUGAAAAUCUGAAACAUAAUUUGUGCGGCUCUUUGAUAUCUUUUAGACUUCCAAUUGCAUUCCGAUGAUCUUAUGUGAUCUUCUUGGAUAUCUUGGACUCCUUUAACGACUCAAACACUAAUUUACCUCAUCUAUACAAAAUUGCACCUCAAGACCUUGACUUUUACAAGAAUGUUCAAUUGAGUCCCUGACUUUUACAAACAUACGAUUAAACCCAUUUUGUUCACAGAAUUGCCAAUAACACAUUUAGACCUAACAAAUAUGAAUUAUUUUAUUUGAUAAUAUAUUGAAAGCUGGAAACAGAGACAAUUUCAAUCUUCCAUGAAGCAUAUUUCAAGAACAAAGUUUAACUAUUUUCCUGCCUAGUGCAUACAGUCUAGCUGCUGUAAGUAUUAUGUCCUAUGUCCAAUCAAUUUUGGACAUAAAUACUUUUAUAUAUAAUUAACGCAAUUAAAUGACAGAUCUAUUAUUUAAUUAAUAGACAAUUAAACAAAUAAUAGAGUCCGUAGAUUCAAAUCUUUGUAAUUUGUUAAUCACAAGGAGUUGUGAUUGUGAGAUACAAAUUACAUCUGAUUGAAUUUUAAAUCAUCCGUGGUCGUAAGUAAUAACGAGAUACGGAUAUCGUUAUUAUGAAUAGACCAUCACGUGUGGCAUUUCUUACUUGUGAAGUAAGUAGCUGAUCUCACAAACUAAAGUGUGGUGACACUUAAAUGAACACAUGGAUAUUUUGUUAUAGAACAAAACAUUGGAGACCUGUCGAGAGAUUCCAUAUGGAUAACUAUCUGAAUGUCAAUGGUUAAUCUCUAACGUUCGGUAGUGGAAUUGGUCCUUAGACUUGAUGUCGUCAUGGUACCUUAUAUGAGGACAGUCAUGCUUUGGCGGUGUUGGAUGUUGCUCUGCAAAGGGUCGCUAAUACGACAUCGUUCGGGUACGUCAAGAAUCGUAUGAAGGUUGUGAUUGACCAAUAAAGGAUUUGUCACUCUUAGAUAGUAGGAGAUUAUGAUAUGCGUUUCAUUCAAUUAAAUCGAUGAUGAAAUCAUUGGCCAAGGAUACUCAUAAGUCGAAAAUGAGUUUUCAACUUAUAUUGACUUAAUAGUAGAGUGAAAGAUAUGAUCGAUAAUCGAGAUUGACACACUUCCAUAUCUCGUAAUUGAUCGGAUCAUAUUAAUGAAGGGAUUAUAGUUUCACGGUAAACGAACGAAUUUGGUUUUGUCAUACCACGUGACAUUUUCCGUCCAUGUAUUGCCCUAACACAUUGCUAGAUGUCAAUCAGGGACGGCGAGUGUGAAUUGACGAUAAAUUAAAAAGGUAUUUUAAUUUAUCAAUUUUGAUUAGAUCAAAAUAAUAUUUCACGUCGUUAGGUAUUGUGAUCGGAAACCUAAUAGGUCGCACACAAAAGAGAAUUGGAAGAUUGCAAAUUACCAAUUGGUUAAUUUAACAAUCGUUGGAUAAAUUAAUUAAUUGGAUUUGUUAUUUAUAUUCCCGAAUUAAUUAAUUGGAUUAAUUAAUUCACGGGCCGAAUUGAAUUAAUUGGAUUAAUUAAAUAUUUGACCGGAUCGAGUCGAGCCCGUUUGGGUUUAUAUAAAUACAUGGUUAGGGUUUGAGGUCCAUAUGGUUUUCAUUAUUCUUGCUGGCACAAGAGAAAACCCUAAAAGCUGCAAUCUUAUUCUCUGUGUGGAUCACCGUUGGAGACUGGACAAUUGGACAGCUAUGGUGGCGAAUCAAGGUUGAUGGAACUAAAAAAAAAAAAAAAAAGCAAAAGGAUUGCAGAAUUCUUCAAAAGUACAAUCCUUAUCACAAUUUCUAUCUAAACACAAAGGCGAUUCUUAGUGGGAAUCGAAAAUUAUUUUAAAUUUCGCUGUGCAUGUAUAAGUAGAUUCCCAACAGCUGCCACAAUCAAAAUAAUGGUGUACAAUUCAAUAGUGUUUUUAACUCUGUAUUCAGGUUCGUUUUAAUGUAAAUGCAAAUCGUUAAUUACGAAUCUUUAACGUUGCCACUGAAUUUCCAUCUCCUUUUUCGUGAUCCUCUCCCCACCUCGUCCUUCAAGUUCCUUCGGAUUCACUUCAAUUGUGUUAUUACCAGCAGAACUUCAGUCUACUCGGGGGGCUAAUACCGGUACUGGCAGAUACCUUUUUUCCACCGUAUUUCUAUCAUAAAACAAGAAAAAAUUGUAACCAAUAAGAAACGACAACAGAUUAACAAGACGAUCUGCCUCAACUACUACCACGCUCCAUUUUUAGGAACAAUUUCAUUUCUAAAAUAAGCUGAAAAAAUAUUAAGCUCACCUGAUUUCCAAGAUUGAAUGGGAUAUAUUUGUACUUGAUCAUAUGCAUGAUUUGGGGCUUCAUUGUAAGUACAAAAUGAACAAUCCAGUAGCACAACAAUAUGGGCCAAAAGACGGGAACAUCGAACGUGGAAAAGGUCAUCAAAAAUGCUACACACAAACCCUUUGUGAUGGCAUACCUGGAGCCACAAAAACAAGACAGCACACAAUUCAAUCAGAGUUAGUCUUUCUUUAUUUGCAAAGAAAAGAAAACAGAAAUCCAAAAAUAGUAGGCUGACAGCAAUUGUUUAAACAUGCAAGCAUUGCAAACUGCAGUCUUAUCAAUCUUUCCUAGGUUGAAGAGUAGAAGUUUGGCGCAGUAUUUUAAGAAGCUUUCCCACAAAUAUAUAUUGUUAUAUUAUACACGCAAUAGCGAUGAAUGCCCACCAUGUGCUCAUGAAAUAAAUCUAAGCAUCAAAUCAUAGUGCACGUGAUACAUGAGAAAAUAGAGUAGCGUACAAAAUUUAACAGAAAACAAUUCAAGUAUUCCAGCAAAAACAUCUGUAUGCAAGUUGGUAGAGCAGGGAAACUCUUGUCAAAAAGAAGUUAAAAAAGAACGCCAUUAAGGAGGUAGACCAUUCAAGAUUGGAUAUUGCAUCACCGUCAAUAUCCCUAAGCAAUCAUGAAGUCAUCAAAACGUAUCUUUUUCUAUAUCCUAUUAAAACCAUCAUAACAAUGAUUUGUUCCAAUUGCUCCAUAUCUUUCUCCUCAAAACAGUAGAGAAAAUGUUCUUAAAAAUGGCUAAAUUCAGUUAAAGCUUCCCAAAUUGGUUAGGACAACAAGUCUUUAAAUGCAAUCUUUGCAUAAAAAUAUGACAAUCAUAGCUCUUCCUUCUAUGGAACUCACAAUCACCCUUAACACAACAUGAAAUGUUUGAUUCACAACCAUCAGGCAUUCUUAGAUUCCUAAUCCAAUUGCAUACUUCUCAUUUUUGUACAGUAGUUAAGUUAUAGGAGGCCUUUGGCAUGAAUAGUUUUCCUUGUUCAUCUUCAUAUGUAUGAAGCUUCCGAUGGUUGCAAUAAAGCUCGAAAUCCUUUCUAGCCUUGAAGUUAUCUUUAUUUUUUUCCUUUCAUAACCAUAAUUGUAUUCAAUACAUUUUCGAAUACAUUAUUUUCAAUGUACAUCACAUCUAAAUUAUGCAUUAUGAGAUUUGUAUUCCAGCAAGGCAACUCCUGGAAAAUGCUCCUCUUUACCCAAUUAUGGCUAUGACCAAAACCUUCGAUUUCUUUUCUCUUAUCAUCUCUGCCACUUGCAAUGUGUGGGAGGUUUUCCGCUAUACUUUGCAAGUCUUCACUGGUUAGCCUAUGUUGUGCCAUAUCCUUCUCAACUCUACCUUUUAUAAAAUUUGUCUCUUAAUUUUCAAAUGCAUGGUCAAGUGGUAGGGAUUGACAGUGACAACCAUAAAAAGAUUUUUUUUCUCCAUUUUUAAGCCUAAAAGAUUUAGUUUGACCCAUACAGUAUGGACAAGACUUCAGGUCGUGCAUACUUCAUCCACAUAAUAUACCUAAUAGUCCAAGUCAAUGCAGCUUUCAACUAAAAAUUCUACUUCAUUUGUAUGUCAAUGUUUCAAUACCUUCACCCUAAAGCAUUUUUAGUUCAUUAAUGAAAAGAUGCUAAUAAAUAUCAAGAUUUUUCCCUGGGCUCUUCGGUCAUGGGAUAACCAUACUAAAAAAAUAAGUUAUAUUGUUGUUUACACAAAUAGCGGACGAUUUACACAUUAAUUAUUACUAGCCAACAUGAGUAUUGCACAUUUGACAUGCUAAAGGUGUUGAACCCAUCUGCACAUAAACGAAGGCGUACAAUACAUGGUUUAAGGGAAAAUUAAGGAAAAGUUCUAUCAAAGUAAUUCCAUGCCUCACUAUGUAUGGGGUUGAUAUUUAAAUAUAAGUUAAUUGAUUAUUCGAGAGCCAUAAUAUGUACUCUAUAAUAUACCUCGACAUAUAUAGUCGUUCAAGCUUAGAUGUUAGAGGUAGAUAUCGCAGUACCUUCUAAGGUACCCUAUGUCCAGAUUGAGACAUCUUCUCUUUGUAUCUGGACUAAAAUACAUAGGACAUUGUGUCACUCUCAAUUUCUUUAUAGUACAAUAUGAAAUCAUUCAUAAAAGCAUGGAUCUUCAUAACAUCAUGGCCAAGACUGGAUAAGAAAUGUAGCUUCUAACCGGUCACCUUCUAGUAUAAUUUCCUUAAUGAUAGACAACAUACAAUCAAAACAUGCAGUAGCCAUAUAAAUUUUAGACUUUAGAUUCAAAAGUCGUUCCAUAGUAGAAAGGCUAGUGUGCUUACUACAAUCAAACAACACAGUUCGUCAGCUUCUUCCAAUAGUCUAAAAAAAUUUGUUCCAUGUUGCUUCGGAGCUUGUUCCUUAUGAGCACAAACAUUUGGAUUGAUGUAAUUAUUGUACAUUUUAGGGCCUAUCACAUCAAUCACGAUUGCUUCAUGGCUAUAAUUUGUUAUACCUUGUGCAGUUGAGGAUUCAACCAAAUCUAGACCAUUGAAACUGAAUGUUUCUCCAUGCGCGUUUCAUUGUGUAGGGCCCCUCGUAAAUCCAUUUUUGUAAAGAUGAAAUUUCACAUCAUCUCCUCUUGGAAACCUUGUGCUAUUACAUAUAAAAUAUGGACAUUUGAUAAUAUCUCCAACUCUUGUUCAAAACAUGGCAAAAUUCAAUGAACUCUUCAGCACCUUCAAUGAAUUUGCUAAAAGGAAAUCCAUCAUCUUACCGAUUCAACAUUCAGCUGUGGUUCGAUGCCACAAUGUUCAAGAAGUCAUAGAUUUUAAUUGCCUAUCCUUCAUGAAUUUUCGCAUGGUUCGAAUGUUAAACCUGCAAAAUGAAUCCAAUUAACUCCCUUUCUAAAAAUAAACAAAUUUCAUAUCAUUGAUCAGUUUUAGAAUAAUCACUUAGAUAAUUAAACAAAUGGUUAAGCAAGAACCAAAUUCAAUUUAGAUUAAAAGUCAAACUACUUCAAUUCAUAAUUUCCAUUAAUAAGAAAUGCUCAAUCCUAGUUACAUUCUUAAUUAAGAUUUAAUAUCUAACAAAUUUUCAAAAAAUCAAAUUAACACUUUUCAAUCAAGAAUCUCAAUUAUUGAAUACUUAAUACUUCAAGAGAGGAAUGGUUUGUGUUCAAAGUUAGACCCAAUUGCAGUACACUAAUAUGAUAAAUAGUAAAAUCAAUCAAAUUAACUUGAGGUUUCGUAUUUAUUUUCAUGUAAUACUUUUUCUUAUCUUCAAAGGGUGAUCUCGUCCGCAAUAGGAAGAGACUCUAGAAGCUAAUGUUGAUGAUGAAUUCGGAAUACAAAGGUCUCUAGAUCAGAUUUAUGGGAUAGAUCGACUGAAUGUAAAGAGGGGAUAUCGAAAAAUACAUUGAUGAAUCAUGGGAUAGAAUGAUAGAAACUGUUGUUUCAUAUUUGAUUUUGAUUUAUUUUUAAUUCUAAACAAUUUACUAACAAAACAAACUGUAGGUAAUAUUUUACAAUUAAAUAAAUUAAUUUGAAUAUAUUACAAAUAGAUAUUUAGUGUAUUAACAACGAAUAAAUUCUUAGGUAAAUUUUAAUUAAUUUUUUAUUUUCUUAAAUUUCACAAUCAACAAUUAUUACGUCACAAUCUUCAUUGGUAAUUUUUUAUAAUUUUUUGUUUAGGAAAAUUUACCCAUGAAUUAACAACAAAUUCUUAACGACAUCUAUAUGUUAUCAAUAAUUCCAUUGCUACCAAAUUUAUUUUUUAGUUAUAGAUUUUUUAUAAUAUUUCGUUGGUAUCAAUUCGUAAUAGCAGGGGAUGGCUUCCAUUGGUAAAAACAGUCGUUAAAGUCUCCCUUUCUAGUAAUGGUAGGUGUAGGGGAUGAGUUAGGUAAUGGGAUGGUGGAAUGGUUGAAGUAGAUAAAUUGAGAGACUAUGAGGAGGAGUUAAUAGGGUUUAAGACAGUAUCAUUGGUAUCAUUGGUAUCAUUGGCUGAGGAGAAGUUAAAAGGUUGAGCAGGUAUAUUUUCAAAUUAAUUAAGGAAAGAGUCUACAUUAUAAGCAUCUUCGUCGACCAGAAUCUGAUGAAAGUUAUCAUGAGGUAAAUUUGUUGAAUUUGGAGAAGAAGUACCAUGUGAAUUUUGUGAAAACCAUUCAUCAUAGUUAGGGAAAGUAGUAAUUGAAAAAUUUGUGUGGGCAUCAAAAUAUUUUUAGAUGAAUAAGGAAAAUGAUUUUCAUUAAAUCCUACGCGGCCAAAUAUAUAUGCGACGACUAUGUUAAUCAAGACAAUGGUUUUUUUCAUAUAACGGAUUAUAUGCUAAGAACACAUAAGGGUUUGUUUUGCGAUAAAAUUUAUACUUACCUAUGGUUUUUAAAUAUGGAAAACACAUGAGAUUUGUUUUUGAAAUUCCACAUUGAGUCAAAUGAUGAGUGAAAUCAUUUCAAGUGAAUUCGCCACCUCCGUCACUUAGUAAGAUUUUGAUUUUCCUAUCAAAAUGAUUCUUAAUAAAAACUUGAAAUUUAAGGAAACAAGAUCCUAUUUGAUCUUUAAAGGAAAUAACCAGUAUAACGAGUAAAUUUAUCAAUAAAAAUCACAUAAUACAAUUUUUGAGAAGACUAUUAGAUACAACACUUUACAAAAAAGUUACAAAACUGAAAUUACAAUACUGAAACUCUACAAAAAUACCACUCGGCAACAAGAACAGUGACCUAUUUAGGGUCAAAUCCUUGUACUCUUUUGUGUCAUCAAAGAGACCCUAACUCAAACCAAAACCCUCAAAAGUUCCCAACGAGAGGUUGCUUCAAUGGACAGAUUUGGACUCAAACCCACAGAUUUCAGUUUACUCCCAUAGAGAAAACCCUCCGAUCUCACAGAUAGAAGAAGAUUGACUCACAAAGAGAAGAUGAACAGAAGGAGAACGGAAAUCCAGAAGGUUCCAAGCAAUUGAAGAAAAAGGAGAAUGAAAAGUCUUCCAAAUUAGGGUUAGAGACUCAUAUUUAUAGUAAAACCAAUCAACUGUACAUCUGUAUCUUCAUCCAACGAGCCAGAGCAACUCUUAAUCAAUUAGGCUGGAUAUCGGGUCAUGGUAGGUAGGCCAUCUCAGAUAACGUUAUUGGGCAAGGUUAUGGGGUUAGUAAUUGGGCUGAAGGCCAUUAUCAUCAUUACCUAAUAAAUGGACUGGACUAACAUCACAGCUCAACAAUCUCCACCUUGAUGCCAGUGUUAAUACAAGAAGCAUAUAGUACACAUUCUACAAAAAUUAAUAUCCUGUAAAAACAUAAGCUUCCCAGCAUUUCUAGUUGGCACCAAGCAUACAACUCGCAAACACUACAAAAAUUACCUAGUAUCAACGUUCAACAUUUGCAAACAAGUUUUAAACUUGUUUAAAGGCAAUGCCUUUGUCCCCAUGUCUACUGGAUUAAAUUCAGUAGCAAUUUCCUCAAGGAACAAAAUUUCUUUAAAUGCAAUUUUACAUCAAUGUGUUUUGUUGUUUCAUGAUAAAUUGGGUUUUUGCACCGGUGUAUAGCACUUUGACUGUCUGAAUAUAGUACAACAAGGCUGCAUAAUUCAUUUAUUUCAUAAAGUAAACCUUUAAGCCAUAAGGCUUCUUUAAUUACCUCAGUUGCAGCUACAUAUUCUGCCUCAGUUGUAGAUAAAGCUAUAACUGGUUGUAAUUUUCCAACAUAUACAAGUUCCACACAAAGUAAACACAUAGAUAGUGGUAGAUUUUCUGUUGUCCCUAUUUUCAACAAAGUCAGAAUCAACGAAACCCUAAAGUAUCACACCCUCUUUACGAGCACUAAAUGCUAAGCCUAAGUGUUAUGAACCUUUUAAAUACCUCAACAACCAUUUUAAAGCAACCCAAUGCUCAAGCCUAGGGUUAGCCAUGAAUCUGUUAAGAAUACUAAUGGAAUGAGCAACAUGAGGCCCCUAUGCAAACCAUGGUAUACAUAAUUGAUCCUACCGUAUAAGCAUAGGGUACCUUUUCCAUUUGUUUAAUUUCAGAUUCAUUUAUUGGGCAUUGUUCUUUACUUAGCUUGAAAUGGCUAGCUAAGGGGAGAGUAUCAGAUUUUACAUUAUUCAUCGCAAAUCUAACUAACAUUUUCUCAAUAUAACCUAUUUGUUUUAGGCUCAAUGUUCUAUUACUCCUAUUUCUGAUUAUUUCCAUUGCCAAAAUUCUUUUAGCAUGACCUAGAUCUUUCAUUUCAAAUUAAUUGCUUAAGGAUCCUUUAAUAUUAUUAACCACAUACAUGUCUUGCUCUAUUAAUAGCAUAUCAUCCACAUACAAAAGUAUAAAAGCAAUAAUUUAAUUUUCUUUACCACGCUUAAAGUAAAGACAAUGAUCAAACUUACUUCUUAUAAAACCAAAGUAGAUAUAAAAUUAUCAAAUCGUAAGUAUCACUGUCUUGGAGAUUGCUUUAAACCAUAUAAGAAUCUUUUUAACAAGCAAAUAUGUUCAGGUUUAAAUUCAUCAACAAAACCAUGUGGUUGUUUCAUAUAGAUCACUUCAUCAAGAUCACCAUGCAAAAAGGCAGUUUUUACAUCCAUUUGUUCGAGUUCAAGGUCAUAAUGUGCCACAAGAGCAAGCAUAACUCUAAUAGUAGUGUAUUUAACUAUGGGGGAAAAGAUUUCAUUGUAAUCUAUGCCUUCUUUUUGUGUAAACCCCUUAGCAACAAGUCUAACCUUAAAUCUUAUAGGCAUUUUCUCAUUAUUUCCCUCCUUCAAAGUAAGUAUCCAUUUACAAUCAACAAUAGACUUACCUGCAGGUCUAGGAACUAAAUUUCAAGUCUUAUUUUUUAUUAAGAAGUCCAUUUCAUCUUUCAUAGCAGCUAGCCAAUUAAUAGAUUGUUGACUGCCUAUUACCUCUUCAUAAGAUUUUGGUUCUUUAAAGACGAGAUCUUGAUAAGAAAGUAUAGCAAGUAAAAGGUAAACCAUAUACCUAACAGGUUCUCUUAUCUCUCUCUUAAUCCUAUCUCUAGUCAAUUGAUAAUCUCCCAACUCUAUAGGCUGACUUUCCAUGCUUUCUUGAACACUUCCUCUUCAGUUUCUUGAAGAUUAGAGGCAUUUUUUGCCUCUUCCUCCACCUGUUCAUUUAGAACAGGUUCAAGUGGAGUACCAACCUCCACCUGCAAUCUGGUUGUAUCACUUUCUUCAACUUUAUGUUGGCCAUUUGACUUAAUAUUCUCCAAACAAGGCAUUUUUUACUCAUCAAAAAUGACGUCUCUAUUGGUGAUGAUUUUAAAGCCUUUAGAUUCACUACUCCACAGCCUAUAUCCCUUUACCCUCUCAGGAUACCCAAGAAAACAUAUUUAUGGACCCUAGGUUCUUACUUACCUAUACUCUGAUUGGAAUAGGAAGCACAUCCAAAGAUCUUUAAGUGUGAGUAAUUAGGAACAUGGCCAAUCCAUUGCUCCUUAUGUAUUUUAUCACCUAACAAGGCAUUUUUGACUCAUCAAAAAUGACAUCUCUAUUGGUGAUGAUUUUAAAGCCUUUAGAUUCACUAUUCCACUGCCUAUAUCCCUUUACCCCAUCAGGAUAACCUAAGAAAACACAUUUAUUGGCCCUAGGUUCUUACUUACCUAUACUCUAAUGGGAAUAGGCAGCACAUCCAAAGAUCUUUUAAGUGUGAGUAAUUAGGAGCAUGGCCAGUCCAUUGCUCCUUAGGUACUUUAUCACCUAGAGCACUUGAAGGUGUUCUAUUAAUAAUGUAUGAAGCUGUCAUCAAAGCUUCACCCCCAGGACCUUGGGAACACCAAAACUUAUAAGCAUACACCUCACUUUAUCCAGCAACGUUUUGUUCAUUCUCUCAGCAACUCCAUUUUGCUGAGGGGUAUAAGGUGCAGUCCUAUGUCUAUUAAUUCCAGCACUACUACAGAACUGAUCAAACUCCUUAUUGUAGAAUUCUAAGCCAUUAUCAGUUCUAAGCACCUUAACCCUCUUCCCAGUCCGAUUUUCCAUCAAGUUUUUCCAAAUUUUAAACUUUUCAAGGGUUUCUAAUUUAUGUUUCAAUAGAUAGACCCAAACCUUCCUAGAAUAGUCGUCAAUCAAGAAUAGAAAAUAUUUAUUUCCUCCUUGAGUGAUAGUGGAUGAAGGCCCCCACAAAUCAGCAUGUAUGUACUCUAGAAUAGAAGUGGUCUUAUGCUUUCCUGUGUUGAAAUGCAGCCUGUGCUGCUUACCUAAAGUGCAAUUUUCACAAAAGAUACUUUAGUUAUUGAGUCCUUUCCAAAUGCACCCAUCUUAUAAAGGAUCUAUAGACCCUUCUCACCAACAUGAGCUAAUCUCUUCUGCCACUUUAAAGUGGCAUCAAGUUUAGCACUAGAAGAUUUAGCAACUUCAUCACUAAUUAUAUUGGCCUUAACAACAUAAACCCCGUUUCUUUUAAUUCCCUUAAAGAUGACAAGUGGACCCUUAAUCACCUUUAAGAACACAUCACCAAUUUUACCUUGUAGGCCUAAAUCAUCCAGGUUACCCAUUGAAAUCAGGUUCAUAUUCAAAUUAGGAAUAUAUCUAACCCUUUCAAGGUUAUAGAUAUAUCCAUUUUCAAAUUUCAAUAUGACCUUCGCUAUACCCUCAACUUUACAGGCUAUGUUGUUUCCUAUCACUACUUCUCCUCCAUUUAUUUUCUUAAAAUCUACCAGUCAGUUCUUCUAAGAGGUCAUAUGGAAGGUACAACCAGAGCCCAGAAUCCAUUCUUGAAACUGAUUUCCUUCAUCAACAACAUUAGGUGUAUUAGGGUCAGAAGUUUGUUCAGUCACAUCAUAGACAUCAACAGUGUUGGGUUCAACUACAUUUCCUUCAUCUACUUCUUUCCCUUUCUAUUCAUUUUUCUUUUUAUAACAUUCGUUUAUGAAGUGUCCUAUUUUUCCACAUCCAUUGCAUUUUUUAUUCCUAGUUUUGGAUUUUGAUCUACCCCUACUCUUAAAUAUUCUCCUAUGACUUGUUCCAUUGCUGCUUUGACUUUCAUAUGUAGUAUUAGACCUACUUUUGGUUUUCUGGUCCAGCAUUUUUUCUAUUUCUUCUAAGUUCAAGAUCCUUACUCCUUAAAGAAUUUAUAACUAUGUCAAGUAUAAUGGUGUCUCUGUCAUAUUUUAUAGCAGCUUUUACUUCUUUAUAUGUCUCAAGGAUAGUAUUUAAAAGAACUACUGCUUUGUAUUCUUCUGAAACUUUAUCACCAGCAUUAGUUAUGUCUUGAACUAGCUUAUUAAAGCUGUUAAGACUAUCUUCUAAGUCCUUAGAGUGGUCAAUCUUAAAACUAAAAAAAAAAUUCCAAUAAGAACAAUUUAUUUGGUAAAGAUUUGAUCAAAUAAAGUUUCUCUAAUUCUUUCCAUAGUGUUUUAGCAUCAUCAUGCUUGCCAACUUUUCUCUAUACUUGAUCGGAUAAGUGCCAAAUUAUAGAAGUAUAUGCAAGUUCAUCGGCUUUAUUCUGUUGAUCAGUUGACAUAGUUUCAGGAUAUUCUUGUGUUAUUGCUUUAGCAACUUUUUAUUGAACUAAAAGACCUCUCAUUUUUUGUUGCCAAAUGGGAAAAUCCCCUUUUCUAUCAAAACCACCAAGUUCGAAAGAAGUGUUUGUCAUUUUUUUUUCAAAAAACCAAGAAAGAACCAAACAACUGAUAAUCUUGACUAAUGCAGGUAUUUUUAACCUUCACACAAAAUUAGAGAGGACCAAGAUCAUACAAAAGUAUACAAUAAUCAGAUAAGAAUACCACAGUUAUAUAAACAGUAAAGACGGUCUCACAAAAUAAAGUAAAUAGGAAAACUAAUUACAAAUUACUAUCCAAGAUGAUCAAAUUCACCAGGAUUCCAAGAGAAUCAUGUUCUCUGGUCGAGGCUCAAUUUGAACAUCCCAAGAAAAUACAGUAUACUGCAAUAACAAGUCACACAGAUCCAAAGAUUUUAAAAAAUUUGUAACAAUCAAGUGAAUAUGGAAUGAGAAACCAGUGAAGACACAUAAAGAAACAUAUACUAUCACAGAAGAUAACAAAAUCAAUGAUAUAGGUAUUAUCGAAUACUCAUCAGAGGGUGGUUCAUAGAAAUUUAACCACCAAUCCAACCAAAACACAAGGUAUUGGUCUAGAACCCCUGAUUUCCAGUAGCAGAACGAGCGACGUUUAGGUCCAGAGGCCAAUCCACCAAGGUUGUACUCAACUUGGGGUCCAACCACCAACCUAACCAUGAAGUCACCCAAGACUUUCAAAUUUUUCUUCAAGAAAACCAAAUCCGUAGGUGGAAGCUAUAGAUCGAAACAAAUCUGGGUUCCAUAGAAUAACAAUCAAUCUUGAGACAAAAUACAGGAAAACGAUUUUCCAGGUUCCAGAACUCGAUCAAAGCCCAGAUAUCACAAGAAUAAGGCUUUGAUACCACUAUUAGAUACAACACUUUACAAGAAAGUUACAAAACAGAAAUUACACUUCUGAAACUCUACAGAAAUACUACAGGACACCAAGAACAAUGAUCGAUUUAGGCUCAGAUCCUAGUACCCUUCUGUAUCAUCAUAGAAACCCUAACUCAAACCACAACCCUCAUAAGUCCCCUACGAGAGGUUGCUUCAAUGGACAGAUUUGGACUCAAAACCACUGAUUUCAGUUUAUUCACAUAGAGAAAACCCUCAGAUUUCAAAUCCCACAGAGAGAAGAAGAUCGACUCACAAAGAGAAGAUGAACAGACGAAGAACAAGAACCCAGAAGGUUCCAACCAAUUGAAGAAAAAGAAGAGAAUGAAAGUUCUUCCAAAUUAGGGUUAGAGACUCAUAUUUAUAGUAAAACCAAUCAACCGUAGAUCUGCAUCUUCAUCCAACGGUCCAGAGCAACUCUCAAUCAAUUAGGCUGAAUAUCAGGUCAUGGUAGGUGGGUCAUUUCAGAUAACAUUAUUUGGCAAGGUUAUUGGGUUAGUAAUUGGGCCGAAGGCCAUUAUCAUCAUUGCCUAAUAAAUGGACUGGAUUGGCAUCUCAGCCCAACAAAGACAAUGUUGGGGCAGGCCUCUAUAAGUCACUAUGGUUUUUUUCAAGAGGAAAAGUUGAAAUAGUAUAUCUGAUCUAUUAAAUGAAACAUUUUCCAAGUUGAUAACUUGUAGAUAUAACAUUUUUGGUCAACCUUUUCAGGAAAUUAUAUUGUUUUCUGAUGUCCUUUAGAAAAUGAGAUCUAAAUGUUCUAAACAAGCAUGUCAUAUUUCUGAUGAGGCUCUUUAAGAUUGGACUGUAACUAAGGCUUCGAGUUGUCCUACCUUAGCAUAUAGCUUUCCCUGUCUAUGACCUCUGGCCAUGAUUUGUUGUAACCCUUAAUAUCAAAACCAACAUAGUCAAAUUCAAAGGUAUAAUAAUUAUCGUCAAUAAGUUGGCACACAGAUAUCAAAUUCUUUUUAAGCUUUGGCAUUAUUUGAACAUUAUUUAAAGCAAGUUUACCUUGAGAGGUAUUGAUUGAGGAAUUACACGAAGGGAAAAUGGGUAAGGCUUGCCCAUUACUGACAAAAAUAGAAUCAUGUUCAAGAUAAGGUGUUUAAAGUGUUAGUUUACCUCCUCACUUUGUCGUAUGAUCGAGCUGUGGCACCAGAAUCAACAUAAAAAAGUUUGAGUCUUAUGUCAUUGUUUAAAUUCUUCGCAGUCAAGGCCUUUUGAUUGUUCUUGUUGUAGUUUAACCCAAAUUCUAGUGAAUAUUAGAGUUUUGGUUGAAUUGGCCUUGAAGAGAACAAAAUUGUGGAUUUGGAAGAAAAGUCGCUGCAUUUUCACUAGCAGGCUCGAGCAGCGCCUACAUAUUUUCUCUAAAGACUUGUCGCUCAAGUGGUGAAACUUUCGCUCCCCUUCCGCUAGCCUAUCACUCGAGCGACAGGGUGGAAAGCUCAUUUUGUAUUUUACACAUUUUUUGGAUUUCUAUUCAUUUAUAACUUGGUUUUAUAUAUAUAAAUCUUGAGUAUAAUGAAAUUCUCUUCCAUUUGCUUGUGGUUUUUCCCCAUCUUGAGUUUCGACAUAAACUUGGUUUUCUUAUUGUAUUCCCAUUUAUUUCAUUUUUAUAUUUUUAAAAAAUAUAAUUUUAAAUUCUAGUCCCUAAAGUUUCAAAUCCAUCCAAGUUGGACCUUUAAGGUUAUGGGUUUAAUAAUUCAGCCCCUAAAGUUUGAAAAUUAUUUAAUUUGGGACAUUAAAAUUCUAAAAUUUUCAAUUAAAGCCCUCAAUGUCUAUAAUUAAUUAAAAUUGGCCCCUCAAAGUUUUAAAUCUUUUAAAUUUUGACCCCUGAAAUUUUGAACUAUUAACCCUUAGGUCCAUAAAGUUGCAAAAGACACCUAAUGAUGCAAAAUUAUUGAAUCUCUUUCUCAAAUUUUGGUACAAAUGACUCUUUUAAGAGGCAUGAUUAAGGUUUAAUUAUGUGGGACAAUCAAAUUCAAAUAUUUUGGUAAAUCAUUUAUGAUAAAUUAAGGUUAUCUAGCAUUUUAAAUAAACUAAUUGAAGCAAUAUCUCAUCAAAAUGACAUCUCUUGUAUAGAUUGGUUUGUUUGGGAUGUUUAGAUGUUGUGUGUGUGUUUGUUGAUGCGAGUAUUAGCCAGCCCAAAGAAAGAUUAAUACUUAGCCGAAUUACAUACACACUAAUGGUGAUAAAUGUGUGACAAUUAUAAGGUUUCCAUGUGAAUAAUAAAUCAAUCCAAAGAUGAGUUUAUUAUUUGACAAGAGUUAUUUUCAAUAUUUGAUCACUACACUAAGAGUACCACUUGCAAUUAAUAUUACUGUACAAAGACUUGAUAUUAAUAUUGCACUUGAUAUCUUGAGAUGGGACUUACCAUUAUUUGAAUUUAUUGUUCAUUAAAUGUGGAUAUAAGCAUGAUUAUUAUUUUUUUCUCUGUACAGCUAGUUCAUCUACUACCACUAUAUCUACUAAUGUUAAUUCUAUUCACAUGCUUAACGGGACAAACCUCAAGGGCUAGAAUGAGAACAUACUGAUUGUUCUUGGCUGCAUGCGUCUUGACCUUACACUUCGGAUUGAGGAACCCACUCUUACAAAAGAAAGGUCACCUGAUGAAAAGAGGAACUUUGAAAAGUGGGAUCGCUCAAAUCGCAUGAGUCUAAUGAUCAAUAAGUGCGGCAUUCUGAAAGCCUUUAAAGGUGCAGUAUCCCAAGGGAUAACUAAUGCCAAAGAGUUCCUCACUAAAAUUGAGAAGUGUUUCGCAAAAAACGAUGAGGCUGAACAAACACGCUUUUGCAAAACUUGAUUUCAAUGAAGUAUAAAGGCAAGGAGAGUAUAAGGGAGUAUAUCAUGAAGAUGUCUCAUAUUGCUUUAAAACUUAAAGGGCUAAAGCUUGAGCUAUCUAGUUACUUACUUGUACAUUUGGUAUUGAUCUCGCUUAUAAGUGCCAGAAGGAGAAUCUAAAUGAGCUCAUUUCAUGUUGUGUGCAAAAGGAAGAGAGGUUGAAAUAAGAAAGAACUGAAAGUACUCACUUGGCAAGCACUUCUAAGUAAGGGAAAGAAAAAUAAGAAGGAAUAUGAAGCUGCUCCUGAGAGUCCAGCACAAAAGAAAUGGAAAGAAGAUAAAGGAACUUGUUUCUUUUGCAAUAAGAGUGGACAUAUGAAGAAGGACUGUACCAAAUAUCACGCAUGACGUGCAAAAAAAGGCACAAUUCUUACUUUAGUCUGUUAUGAGGAUAAUUUAGCUUCAGUACCUAGAAACACUUGGUGGAUAGAUUUUGGUACUACUACUCACAUAAGUGUUUCUAUGCAAGGUUGCCUGAGCUACCGAAAGUGAAGUGAUGGCAAAAGAUAUAUUUAUAUGGGUGAUGGCUGUUGUAAAUUUUAGUUUUGCAAGUAUACAAACCGUAACAAGUAAUAGUGGAUCUAAGAGUCCGAAUUGUCGAUCCCACAAGGACUAUUUUCUAGCACUUUAUUUAAUUUUUCCUUAACUACUAUUUGAUGAAAACAAAUUAAAAAUUGUAGUGAUUUGAGUAUUAAUCUUAAUUCUAGAAAAUAAAUGGAUGCUCACACAAUUGUUUGUAAAAUCAAAUAAUUAGAGGACGUUAGGGCAUAAUAACUUUACAUAUUGAUCAUCUUUACAUCUCAAAUUAAGACUCAAUUCUAAUGUAGUGUUCGGUCAAAUUCACCUAUUGUAUUCAAUUUACCCCUCUCAAGUUCUCAUUGAGCCUAUUCAACUAAUUAAAUUUCAUAUCUCUAUACAAAUUCAACUUAAUUAAAAGAGUUCUUUGUUUUAGGAAUUCAAUUAUGACCGCAAUAACUGGCAUAGGAAUCUCUACUCGUUAUACCAAUGUACUGGAUUUUACUAUAUGGUCAAAAUCCUAAACUCAUAUCUAUAUUCGUAAAGGAUUCACAAAAUUCAUCAAAUUAUUGAUUAGAUAAUUUAAUACAAUCAAUAUAUAGCAAAAAUCAACACAUGGAAAAAUUAAAAACUAAGAAUCUUAAUAAGAAAAUAUAAAUGAUCUCAAAUAGUUACAUUAUUCGCCCUAACUAUGGAUUUAGUUACGCAUAAUGAAUGAAGAGAAACAACAAAAUGUCUUAGAGUAUAUCACCGGCUUUAGAAUUAAAUAUGUAAAAGAAAAAGUAGAUCUUGUACCAAAAAUUCAUUCAUCUUCCAAUUGAUACUUCACACAAUGAAUUUGUCGUUGUUUUCUCCCUUUGAAUCUCUCCCAUUUUUUCUCCCAAUAUGCGUGUCUUGCCUCUUAAUGUGUGAAAAUCCCCCCUAAAGAGUGAGAAUUUUCAUAUUUAUAGGUCCCCUGCCACGUGUGAAAAAUAGGGUUUUCGUACGGACUCAAAAAUGGGAAAAAAUUCCACUUAGGUUACGAAUUGGUGGGCCGCAGCACUAGAAUGUGGCACCGCGUCAAAAAUACGGUGUCAUCUCUUUGAUUCUCUCGGCGCCGCGGUGCUACAUUUCGGACAGAUAGUACCUCGUUCGGUAUUUUUAUCAUAACUUUUUCUCCCGAUAUCCGAUUAAGGUGAUUCAAGUUGCUUUGGAAAGUUAACUCAAAGAGCUACUUUGCUUAGAUAUCGUUUUUGAAUUUGAUCAUUUUCUAUUCAAAAUAAGGUCCCAAUAUUAGGCUGAAAAUGGUGCAUAACUUUUUUCGCUUUGAUUAUAUUUAAUCCCUUUGAUGUCUUUCUUUACCUAAUUGACUCCGAACACUCUUGAAUCUUCAUCAUGAGGUGCAACACAACUUUUGAGUAUUUUACUUUAGUCUCCGAACUUUGGAUCUCUUACAACUUAGCCAUUUUCUCCAAUUUUGCCCACUUUUGCUUCUUCCUUCAUUUUCUUAUACCGUCAUUGAAUUUUACCUAUUCAAGACAAAAUGUAAUAAUUUAGACUAUAAUUCAUUCAAGAAGCAACUAAAUAUCAUCAUUUUAAAGCCUUGAAUAAGUGUAUUUUAACAAGCAACUAAGUAUCAUCGUUUUAAAGCCUUGAAUAAGUGUAUAAAAUACACUUAUCAAUGGCAAAUCGAUGGAAGUUGAUGUAAUUGGCACAUUUAGGUUAUGAUUAAGAACUAAUUAUUAUUUGGAUUUGAAAGACAUUAUUGUUUGUACCAUCUUUUAGACAUAAUUUUGGGUUCUCUUUCUUCGUUGGACAAAUCUAGAUAUUGUCGUUCAUUUGGAAACAAUCAAUUUAGUCUUUCAUUAAAUUCCAAUGUUAUUGAUACUGGUUCAUUAUCUACAUAUGAUAACCUAUAUUUGCUUGAUAUUAUUGCAUCAUAUGAUGAAACCUUGUAUGGAGAAUCACGUGGUACUAAAAACAAAUUAAAUCAAAAGAAUUCAGCAAAAAUAUGGCACAAGCGCUUAGGUCACAUCUCAAAAGCUAGAGUUGAGCGACUUGUGUCAAAUGGUAUUUUGGAUUCACUUGACUUCACGGAUUUUGAUGUAUGUAUUGACUAUAUCAAGGGAAAAUAGAUCAAAACAAGGAGAUUAGAUGCUAACAGAACUUUAGACAUCUUAGAAUUGAUAUACACAGAUAUUUGUGGGCCAUUCCCUAUGGCUUCUUGAUUUGUUCAACAAUGUUUUAUAUCAUUCAUAGACGAUUACUCACGUUAUGGGUAUCUACAUCUCAUCCGUUAAAAGCCUAAGUCACUGGACAUGGUCAAAGCUUUUAAAGCUGAGGUUAAGAAUCAACUUAACAAAAGGAUAAAGAGCGUUAGGUCUGACUGUGGUGAUGAGUACUACAGUAGAUAUAACGAUUCAAGAGAUAUGACGAUUCAGGUGAACAAUGUCCAAGACUAUUUGUUAAAUACCUAGAGGAAUGUGGAAUCGUCCCACAAUACACCAUGCCAGGAUCGCCUAGCAUGAAUAGUGUAGCUGAGAGACGAAACAGAACUCUUAAGAAUAUGGUAAAGAGUAUGAUUAGUCAUUUCACCUUACUAAAAUCACUCUAGGAAGAGGCAUUAAAGACCACAGCUUAUAUUUUGAAUAGAGUACCAACUAAGGCUGCUGCUAAAACAUCUUAUGAGCUUUGGACAGACAAAAAGUCUAGUCUAAAACAUUUUAACAUUUGGGGAUGUCCAGCUAAGGCUAAGCCUUAUAGGUGACAUGAAAAUAAAUUGGAAUCCAAAAUAGUGAGUGGCUAUUUUAUUGGUUAUUCUGAACGAUCUAAGGGCUAUAAAUUUUAUGAUACUACACUCAAGUCAAUUUUUGAAAUGGGAACUGCAACAUUUUUUGCGGAUGUUGAGUUUGGGAGGAAAAAUAAGGUUAGAGACAUUAUCUUUAAGGAAGAAGUUGACAAAGGAUAGGUUUCGAUUCCUACUAUUUCUUUUGACAAUGUACAGGUUCCAUACCUAUCAUUGAUCAAAAAGUAUAUCCAGAACCUCAACAAGACAAUGUUGAAGAACAUUUCAUCCGAAAUGAGGCAAUUAUUCUAGAAGUACAAACUCAACAAUUUCAAGAACAUGAGAAAAAUAAUGAAAUGGUGGAAGAUGAUCCAAUCAAUUUCAAUCAAGCCAUGCAGGGCUUUAACUCUCAAGAGUGGAUUGAUGUCAUAAAUGAGGAGUAUAAGUCCAUGCAAGAUAAUAAAGUUUGGGAUCUUGUCCCGUUACCCGAAGGUGUGAAGCCUAUUGAUUGUAAAUGGAUUUUUAAAACCAAAAAAGAUUCAAAUGGUAAUGUAGAAAGAUAUAAGGCACGUCUGUGGCUAAGGGCUUUACCUAAAAGGAAGACAUCGACUUCAAAGAGACUUUCUCUCCAGUUUCAACAAAAGACUCUUUCAGGAUAAUUAUGGUACUUGUUGUGCACUUUGACCUUGAGUUACAUCAAAUGGAUGUUAAGACAGCUUUUCUCAAUGGAAAAAUUGAUGAUACGAUCUAUAUGGUGCAACCAAAAAACUUUGUGUCAAGAGACUUGAAGAAUAUGGUUUGCAAAUUAAAGAACUAUAUCUAUGGCCUCAAACAAGCUUCCCAUCAAUGGUACCACAAAUUUCAUCAAGUCAUUAUCUCAUUUGAUUUUGAGAUGAAUGUCAUUGAUGAUUGUGUGUAUCGUAAGUUCAGUGAGAGUAAGCAUAUUUUCCUGAUUUUGUAUGUUGAUGACAUACUGCAUUGGGGUCAUAAGGUGAGAAUGGGGCUGAAGUAGACGCAAGUUGGGGUGUAAUUUGCUACUUUCCCCAUUUUUCCCUUUCUUUCUCUUUCUCUUUCUCUUUAUCUUUAUUGACCUUUUUCCAUUAAAAUUUAGGGUUGACUAAUUUUAUCUCCCAAGAGUGACAGCCAAAUAGAUAGAAUCGUUCAUUGCGAUCAAUAAAGAGAAAGAGGGUUAUAGGCAACCCUGGGAUGGAUCAUUGGAAGGCAACCAAAAGGGUUAUGAGGUAUUUAAAGAGAACAAAUGAUUACAUACUCACAUAUAGUAGAUCGAACCAGUUAGAGAUCAUAGGGUACUCCAAUUCUGAUUUUGUUAGAUACCAAGACAAUAAGAGAUCCAUAUCAUGCUAUAUCUAUCUACUAGCUGGAGGAGCUAUUUCAUGGAAGAGUACCAAGUAGACACAUAGCUUCUUCUACCAUGACAGCAGAGUUUGUAGUAUGCUAUGAGGCAUCUAAUCAUGGAAUAUGGCUACGAAACUUUGUCACUGGACUGCCCAUUCUGAAUGGCAUAGAAAGACCGUUAAAAUUAUAUUAUGACAAUAACUCAACAGUUCUAUAUGCCAACAACAACAGGAGCUCAUUUAAGUCAAAACACAUUGACAAUUAAGUUCUUGUUUAUGAAGGAAAAAGUACGAAGUUUAUAGAUUUUUAUAGAGCACAUUGAGACAAACUCCAUGAUUAUGUAACCGCUUACUAAAGGAUUGCCACCUAGGUCUUUCAUGAACACACUGCUCGUAUGGGUAUUGUAUUUCUUGAGGAUAUCAUAUUUUAGUGGGAGUUAGUAUUCUCGUUGCUUUAUAUUUAUUUUUGGACAUAUUUGUGUAUUUGGAUAUUUUUCUGUACAAAAAUGAAGUAUUCAGUUCAUUUCACUCUGUUAUUAUGUUCAUUACUGAUCUUACUUAAGAAAUAAGGUUGGACCAGUUGGAAAUAGACAUAUUUGGAUCACAUAACAUGUAAUUAUCAUGCUCCACUCCCAUGAUUGAUCUAUGUCAUUUGGUUGUAUGUGUGUACGUGACCAUUGAUGGAUUUAGUCAUGCUAAUUGUGGCAAAAAUCGCUUUGAUCCUACAUCAAUAUAACUGAUGGACAAGAUUGUUUAGAAAUACCUCCAAUAAUGAUAGCAGAAUUUUUGAGCUCAUACGGCUGAGCACAUUUGUAAUAUUACAUGCAUGGCCCAGUGGGAUAUUGUUGAAAAAAUUCCAACGUAUGGGACCACACAUGUUUAUAUAUUAAAAAUGUGUGGUGCUAAUUUUAAAGUUUAGUCGAUAAAGUGAUUCAUUAAGCCUAAUUUUGGAUUAAUGGGUAUUAAAUGUCAUGGGAAUGAAGUGUAGAGUCCGGAAGAUGUUAUUUUAAAUUGAUUAGGGCCAAUUUGAAAUAACACAAAAUUAAUAACUACCAAAUUGAAGUUAUUUAUUAUGGGGUCAUGGUCCCCAAUUAUAUGUGAAUUCACAAUUCUCUACAUCUCCAUCAACAUAGAAGAAUAUUUCAAGAAAUCACCUAACCAUUAAACGAUCUUAACUCGUUUAGAAUACUAACAAUUAUAGAUCAAGGUACAUUUCCGCUUUAAUCUUCUCUUUGAUUUCAACAUGGAGCAUUUAUGUAAAUUUGGGAAAGGAUUGGCAAAAUUUUGGCUCCUUUCAAUUCCUACAGGCUCCUCAACUUACCAGAGGCCAUGUCGUGUGGGGAGGACGUGGUCACUCUCAAUGUAUUUAAUAUCUUCCACAAGAAUUUCAUAACGCCUCUUUGCUUCUUCUGGAGUUUUUCCUCCUAGCAACUUUGGCCCAACAGUCAGGCGUGUCAGUGUCAUGCGCAGACAGGGCUUUCUCAAAGGCCUUGUUCUCCUGAGCAGUCCCAGUUCCACAGGAUGAUAUCGAGCUAGAUGCCAUUAAUUUCUUGCGAGAUGAAGAUUUUAUUGACAAAUCAAGUUAGGAAAGGAAAGUUUUAAACUAAGGGAAUUAAACAAUAGACUGUUACUACAGGAAAUGUGAGGAAAUGGAACAAUGUGUGUGUGUGUAUGUGUGUGUGUGUGUGUGUGUGAGAAUAUAUAUACACGUGAGGAACAAAUAAUUCUAAGUUGAUAUGUCCAGAAGAGGUGGCAACUGCUUGAUCUUUAUAAGCUCCAGGAACUGAGGGGGGUGUGGGGUGGUCAUGCCAAUUGGCCUAUAAAGUUGCGAAAAUUGAAGAAUUUUAGCGAUUCGUCUCGUUAAGAACCACAAUUAAAGCAGGACAAGAAAACAAUAGUACAAUGUUGAAGAAUCAUCAUCUUCAUGAAAAGGUUGUAUCACUUUCCAUUUUUAUGAAUAAAAAUCACUUGCUUUCUUACAGUUUUGUGUCAUGAUCAUAUGAUUCUUCUUGAUUUAUAUAAACAUUAGAAAGCAACCACUUCUCCAAAAUAUAUCUCAUGGGAAUAAAAGUGAAAAAAAUAAUUACAAGUAUAUGGGACACUAGAGUUAUGAGUAGAUACUAUGAUCAAUACAAAAUCAAUCCUCUUUCAAGUUCUGGACUACCUUAAAUCCUUUGUUAGAAUAUAAUUUCAUCUGGAGGGGGAAAAAACUCCUCAGAUAGAGCAGUACUAUAGUUCAAUGCACAAUAAUCACAAGCCACAAUGGUAGGACAAUGUACAAUCCAGCCCCAGGAUCGAGAUUAGUCACAAAAAAAGGUGGAAAACUGGGCUUAGACGGGCCAGUUCAAAUCCCUGGCCAUGCAAGGGUCAUCUCGGGUUCUAUGUUAGCAACGUGCCAAGUCAUUUUCAUGCCUAAUCACGUUUGAAAUAAUCAUGACGUGAUAGUAUUUAGUUACGAAUAUCAUUACAAUAUUGAUAUCCUUAGAUUAUUCAAAAGAAGCUCUAAGCUUAGACAAAAUUCAUGAGAAGGACCACCCUACAUAUAUGCAGGAUUUUACUCGGUGAUAAGGAUUCCAUAAAUCUAGCAAGAACGAGGCAUCUAUAAAUUCUCAGUGCUUUUUUUUUUUCUUUCUUCUAUGUACAGAUUCCUCAAAAUGCUGCAAUGUAACUUUCAACUAAUCAUUGGGCUGGAACCCCGUUAACCUGUGGUCCUCCGAAUACAUAUCGUUUCACAACUUGUAUAAAAGGGUCCACAAUGCCUUUCCAUUUCCUCAGAUUUUUUAUAAAACAAGUACGAAAAAGAUUAGCGACUUUAACUGCAAGAAUCUUCGUCUCUAGCCCAUAAUAGUAACAUUUUGAUCCGAAUUACAGGCCAUUUCCUAAAAAUAUGAUUGGUAUGCAGUAGACUGCAUGGCGCCAAGAUUUAACUUCUAUAAUAGGUCAUUGCUAUGAUUAUUAUCAGUUAUACCCUUGUGAUGAAGACUUCUCAAUGAGCCAAUUAUAUCUUGGGAAGUAGUUUUAUUGAUUCUAGAAAUGAUCCGUGCAUGUAAAUCAAUGAAGGCAACUUGUAUAAAGUGUUGGGAAUCUGGACUUAUUUGUACACUUGUUAUCAAGGUUCACUUUGAGGAAUAUCGUUAUAGGCCCAGAUUCUCAACAUUCAAGACUCACAAUCUAUUUCCAUAUUUACUAUUUUCUAUGAAUCAAGCGUGAAAAGAGUAGCAAUUUUUACUGCGAGAAUCUUCAUAUCUAAUGAGUAAUAAAAAUGUUUUGAGUUCAAAUAUAAAUCAUUUCCUUGAGGUAACUUUUGUACGCAAUAUUGAAGGAUACUACGAAAGAUUUUAACUUUUAUUCUUCAGUUAUGGCAAAUCAAACUGACGAACAUAACAAACAGACCAUUACAGUGUUUCAUCUUAGUUAUCCAUUGAGGAGGCUACUUGAUGAAAAUUAUUAUUUUGGGAAGUAGUUUUGGAUUCUAGGAAAGAUCAAUAGAUGUAAAUCAGCACAACUUGUAUAAUGUUGGAAAUCACUCACAUCUAGUAUCUUCUUUUAGAAAAAUCAAGAACUGAGAACAGAAGACAAGAACUGGAAAGGGUUCAUGAUCCCUUUCGGUGUCAUCAUUCUAUGCAUCAAGCCCCAAAAAGAGUAUUGCAAGAAUCUUCAUCUCUAACAGUUACUAAUAGCAAUGUUUUGAGUCAAAUAUGUCUUUUCCUAAUUGUCUGUAAUAUUCUGGCUGGGAAAUUACAGAUCUUCAUGUUAUCUUCCAAGAUUUUCGACCGACAUUGGGUUAGGACCAUAUGUAGGUUGGGGCUACUCUAUUCCACUUGCUGAAAUAAUCUCUUUUGGCAUUUACAACUUCAACCUUUGAAAAAUGUUGCUUCCUAAACUUAGCUUUUUACUAUGCAGAUAUUUAUGUUGGACCAAUAAAAUGUUCUCUUUUGGACAUUCAAAUAGUCCUUUCUUGGAGGGAUUAGGGCUUAAUCCUGAUUACGGGAUCAAUGUAAAGCAAAACGUAAUAAGAAAAUAAACACACACAAGAAUCUAUAAAUUUAUUUCAGUUCAUUCUCAAUCUUAGAGUUAUUUCACUCAAUACUCAGUCUUUGUCACAACAGGAGGGAAAAAAAAUGACUCCCCUAAAUCUUGAAUUAACUUAACCAUAUCAUGUUACCUUAGAGGUCAAAAAAGACUGCCCUAAAUCUUGAAUUAACUAAACCAUGUCAUGUUACCUCUCUUGAAUUAACUUAACCAUAUCAUGUUACCUUAGAGGUAAAAAAAGACUCCCCUAAAUCUUGAAUUAACCUAACCAUGUCAUGUUACCUUAGAGGUCCCACUUCUAGGGAGGACAAUGAAAAGGCUAGAGCCCUCCAUAUGUGCCCUCUCCUUGUACAAGUGCAAAAAUAUUAGAGCAAACAUACCUGAUAUAUUGAUAAACCCAAAAUGCACCUAAACUCAUACUACGCCGAUGUGUAGCCAAGGGGAAUAACUUUAUAGUAUGAUUAGACUCCAGGCGCAGUCCAACACCUCUGUAUCAUAGACACGGUAGGUCUUGGACUAAUGAGGGCCCCAAAAAAUAAGGCCUAAUUUUUUGCUAGAAGGUAGGCCCAAAUAUUUUAUAAUUUUGGAUGAAGUCAUUAAUUAGCCCAUAAAAGAAGAAAUAAUGCUAUUCAUCAUCAUAAUAUUGAACACCAGUGUCCGUGACAAUCACAUGACAUUAAAUGAUAGACUCAUUUAAAUACAAAAUCAUAUAAUUCAUUUAAUUGAAACUAUAAAAUGCUGACACUUAAAUUGGUGUUAUAACACCACUAGUGCUAGAUAGCAUUAUUUUAAAAUAAGUUAUUUAAAAAAUCAAAAAUCAUACAUGCAACUGUCAUUAAUGAAACUUCGAAUGUUUUUAUUUAUUAUAAAAAAAAAUAUUUUUAAUCACUGCAAGUAAUUUUUUUCAACUAUUUAUAGAAGACCCAUAUAAAGUUUGGCAUAGACUACAAAAAUCCCAAGAUUUCACCCCUGAUCAUAUAUAAUAUUGUAAAUAAGAUUUACAUUUUCCUUUUGUUUGUCAAAUUUUGCUGGGAUUAAAAGUAGGGGUGUGUGGGGGUGGAUUGGCAUAGUUUGGAGAAACACUUUAAUUCCAAGAUCUUUGCAGAAGAUUUUAUGCCAAACAUCGAAUGUAGGAAAGAAUGAAUCAACCAAACUAGACAAAUGUAAUUUCAUAUUGGUUACCAGCCCACAAAUUAAAAUAAAUAAAUAAAUAAAUAAAUAAAUAAAUAAUAAUAAUAAUAAUAAUAAUAAUAAGAUUCUGCAAUUGAAUUUCAGUUGCCCAUGACUCAUUCUUUAAAAUUGUUUUAGCAAGAACUUUAUGGUUGAUCAUGUUGAAGACAGCAAUUUAAACAGAAUUUGAUGGGGUAAAUACAAUUCUUGAUAGGAAUAGUAUGGAUAUUUUCUAUGCUAGGAAGGUAAAGCCUCGAUAAUAGGGACUUAUGAGCGUCGAAAAGCGGCCUGGCAAUGUUUGGGGAGAGAUCCGAUGGCCAUACAGGGUCCGGGGAUUGAGGCAGGCCAGGCUAACCCAGUCUGCCACAUAUUUCGUUGCCCUGGACCCACAGGCCUGGCCCGAGCUUGGCCAUGCCCGUUCCAUCUGCAUAAGAUCUCGCUUCUUGAUUUUCUUUACAUAUUGCAAUUAUACGAGCAUCAAUAUGUCUUGUGAUUGCAGUCUAUAGUACUAUAGUUUUGCUCUAUUUUAGGAGACUUUUCAUUCAAGCAGUACGCGUGUACCUGGAGGAACUAAAUCAUUGGUUUUAGCUAAAUAAGAAAGGAUUAAGCAGUCCCAAUAAACCAACCAUGUGAACAACUAUGGAUAAGCUGACUUUACAUUCAAAACAAGGCAAUCCACAACUUAAAAUAUGAUUGAUUUUGUGUUAAUGAUUAUAGAAUAUAUCUCUAGAUGACAUAUAUUGGUAUACAUACAUGCAGUCAAGAAAAGAAGUUAAAAAAAGUCACUUUUAAGCAUGUCUUACAUCUUCUAAUGUUUAUAUAAAUGAAAAAAUGUCAUAUGAUUUUACUCUAACUGUAAGAUAAAGUGAAAUUUAUACAAAAAAAUGGACAUAUAAACAACCUUUUCAUGAAGAUGGAGAUUCUUCAAAGUUGUAAUAUUGUUCUUUUGUCCUGCUCAGUAGUGGUUCUUGAUGAGACAAAUCACUAAAAUUCUUCAAUUUUUGCAAGUUUAUAGGCCAACUGGCUUGACCCCACCCCCUCAAUUCCUAAAGCCUAUAAAAGCUCAAGCAGUUGCCAAUAGGGUUUCUCAUAUCUCUUCACUUGGGUGUCUUCUCUGUUGAGUCGAAGACGAAUAAUCCAUCCUAGAAUUAUUUGUUCUCACAUUUAUACGUUCUUCCAAUUCAUCCCAUUUUCUAGAGUAGACAUUCAAUAGUAGUGUUCCAUCCAGUUACUCUUAUAACUUCCCAGACUUAUAAUGGCCUCUAGCUCGAUGUCUUCCCAUGGCUCAGGCACUUGGACUGCCCAGGAGAACAAGGAGUUUGAGAAAGCUCUUGCCGUUUAUGAUGCUAACACACCUGACCGUUGGGCCAAAGUUGCAAGGGCUGUCGGAGGGAAAACCCCAGAAGAGGUGAAGAGGCAUUAUGAAAUUCUUAUGGAAGAUGUCAAUUACAUUGAGAGUGGCCAAGUGCCCUAUCCCUACUGCAGAACUUCUCGGGCCGCCUGUAACAAAGGAGGUAUACAGAGUACACCGCCCCAACCCACCCGAUCAAAACACCACGAACACUUAAGAAUCCAUCGUAUAAUCAUUAUUCAUCAUGAACUGGUUUCUAUUGAAGUCAUUUUCUACCAUGCUAAAUUUGGCCAAGUGCCAUCAGUCCUCUUACUUUCCCUAAUGCAUGUUGUAUAACAUAAACACGCAUCUACAUAUUUACGUGCAAGGGCGAGUCAUAGGACACAUGUUAAACACGUGGUCGACUUGAAUAUUUUACCAUUCAUUAGAAAAUAUAAAGUGCACGAGGACUGAUCCCUACAAAACAGUCCUACCAUAUGCUCUAGUUCUCAAAAUAAAAAUCGAACUAGUGCAUGUUUGGUAGAUAGUAUUAGUCAAUAUUGAACUCUAAAAUGAAUAAGAUUUUAGUUUAUAUUUUUCUUCC